rnacentral:lncRNA from 1 species
UUGCAAACAAGUGCAAGGGAUUGCCUCUAGCUGCCAAGGUAUUAGGAGGUCUAAUGCAGUUUAAAAGAACAAGAGAAGAGUGGGAACAUGUUUUAUCUAGCGAACUGUGGGAGCUAGAACAUGUUGAAAGAGGACUAUUUCCACCUUUGCUUUUAAGUUACUACGAUUUACCUUCUGUGGUAAGACGAUGUUUCUUGUAUUGUGCCAUGUUUCCAAAAGACUACGAGAUGGUCAAAGAUGAAUUGGUGAAGAUGUGGAUGGCUCAAGGUUACCUUAAGGAGACUCCAAGUAGAGAUAUGGAGCUUGUUGGAGAGGAGUACUUUCAAGUCUUAGCAGCGCGCUCUUUCUUCCAAGAUUUUAAGACGGAUGAGUUUGAAGGAAUGAAAUUCAAGAUGCAUGAUAUAGUGCAUGAUUUUGCCCAAUAUAUGACAAAAAAUGAAUGUCUAACAGUGGAUGCCAGUAAACUUGGAGAAGCAACAACAGAGAUUUCAUGUGAAAGGGUUCGUCAUUUAAGCAUGAAGUUAUCAGGGGAGACCUCUUUUCCGGCGUCCAUUCGCAAAGCAAAAGGUCUUCGCAGCCUCUUGAUAGGCAGUAGAGACCCUUCGCUUGGAGCUGCACUACUUGAUGUAUUCAAGCAGUUGACAUGCAUCAGGUCAUUGAAUUUGUCAUGGUCUUCAAUCAAAGAAAUACCAAAGGAGGUAGGGAAAUUGAUACAUUUGAGACACCUCAAUUUGGCAGAUUGUGGAGAGUUGGAGUCCCUGCCAGAAACCACGUGUGAUUUAUGCAAUCUGCAAUCCCUAGACGUUACGUGGUGUCGUUCUCUUAAGGAAUUACCUAAGGCUAUUGGAAAACUUAUCAAAUUGAGGCAUCUCCAGAUUUAUGGUUCAGGUGUGGCCUUCAUACCAAAGGGAAUAGAGAGGAUAACAUGUCUUCGAACAUUAGAUGGGUUUACUGUGUGUGGUGGUGGUGAGAAUGAAAGUAAAGGAGCUAAUCUAAGAGAAUUAAAAAACUUAAAUCUCAUUGGAGGGAGUUUUAGUAUACGGAAUCUAGGAGGAGGUAUAGAAGAUGCGAGUGACGCUGCAGAAGCACAACUCAAGAAUAAGAAGCGCCUGCUUUGUUUGGAAUUGGGUUUCGACUACAACCAGGAGAACGGCAUUUUAAUUGAAGCUUUACAGCCUCCGUCAGACUUGGAAUAUCUAACCAUAUCUAGUUACGGAGGGUUGGAUUUGCCAAAUUGGAUGAUGACAUUGACCAGAUUACAGGUGCUUACACUCCGUUAUUGUGAAAACGUGGAGGUCUUGCCUCCGUUGGGAAGAUUGCCCAACCUUGAAAGCCUGGUAUUGAGCUCGUUGAAGGUGAGAAGGCUGGAUGCUAGAUUUUUAGGUAUAGAAAAGGCUGAGAAUGCCAGUAUUGAUGAAGGAGAAAUUGCAAGGGUCACUGCUUUCCCCAAAUUAAAAAAACUUUGGAUUGAGGGUCUCGAAGAAGUAGAAGAGUGGGAUGGAAUUGAAAUGAGAGUAGGAGAAGAAGAUGCCAACACAACUUCAAUAUCCAUUAUGCCACAACUUCGAGAGUUGAAAAUUCAUAAAUGCCCAUUGCUGAGAGCACUACCAGACUAUGUUUUGACAGCGUCAUUACGGGUGUUUGAACUCGAUGAUUGUACAAACAUGGAGGUCUUGCCUCCGUUGGGAAGAUUGCCCAACCUUGAAAGCCUGGCAUUGAGGUCGUUGAAGGUGAGAAGGUUGGAUGCUGGAUUUUUAGGUAUAGAAAAAGAUGAGAAUGCCAGUAUUAAUGAAGGAAAAAUUGCAAGGGUCACUGCUUUCCCCAAAUUAAAAGAGCUUGGCAUUAGUUAUCUCGAAGAAGUAGCAGAGUGGGAUGGAAUUGAACGGAGAGUGGGAGAAGAAGAUGCCAACACAACUUCAAUAUCCAUUAUGCCACAACUUCGAGAUUUGAUGAUUGUUAAUUGCCCAUUGUUGAGAGCACUACCAGACUAUGUUUUGGCAGCGCCUCUACAGGAAUUAUUCUUUAGUGGUUGCCGCAAUCUAAGGAAACGUUACGGGAAGGAGGAGAUGGGUGAAGAUUGGCAAAAGAUUUCUCACAUCCCAAACAUUUAUUUUCAUGAUAUAUAGGUGAGAAAGACAGAAUUCUUUAAUUAGAACCGGCAGGAACCGGUAAAUUCUUCUAUUUUACUGUAUUUUAACAAAUCUAUUUUCGGCUCUCCAUUUUUUCAUUAAUGUAAUUUAAUUCAAAAAUAAGUGAAAAAUACAAAUUAAUUAAUUAAUCAUUUGUUGAAUUGGAUAUAAUUAUGUCUUUCCCUUUCUCCUCAUUCAUUUAAACAUAUAUAAUCAACCUUAAUAUUUUUAUAUCAUUAUCACAACAAUAAUUUCAUCAUAUUAGUUGGAAUUCAUGAUAAUCUUUAUUAACUAAUCAAUUUGUUAAAAAUAUACUUAUAGCUAGUCUUAAAUAUAUUUUAUUUUUCAAAUUUCUUUUAUUUUAUAAAAAAUACACAAUUAAUCUAUAAUCAUUCUUCCCUUCAUAUAAAGAAUACACAAUUAAUCUACAACAAUAUUAAUAAUAAGAACGUAUUUUACCAUUACAUCUUCUAUAAACCUUAACACCCACACAAUUUUAAUUUCAUCAAAACAUAUAUUUAAUCAAGUUUUUCUAAAUUUUGUCAAAACUAGCAAUAGAUUCAAAAAGUAAUAAGUCAUUCAUCUUAUAUUUUAUUUUCAAAACCAACGGUCAAAAUAUAGAUCUCGAAAUUGUGCACAAUAUAUCUCAAAAUCAAAAAUAUCUAACAGUUGAAUCUCCCUAGAUCUGAAUAAAACCAAGCUAACUUGAAAAUUAACGAGCUAUUGUUCAACAUAAACGACACCUUACCGGAGAGUGUGUUUCCUAUCUCCACCGUCCAGAAUGAAGACAAUAUUUAGGCGCACCACAUAUCCAAAAAUAGAUAUGAUCCAACGGUGGAAGAGAGAGAAAUCAGUCGGCGACCAAAACUUCCCUGCAAGUGUAUUUUCUUUUGUUUUCUAGGAAAUUUCCGAUGAUGAUUUCCGUCAAACGGAUUGUGUGCUUUCAAAUCCCUCCGAUCAGUUAGUACAGGAGAAUGAGAAGAACAAUAUAUCCACAAAUCAGCAUGAUUCAACGGUGUUUGCCAGAGAUAUGGUCACCAGCUCCUUCAAAUUCUACACUUCUCUUUCUAGCCGAAUUUGCUCUAUUGUCUCUCACCUCUUUUUAUUUUGGACUGGUUGGCUGCUAUUUUAAAGGCAUAUUUUUCAUUAAUUAAAAUUGUGUUCCUUAUUUAUGCUUUUAUGUAUUUUAUUUUAUUUUUCAUGUAAACUAUCCGGUUUGUUUCUGCUUAAAUCACUAGUCUUUACCGAACUCUGAUUGGGAUGAGUUCUUUAACAAAGUUAGGAAAACAUAUUAAUAGAUUUCAUGCAAAAUUACAUUCCAAUUCAACGAUUGGAUUGAAAGGUCUUCUUUCUAACGUAAUACUAGUUAAUUCAUAACUUUUCAUUGACCAUCUAGAUUUUAUUUGAAGCAACCCAAAGAAAAUGGAAUGCUCCUUUUAACAUUUACCUUUCAUUGGAUUGUUUUGGUUAUGACACGUUUGCUUCUGGUCUGUAUUUGGCAGCUUGGGCUUAGAAGAUACUUCAGAGCUACUUCAGAGGGGGUUCCGAUUUGGUCCUGCGUUGUGAUUUACUUCUUUGAGUGUAUUAAUUAUUUAUUAUUGAAGUAAGGAGAAAGGAAUUGAAUUUAGAAUGCUAAAAGUAAGCCAUGGGGGCAGCUGAAGCACAGAGGUAGUAAUUAAGCAAGUAAUCUAGCUAGAUUGCUGCCCUUGGAAGUUAUUAGUGUCACUUCCAAUGCAAGUUCUCUACAAUUUUUAAUCUUUGUAUGAAGGCUUCAUGCAUGAAAUAAUUUAUUGCUGGAGGAGGAGCAGGGGCCCUAGCUGCUGUUUAAUACCGAGGCACUUUGUAAUUUUUAAAAAUGUUUUAUUUUUAUUUUUAUCUAAAGAUAUAUUAAAAUAUCUUCUUAGAUUUGUUUUUAUUUUUUAUACUAAUACAUUAAAAUUAUAAAAAAACAUUAAAAAUAUAUUAAUUUGAUUUUUUUUAAGCCAAGUGCACUUUUAAUUUAAAAUACUUCUAGACAUAAUUUCAAACGUAAAAACAAAAAGAUUUAUGAAUCUUAUCAGCCCCAAGGUUGUGUGGUGCAGUUAUUAUUGUAAUGUAGAUACAUUUUUUUAAAUCAAUAUGUUUGUAAAAUCUAAAAGUUAACUCUUUAUUUAAAUUAUUUAAAUAACAUGAUAUGAGAUAUCAUGCAUAAUUAUUAGAUUAAUUAAUUCUAAAAAUUUAAUUAAUUAAUUCUGAAAUUAACAAUAAAAAUUAUUUAUGUUGCAUAAUGUAAAUUGUCAAAUCUUUUUUUUUUAACAUCUAAAUCUAUUGAGUUAAUGUAACUCGUAUAUAAAACUAUAUUUUAACAACAAAUUUUGUCCAUGCUUUUCUCAGAGGGAAGAUUGUUAAAGAGUUCAACUAAACCAUGAAAAAAAAAAUUCACGUAAUACCCAGAAGUAAAAAUCGAGGGACUUUUCGUUUCUUAUUCUUCGGUGUUUUUUUUUUUUUUUUUUUUUUUUCUUUCAUUUUUGUGAUUUCUUCUUCUUCUUGUUCUCUAAUGGUGUCUUCUUUAUCGAUCUUGUAUACGCUGAAAUUUAGACUGUGUUUGGAAAUGAGAUGUAAAUCAUGUCUCUAAAAUUUUGAGUUUUUUUUUUUGUUUAAAAUGAAUUGUUUUUUAUAUGUUUUCAUAUUUGAUGUGCUGAUGUCAAAAAUAAUUUUUAAAAAAUAAAAAAACUUUUAUUUUGAUGCAUUUCUAAUCGAAAAACACUUUGAACCCACACCACUACCACAAUCGCAAACAAGCCCUUAGCUUGGGUUUCGAAUGCGGGACGGCGUUGCGUCAAUACCAAGAGUGUUUUUUUUUUUUUUUUAGAAUUUUCAAAUUAAUUUUCUUUUUAAAAAUGGUAAUUAAAUUACUUGUUUUUAUGAUUUUAAUGUAUUAAUAUGAAAAAUAAAAAAAAUCUAAAAGACAUUAUUAUCUCAAUAUAUUUUAAAUAAAAAAAAACUUUAUACGCCCCUUGUAGACUCAGGUAAAAAGUUAUUUUUUAAAAAAGAAAUAAUUUAAUAAAAAAAAUAUUAUUUGAUUUUCUUUUAAAAAUAAUUAAACUUACAAACUCUAACCUUUUUUUGAGUCUGUUUGUCUACACGGCAAUUGUAGGACCCACAAAAAAUAGGUAGAAACACAAUUUCAUGAGAAGCAUCUUGCACCAGCUUCGACGACACUAUUAACUUUUGUUAAGUGAAAUAGUGCAGAGUGAAUUAAUUCACUCUGCACACAAAAAUGAACACGUGAACAGUAAAAAAAAUCUGAUUUUUUAUUUGAAAAAUUAGUGUUUAACAUUAUUUAAUGACACUACAUAAAUUAGAAGGAGAUCGCAUGAUGGCGUAACAUUUGCAUAAUUUUAUCGUAAUCCCAAUUUGUUUCUAAUGAUUUUUUAUCUAAUUUUGUUGUACGCUCAAAAAACCAUGAAAACUAUAGUCCUUGUAGGAUGAAUUUUGUAUGUGAUGGAAUUGUAGAUAGUUUAAUGGAACAAUAAUUUUUUUUUAUAUAAAAUAUUAUUUAUUUCAUAGUAUAAUAGCAGUAGUUAAAUCUAUAAUAUUUAAAUUAAAAACCAUUAAUAUUAAUAUAUAUCACCAAACACAUUAAAUAACUUUUUGUUCAACCUCAAUUUCAAUUACAAUUUUAACCAAAUAUAUAUAAAAAUAUCAAACCAACCUCAACCAAAAAUAUUUUUUAUAAAAUAAUUUUUUUCAAACAACAAUCAUAAAAAUUACUACAAUACAAAACACACUCAAAGUAAAGUUUUAAAAAUUAUGGUUAAAACUGGUUCAAGGCCUUCAUUGAGCCCAAUGUGAAGAGGCCCAACCUAGCGUCAUAAAAGCCCAAUAGUCUCUUCUCCGCCACCACCAGGCCAUGCCAUUUAUAUAAGCAAACGAAUAUGCUGCGAAGAGCUUAGGCCUGAAAACGGGAGAAAAGUUUGACACUGCUUUGUCUCCUAAAUAGACACCGGAUGACUAUUACACCCUUGUUAUGGUUUCUGAUUCAGCGAAAAGGAGGGUAUUACGGUAAUUGGAACAACUUGAAUCGAGAAUCUGAACCGCUGUAUUCCUCCGCAAAGAAGCACACACUAUUGAUAACUCGGCCAACUCGGUUGAUUACUCAAUGUAAUUAAUUAUAGCCUUAUUUUGAAUCACCAGCUUGCUACAAGUCUUCAAGCUUUGAAAUGACUGGUGGCGUACCACUAUUCCACUGGUAAGGAAAAGAAAUCUCUUCAAAGUCACCAAGGAACUCUUUUUUUAGACAAUAGUGGAGAUUUUAUUAAAAAUUUUGGCUAAAAUGAGAAUAGCCUGAUAAAAAAAAAAAGCAACAACAGAGAAGAUAAAAUAAAGAAGAUAUAAAAGCAACCAUCUAGUAGAUGGUCCAGUGAUAAGAGCUUGAAACUAAAUAUGCUUCUUCUGUGGUCUCAGGUUCGAGCCAUGAAGUUGUUAAUAUUGAUGGUCACUUGAAACUUACCUGGUCGUUAAUUUCAAGAUUUAUGAGGAUUAGUUGAGGUGCGCACAAUCUGAGCCGAACAACACACAUUAAUAAUAAUAAAAAAAGACCAAACAAUAAAUAAAAACUAGAAAUCAACUUCUGUUAUCCUCCAAAAAAUCCCGUUAUAGUUGAUCCCUAAAUCAAAUCGGUGUAAGCAAAAGUUGUGCUAUCAAACUUCAAGCAUAAAGAGGACCUAUGGACGACCAAGUAAAAAUAACCUUGAAAAUCUGGAGUCAUUGAAGAUUACAUCAUUUUGAUGUAGCCAUAGACUCCACGCAAUACAAGAAAAGAGAAGUCGUCAUGAAAGAUUAUGAAAUUUUCCUUGCACCAUUGGGAGCACAUAUUAUCAAUAAAAAUUGAGAAACAACCACUAAUAUCCCCAUCAAGAUAAAAAUUCCAUCCAUAACUUCCAGGAAAAAACACAUUGAAUAAAGAGAUGGCUUGAAGUAUCAAAACUUCUUUUACAAAACACCCAUCUAGCUUGCUGAAGAGAAAUGAAAUCAUGCUGGAACAAAAAAUCAUGUGUGAAGACUUUAUCUUGAAAAAGUAGCCAAAGAAACAAUUAAACUUUUCUUUUUUUAUUUUUUAUUUUUUGGGGAGGGGGGGUUUUAGGUUGAACACCACUAUAAAGCAAUAGAUCCAAGAGAUAUAAAGCAAUAGAUCCAAAAGAGAUGGAAACUGGAUUUUAUUGUACAAAGACCAUUUUACUAUACAGCAAAAAAUUAAUAGCAUUCAUAUCUAUUGUCAUGAUUAAUUAAGUAUUGAAAAAAAUAUCAAGAAAAAUAAUAUCAUAACAAAUAGAGAGUUCAAAAUUUUUGUUAAAAUUCAAAAGAAUGGUGAAAUGUCCUAUUUUUAGGGAUAAUGUCAAAAAUUUCACUAAAUUUAAAAAAGUGAUGAAAUUUCAAAUCAUCAGGGAUUAACAUCAUUUUUGUUAAAUUAUUUUUUUAUUUUAAAUUAAUAUCUUUUUGAUAUUUUUAAAUCAUUUUGAUGUGCUGAUGUCAAAAAUAAUUUUAAAAAAUAAAAAUAUAUUAUUUUAAUGUGUUUUAGAAUAAAAAAUACUUUAAAAAACAACUACUACCAUACUAUAUAGUGUCAUAAUUAAGUUGAUGCAGCGAAAUCAAACCCCCUAUAAAAAAAGAUUAAAGAUCCAAUUUAAUAAUUUGAUGAACUGAAAAUUAAGGAUUCAAUUUAAUAAUUUCAAGGAAUUUGAUAUGAUCUAUUACUUUCAAAUUAUAUGUAAUCUUCUUUUUUUUUUAAUGAAAAAGAGGUUUGAAUUCAAGAUUUUCUAGAUAGAAAAAUGCCAAUAUCAUUGAAGUUACAACUCAUUGAAGAUAGUUCAAUGCAUAUGAUAAUUAGAAAACUUGUUAUCCAUUAAUGCUAACAAGAUGAUCAAACUUGGAAAAUCAGUUUUUAUACAGUUGAUAAAUAAACCUGGUCCUCGAAGAACCUGCUUUCAAGUCUCGUUAAGGAACGUUUGGGAACGCGGUUGCGGUUGCGUUCCUAAAAAAUUUAAAAUUUUUUUUUCUAAAAUUUAAUAUGAUUUAUAUGUUUUGGAUCGUUUUGAUAUGCUGAUGUUAAAAAUAAUUUUUAAAAAAUAAAAAAACAUCAUUGACAUGCAUUUUAGCACAAAAAUUUAUUUGAAAAGCACCCACAACAACACUGUCAAACACGCUCGAAUUGCUUAGCCUGCAAGAACCCUAAUUCCCGCAAGAACCCUGCUUUGAAGUUUUUCAAUUGCAUGAGUUGCUUUUAUUUCCUCUGUCAUUCCCAUUUUCUUUGUUUAUCAUUUACUCCUCUAAUGGUCAUCCAAUCUUCUCUUUACUUCAGGUAUAUACGUACAUCACAUCAAUUUCAUUUUUCAACCUACAAGUUGUGCUCUCCCUUUACCACAGCCCUACAAAAACUAAUAAAAAAAUGAGACACUAAAAUACAAGCUUCACUAGUAAAAAAAGCUACAAGUUGCAAGAACUCCACCUGCAACACCAAACCCUAAGUAUAUAAUUAAACUAACUUCCAUUCACAAUCAGCCGCCUCCUUCCCUUCACCCUCUCUUUCUCUCUGCUCAUCCCAUCAUCAUUGCUUCUCUCUCUCUCUCUCUCUCUCUCUCUCCAAGCAGAACUAAACAGACGAUGGCCGAGGCACUUGUAUCUCCGAUCUUGGAGCAGUUAACCACGAUCGUUGUUCAAAAGGUAUUUUUCUACCAUCUGCAAUAACCUGAUUUACCUAGCAGGGAUAAGAAAUAUAAAGGUCAAGCCUUUUUUCUUCCUAUCAUAAAAAGAAUACUUUUAACUUGAAUAAAUAAAAAUAAUAUUUUAAAUCCUCAAGUAUAUAUUUGGAUUUCAUUAAAGAAUCUUCCUUUUCUUGUUUUAUUAUUUUUCAUAUUUCCAAAUAUAAUCUAAAGAAGAGUAGAGUUGCCAAUUCUCUUUAAACUAACUAUUAAGGGUAAAAUAAUCAAUAAAAAGUUCAAAGGAUUAGCGAGUGAGUAUUUGGUGUGAAUUAAAACUAUAUAGUUAACACACAAUCUUAUUAUCAUGGCUUUAUUUCUAAAUUGACUUCACAAAUAUAUACAUGCAGAUCCUUUUAUUCACUUGCCUUUAUACAUCCAUAUAUCUAUAGUUUAAUGUAAAAUGAAAACCAGAUUUUAUACCGGUUCAAAGGAGAAAUCCUUCUCUCGUGAGAACAUUGAACUCUUUCCAUGCCUAUAUUAUUAAUUAUAUAUAUAUAUAUACACGUACAGGUUUAACGUUUUACGAUUUAAGAUUCAUUUUAUACCUUCUUGUACAGUAGCAUAGUGCAUACUGAUAUCAUCAUAAUGAUGAUAAAAAGAAAAAAGAAAUAUUAUUAUUUCUAAUAAAUAUUUUUUAUAUAAAUUAUUAAUAUAGUCAAUCCAUUUCACAAUAAAAUAUAUUAAUACAAAAUUAAUAGAAAUGUUUCCUAUGCUUGAACUUCCUUGUCUUUUCUACACUAAUAGGUACUGGAAGAGGUGAACCUAGUAGGGGGUGUGAAAUUGUCUUAAAAUCACAGAGAUGUUUCCUAUGCUUAACUUUUCUUUUCCUUUGUAAACUAAUAGGUACAAGAAGAGGUGAACCUAGUAGUGGGUGUGAAGAAAGAAGUCGACAAGCUGAAAAGCAAUCUCCUUGAUAUCCAAUCUGUCCUUGAAGAUGCAGAUAGAAAACAAGUGAAGGAUAAGGCUGUAAGAGAUUGGGUAGACAAGCUCAAAGAUGCAUGUUAUGAUAUGGAUGACGUGCUAGAUGAAUGGAGCACUGCAAUUCUUAGAUGGAAAAUGGAGGAAGCUGAAGAAAAUACUCACAGCCGACAGAAGAUACGAUGUUCCUUCCUGAAAUCUCCUUGCUCUUGUCUCAAUCAAGUGGUUCGACGUCGCGACAUUGCCCUUAAGAUCAAAGAAGUUAGUGAAAAAGUGGAUGACAUUGCUAAAGAGAGAGCUAAGUAUGGCUUUGAUCUGUACAAAGCCACUGAUGAACUCCAGCGACUAACAACUACCUCCUUUGUUGAUGAAUCAAGCGUGAUUGGUCGAGAUGGUGAAAAGAGAAAUGUUGUAAGCAAGUUGCUGGCUGAAAGUAGUCAAGAAGCACGGGACGUGGAAGUCAUCUCUCUAGUAGGGCUGGGCGGAAUUGGAAAAACAACUCUCGCCCAGCUAGCUUUUAAUGAUUCUGAGGUUACGGCUCAUUUUGAGAAAAAGAUAUGGGUGUGUGUUUCAGAACCAUUUGAUGAGGUUAGAAUAGCCAAAGCUAUCCUUGAGCAGCUUGAAGGGAGACCAACGAAUCUGGUUGAAUUGCAAUCCCUUUUGCAAGGGGUUUCUGAAUCCAUCAAGGGAAAGAGGCUCCUUCUUGUCCUUGAUGAUGUCUGGACAGAAAAUCACGGACAAUGGGAAAAACUGAAACCAUCUCUCACAGGCUGUGCUCGAGGAAGCAGAAUUCUAGUGACCACUCGUAAGGACGCUGUGGCAACGAUGAUGGGAACUGACCACCGGAUCAACAUUGAGAAAUUGUCUGAUGAGAUAUGCAGGUCAAUAUUCAAUCACGUGGCAUUCCAGGAAAGAAGCAAAGAUGAGCGCGAAAGAUUGACAGAUAUCGGCGAUAAAAUUGCAAACAAGUGCAAGGGCUUGCCUCUAUGUAUGGACAGAAAAUCAUAGACAAUGGGAACAACUGAAACCAUCUCUCAAAGGCAGUGCACCAGGAAGCAGAAUUCUAGUGACCACUCGUAAACAUUCUGUGGCAACGAUGAUGGGAACUGACCACCUUUGCUUUUGAGUUACUACGAUUUACCUUCUGUGGUAAGACGAUGUUUCUUGUAUUGUGCCAUGUUUCCAAAAGACUACAAGAUGCGCAAAUAUGAAUUGGUGAAGAUGUGGAUGGCUCAAGGUUACCUCAAGGAGACUUCAGGUGGAGAUAUGGAGCUUGUUGGAGAGCAGUACUUUCAAGUCUUAGCAGCGCGCUCUUUCUUCCAAGAUCUUAAGGCGUAUCAAGAAGUUAUCAGAUUCAAGAUGCAUGAUAUAGUGCAUGAUUUUGCCCAAUAUAUGACAAAAAAUGAAUGUCUAACUGUGGAUGUCUAUACACUUGGAGAAGCAACAAUGGAGACUUCAAUUGAAAGGGUUCGUCAUUUAAGCAUGAUGCUGUCACAGGAGACCUCUUUUCCCAAGUUCAUUCAGAAAGCAAAAGGUCUUCGCAGCCUCUUGAUCGACACUUGAGACCCUUCACUUGGAGCUGCACUACCUGAUCUAUUCAAGCAGUUGACAUGCAUCAGGUCAUUGAAUUUGGCAAGGUCUCGAAUCAAAGAAAUACCAAACGAGGUAGGGAAAUUGAUACAUUUGAGACACCUCAAUCUGGCAUCUUGUAUGGUGUUGGAGUCCCUGCCAGAAACCAUGUGUGAUUUAUGCAAUCUGCAAUCCCUAGACGUUACUUGGUGUGGUUCUCUCAAGGAUUUGCCUAAUGCGAUUGGAAAACUUAUCAAAUUGAGGCAUCUCCGGAUUGAUGGUUCAGGUGUGGCCUUCAUACCAAAGGGAAUAGAGAGGAUAACAUGUCUUCGAACAUCAGAUAAGUUUCCUGUGUGUGGUGAUGGUGAGAAUGAAAAUAAAGCAGCUAAUCUAAGAAGAUUAAAAAACUUAAAUCACAUUGGAGGGAGUCUUGAGAUACAGAAUCUAAGAGGAGGUAUAGAAGAUGCAAGUGACGCUGCAGAAGCACAACUCAAGAAUAAGAAGCGCCUGCGUCGUUUGGAAUUGUAUUUCGACGAAGAGAAAACAGAGUUGCAAGCGAAUGAAGGCUCUUUAUUUGAAGCUUUACAGCCUCCGUCAGACUUGGAAUAUCUAGCCAUAGGGUUUUACGGAGGGCUGGAUUUGCCAAAUUGGAUGAUGACAUUAACCAGAUUACAGGAGCUUACACUCGAUGUUUGCAAAAACGUGGAGGUUUUGCCUCCGUUGGGGAGAUUGCCCAACCUUGAAAGCCUCCAAUUAAACGUAUUGUUGAAGGUGAGAAGGCUGGAUGGUGGAUUUUUAGGUAUAGAAAAAGAUGAGAAUGCCAGUAUUAAUGAAGGAGAAAUUGCAAGGGUCACUGCUUUCCCCAAAUUAAAAACACUCAACAUUUGGCAUCUCCAAAAAGUAGAAGAGUGGGAUGGAAUUGAAAGGAGAUCAGUGGGAGAAGAAGAUGCCAACACAACUUCAAUAAUAUCCAUUAUGCCACAGCUUCGACUGUUGAGAAUUUUCCUCUUUACUGUUUAUUGUUGACUUUGGAUUGUAUUUCCGACUUACCAUUUAUUGUGUCAUAUACCCCCCCCCCUCUCUCUCUCUCUCUCAACAUAUAUAAAAUAAUAUGUAAUUCAUAUGUAUAUAUUUAAAGAGUAGUUAAGACAGACAGGAAGAGGUAAUUUUUUAUUUAAUUAUUGAAUUAGACUUAAAUUUUACAUGUUAAAAAAAUUAAUCUAAGAUGAUAUUAUCUCGCUCACGUGAAGAUUAUUCCUUACUUAAAUUCUCCAGUGUAGGUCAAUGUUUUUGAUUCUUGACUUUGUUUUUGAUUUACUAAUUCUUGUUUUGUUAACCAAAACAUUUUACCAUUACUUCUUUUGAUAUAUUUAUUUUGUUCAGAGCGGCUUCCGAUUUGGUUCUGCGUUGUGAUUUACUUCUUUGAUUGUAUUAAUUAUUUAUUAUUGAAGUAAGAAGAAAGGAAUUGAAUUUAGAAUGCUAAGUAAGGCAUGGUGGCAGCUGAGGCACAGAGGUAGUAAUAUUAAUACAUUAGAACUAUAAUUUGUUGCUGCCCUUGGAAGGUAUUAGUGUCACUUCCAAUGCAUGGAAUAAUUUACCUGCUUUUUGGUUGAAAUUUGUAUAUUCUUUUUAUGUUAAGUUAGUGUUUCAAAACUAUAAAUUAUAUCUUGUAUUAAGACAAUUCAAUUAUAUUAUGAAGUUGAUUUUGUUAUUAAUACUGCGUUGAACUCUGAUUAAGUUAGGAUAAAUUGUGUAUAAGUUAGGGUUCACAUAGAUAUGAAACCUUGAAAGAAAAUCUUGUUUAUGUACCAGUCAUGGAUCCGGGAUCGUCAUAAAUUUGGUCAGAGACGUCGAAACAUUGCGACUCCAGUAACGUAACAAAGGGAACCAGUCCACCACAGGCUUCCGUCAUUACAUGUUCAAAAAUCUCAGAAAUAAUAUCAUUCAUCAGGUACAGAAAAGAACAUUAUGACCGGUAAGGUAGUUAUAAUUAACUAGAGAUGUAAGGACUCAGAAAUUUAUUACUGUGAAAAGAAGAAACAUUUACCAUCAUUCGAAUUACAGUUAGCCAUCUUUAGCAAGUAAAAAAAGCCAACCCCGUGUAAAGAUAGUUACUGCAACCUCCGAUUCAAUCUAAAUUUGGUGUUUCUUCAUCCUCAAUCUUUUCUGAAAAAUAAGAUAGUGUAUGAAAGAAAGAUUGUAUGACUUAAGAGAGAAGAAACAGGUAAUAUCAUCAUAAGCAUUGAAGUGGCUUCUAGAUGUGUUUUUUGUAAUAAAAGCUUCGAAUUUUCAAGCCACCUCUUCAUCCACUUUGCUUGGAAUCUAUGAAUGAAAUUCCUUACAAAUGGGGUAUUAGCAGUGUUUUCUCAAAAUCUGUUGAUGAUAUGUGUUACCAACGGUUUUCUAUGGUGAAAGGCAAUCAACAAAAUCUCUUAUGGCAGCUUCUCUUCUCCUGCGUUAUGUGGAAUUUUUGGCUUUAUCGGGAUGAUGUCAUCUUUAAUAGGGCUGCUCCAAAUCUUCAAAGCUGUUUUUCCUUGGUCUUCCGCAGUUUCUCAUUAUGGCUGAGACUCGAUACCAAUUCUUCAGACUCUGCUGGCGAGAUGUUCAUAACAGCUAUGAUGGCAUUGGUUUUGUAGAAAGGAGGCGCUGAUUUCAAUUGUUUUUUUCCUUUUCCCACACUGUUUUCCUUCCCCUGUUUCAAAACCUCUAAAGCUUGUUGGCUUCUUCUUUUUUAUUUUUUCAGCUAGAACUUCUGUAUGCUAGGCUAUUAUUUUUUUAGCCAUUUUCUUAUAGUACUCUCGAUUAUAAUAAUUAAAAAAAAAACAUCUGAAGUGGCUGAAUAAGCUUCGGUUCCAUCUCCAUCAGGUUUGAGUAACUCGGCCAACUCAGUCGAUUACUCUAGCAUUAUUUUGAGUCACCAGCUAGCUACAAGUCUUCAAGCUUUGAAAUGACUAGCUAGUGGCGUUCCACUAUGCCACCGGUAAGGAAAAGAAAUCUCUUUAAAUUCACCAAGGAACUUUGCUUUUAGACAGCAGUGGAGAUUUUAUUAAAAAAUUUGGCUAAAAUGAGAAUAGCCUAAUAAGAACCUAAAAAAAAAAAAAAAAACAACCGUAGAGAAGAUAAAAUAAAGAAGACAUAAAAGCACGGUAUCUACAAUAGGAAAAAGAAAACAGGGACCAGACAAUUGAUAAAAACUAGAAGUCAACAAAAAAAAUUAACAUCAUAUUUUACUAUCAUUACACUAUAUAUAUAAAAAAAAACAAUAUGUAAUGGCUCUUCAAAAUAUAUUUAUAAAAGAGAUCUUUAUAAAAGAGAUUAAAAGAUCCAAUUUAAUAAUUUGAUGAAAUUGAAAAUUAAAGAUUCAAUUCCUUACUGAAGAGCUGCUUUUAUUUCCUCUGCCAUUCCGAUUUUCUUUGAUUCUCAUUUAAUCCUUUUAUGGUCAUCAAAUCUUUCUCAUUACUUCAGGUAUAUAAGUACAUCACAUCAAUUUCAAUCUUUUAUUUUUUAUUUUUUAUAACAAGUUGUGAAUCAUAUCAAUUUCUUUUUUCAACCUACAAGUUGUGCUGAUCUCCCUUCACCACAGCCCUACAAAAACUAAUAGAAACAUGUUGACACACUAAAAUACAAGCUUCACUAGUAAAAAAAUACUACAAGUUGCAAGAACUCCACCGCAACGCCAAACCCUUUUGGGCUUGUUUGUUUCUGCGUUUCAAAAAUGCUUUUGACAAAAUUUAAAUUUUUUUUAUUUUUUUAUUAACUUUAAAUUAAUAUGUUUUUAGUGUUUUUAAAUCAUUUUGAUGUGCUGAUGUUAAAAAUAAUUUUUAAAAAAUAAAAAAACAUCUUUAGCAUGUAUUUUGACAUAAAAAACUAUUUAAAAAAUAACCGCAAUCACACUGAGAAACACAUAUAAACUAACUUCCAUUCACAAUCAGCCGCCUCCUUCCCUUCACCCUCUCUUUCUCUCUGCUCAUCCCAUCAUCAUUGCUUCUCUCUCUCUCUCUUUCCAAUCAGAACUAAACAGACGAUGGCUGAGGCACUUCUAUCUCCGAUCUUGCAGCAGUUAACCACGAUCGUUGCUCAACAGGUAUUUUUCUACCAUCUGCAAUAACCUGAUUUACCUAGCAGAGAUAAGAAAUAUAUAUGAAGUUCAAGCCUUUUUUCUUCCUAUCAUAAAAAUAAUACUUUUAACUUGAAUAAAUAAAAAUAAUAUUUUAAAUCCUCAAGUAUAUAUUUCGAUUUUAUUAAAGAAUCUUCUGUUUCUUGUUUUAUUAUUUUUCAUAAUUCCAAAAAUAACAUAAAGAAAAUAUAUCAUUCCAAAUAUAGGAAAACCGAAAAAGGCAAAACAAGAAUUGCCAAUUCUCUUUAAACUUAACCAUUAAGGGUAAAAUAAUCAAUAAAAAGUUCAAAGGAUUAGCGAGCGAGUAUUUGGUGUGAAUUAACACACAAUCUUAUUAUCAUGCCUUUAUUUCUAAAUUGACUUCACAAAUAUAUACAUCCAUCACUUGCCUAUAGUUUAAUGUAAAAUGAAAACCAGAUUUUAUGUCGGUUCAAAGGAGAAAUCCUUCUCUCGUGAGAACAUUGAACUCUUUCCAUACCUAUAUUAAUUAUAUAUAUAUAUAUAUAUAUACACGUACAGGUUUAACAUUUUACCAUUUAAGAUUCAUUUUAUACCCUCUUGUACAGUAGCAUAGUGCAGACUGAUAUCAUCAUCAUGAUGAUAAAAAGAAAAAAGAAAUAUUAUUAUUUCUAAUAAAUAUUUUUUAUAUAAAUUAUUAAUAUAGUCAAUCCAUUUCACAAUAAAAUAUAUUAAUACAAAAUAGAAAUGUUUCCUAUGCUUGAACUUCCUUGUCUUUUCUACACUAAUAGGUACAGGAAGAGGUGAACCAAGUAGGGGGUGUGAAAUUGUCUUGAAAUCACAGAAAUGUUUCCUAUGCUUAACGUUUCUUUUCCUUUGUACACUAAUAGGUACAAGAAGAGGUGAACCUAGUAGUGGGUGUGAAGAAACAAUGUGACAAGCUGAAAAGCAAUCUCCUUGAUAUCCAAUCUGUCCUUGAAGAUGCAGAUAGAAAACAAGUGAAGGAUAAGGCUGUAAGAGAUUGGGUAGACAAGCUCAAAGAUGCAUGUUAUGAUAUGGAUGACGUGCUAGAUGAAUGGAGCACUGCAAUUCUUAGAUGGAAAAUGGAGGAAGCUGAAGAAAAUACUCCCAGCCGACAGAAGAUACGGUGUUCCUUCCUGGGAUCUCCUUGCUUUUGUUUCAAUCAAGUGGUUCGACGUCGCGACAUUGCCCUGAAGAUCAAAGAAGUUAGUGAAAAAGUGGAUGACAUUGCCAAAGAGAGAGCUAAGUAUGGCUUUGAUCUGUACAAAGCCACUGAUGAACUCCAGCGACGACCAACAAGAACAAGUACCUCCUUUGUUGAUGAAUCAAGCGUGAUUGGUCGAGAUGGUGAAAAGAAAACUGUUUUAAGCAAGUUGGUGGGUGAAAGUAGUCAGGAAGCACGGGACGUUGAUGUCAUCUCUCUAGUAGGGCUGGGCGGAAUUGGAAAAACAACUCUCGCCCAACUAGCUUUUAAUGAUGCUGAGGUUACGGCUCAUUUUGAGAAAAAGAUAUGGGUGUGUGUUUCAGAACCAUUUGAUGAGGUUAGAAUAGCCAAAGCAAUCCUUGAGCAGCUUGAAGGGAGACCAACGAAUUUGGUUGAAUUGCAAUCCCUUUUGCAAGGGGUUUCUGAAUCCAUUACUGGAAAGAGGCUCCUUCUUGUCCUUGAUGAUGUCUGGACAGAAAAUCAUGAACAAUGGGAAAAACUGAAACCAUCUCUCACAGGCUGUGCACGAGGAAGCAGAAUUCUAGUGACCACUCGUAAGGACGGUGUGGCAACGAUGAUGGGAACUGACCACCGAAUCAACAUUGAGAAAUUGUCCGAUGAGAUAUGCAGGUCAAUAUUCAAUCAUGUGGCAUUCCAGGAAAGAAGCGAAGAUGAGCGCGAAAGAUUGACAGAUAUCGGCGACAAAAUUGCAAACAAGUGUAAGGGCUUGCCUCUAGCUGCCAAGGUAUUAGGAUGUCUAAUGCAGUCUAAAAGAACAAGAGAAGAGUGGGAACGUGUUUCAUCUAGCGAACUGUGGAGGCUAGAUGAGGUUGAUAGAGAUCAGGUUGAAAGACGAAUAUUUAUACCUUUGCUUUUGAGUUACUAUGAUUUACCUUCUGUGGUAAGACGAUGUUUCUUGUAUUGUGCCAUGUUUCCAAAAGACUACGAGAUGGGAAAAUAUGAAUUGGUGAAGAUGUGGAUAGCUCAAGGUUACCUCAAGGAGACUUCAGGUGGAGAUAUGGAGCUUGUAGGAGAGCAGUACUUUCAAGUCUUAGCAGCGCGCUCUUUCUUUCAAGAUUUUGAGACGUAUGGUCGAGAAGGUAUUAGAUUCAAGAUGCAUGAUAUAGUGCAUGAUUUUGCCCAAUAUAUGACAAAAAAUGAAUGUCUAACAGUGGAUGUCAAUACACUUGGAGGAGCAACAGUGGAGACUUCAAUUGAAAGGGUUCGUCAUUUAAGCAUGAUGCUGCCCAACGAGACCUCUUUUCCCGUGUCCAUUCACAAAGCAAAAGGUCUUCGCAGCCUCUUGAUCGACACUAGAGACCCUUCGCUUGGAGCUGCACUACCUGAUUUAUUCAAGCAGUUGACAUGCAUCAGGUCAUUGAAUUUGACAGGGUCUCAAAUCAAAGAAAUACCAAACGAGGUAGGGAAAUUGAUACAUUUGAGACACCUCAAUUUGGCAAGGUGUGUAGAGUUGGAGUCCCUGCCAGAAACCAUGUGUGAUUUAUGCAAUCUGCAAUCCCUAGACGUUACUUGGUGUCAGUCUCUCAAGGAAUUGCCCAAGGCGAUUGGAAAACUUAUCAAAUUGAGGCAUCUCCGGAUUGAUAGUUCAGGAGUGGCCUUCAUACCUAAGGGAAUAGAGAGGAUAACAUGUCUUCGAACAUUAGAUGUGUUUAAUGUGUGUGGUGGUGGUGAGAAUGAAAGUAAAGCAGCUAAUCUAAGAGAAUUAAAAAACUUAAAUCACAUUGGAGGGAGUCUUAGUAUACCGAAUCUAGGAGGAGGUAAAGAAGAUGCGAGUGACGCUGCAGAAGCACAACUCAAGAAUAAGAAGCGCCUGCUUAGUUUGGAAUUGGGUUUCGACAGAGAGAAAACAGAGUUGCAAGCGAAUGAAGGCUCUUUAAUUGAAGCUUUACAGCCUCCGUCAGACUUGAAAAAUCUAACCAUAACUAGGUACGGAGGGUUGGAUUUGCCAAAUUGGAUGAUGACAUUAACCAGAUUACAGGAACUGACACUCAUUGACUGUACAAACGUGGAGGUCUUGCGUCCGUUGGGUAGAUUGCCCAACCUUGAAGGCCUGGUAUUGAUGUUGUUGAAGGGGAGAAGGUUGGAUUUUGGAUUUUUAGGUAUAGAAAAAGAUGAGAAUGCCAGUAUUAAUGAAGGAGAGAUUGCAAGGGUCACUGCUUUCCCCAAAUUAAAAACACUUUGGAUUUUGAAUCUUGUAAAAGUAGAAGAGUGGGAAGGAAUUGAAAGGAGAGUGGGAGAAGAAGAUGCCAACACAACUUCAAUAAUAUCCAUUAUGCCACAGCUUCGACUGUUGAUGAUUGAUGGUUGCCCGUUGUUGAGAGCACUACCAGACUAUGUUUUGGCAGCGCCUCUACAGGAACUACGCAUAAUUAGAUGCCCCAAUCUAAGGAAACGUUACGGGAAGGAGGAGAUGGGUGAAGAUUGGCAAAAGAUUUCUCACAUCCCAAAGAUUUCUAUUAAAGAAUAGUUAAGACACCACUACGUACGGAAGUCUGUAGGACCGGCAGGAAGAGGUAUGUUUGAUAUACCUCUUUACUGUAUAUUGUUGACUUUGGAUUGUAUUUCCUACUUACCAUUUAUUCUAUCAAAUGCAGCAUAAAAUUACCUCUCUCUCACAUCCUCUCUCUCCCUCCCAACAUAUAUAAAAUAAUAUGUAAUUCAUAUGUUUAUAUUUAAAGAAUAGUUUAGACCGGCAGGAAGAGCUAAUUUUUUAUUUAAUUAUUGAAUUAUACUUAAAUUUCAAAGGUUGUUGCAAUUUAAGCUCUCUCUCUUAUUUUUUUCUCUCUCUCAUUUUCUUGUCAUUUUCGAAUGUACUAUGUUGUUGAUGGGUGCUUAGAUACUAUGUUGUUGAUUUUAUUAUUUGUUUUGGUGUUGUAGCGGCAAACGGUGUUGUUAUUGCAACUGAGAAGAAAUUGCCAUCUAUUUUAGUCGAUGAAUCUUCUGUAAGUAAACAUUUAUUAUUAUUUUUUUUGGUUUUGUUAUAUUCUUUGGUUGAAAUUCAAGUAACCCUUUUGUUUUUUUGCGUUUUCUUUAGUGACAUCGGUUGGUAGAAAUCUGUUCAAAUUCGGUGUAAAUUUGUAAUUUUUAUUAGUAAUUUGAGCCUAGUGAUUUGGGUUCUUGCCAAUGAGGCGUUACUAUACUAGUCAAUGACUCUUAAGAUUGGGACUUUGCAUGUUGGAGUGUGUAGAUUUAUAUCCUCUUUAAUCCCACAUUGUAUAAAAAGGUGGUGUUGGUUAUUUUAAAUCGUGUUGAAUGAGGUGGAGAUGGUUUGAUUUUGGAGCCAGUCGAUUGGUCUAUUAUUCUAAUUUGCAAGAUGGUAUAUAACUUGAGUUGGUUGUUGAUGGUAUUUAAUUGCUUCUUGUUUCAGGUUCAGAAAAUACAGAAUCUGACACCCAAUAUUAGAGUUGUCUACAGGUUUGUUUCUGCCUGCUUCUCAGUAAUUAGGAAUUUCCAUUUUUUUAGCUUGUGUUUCUCUGGCCUUAACUAUUGCUAAAAUAUCUGUCAUGAAUGAUUGUAGCAGGCGGGUGUGUAGAUUCAAAGCUCUCUUUAUGUUUGGUGGGAAAUUGUAUAGUUUCUGCUGUUGUUAUAGUGUCCUGAUAAGUGUGAAAUUUGACCCGGGGUGGUAAAUUGAGAUAGAAGCAUGCCUGCUUAUAAUCUGAACUUCAGUGGAACUCCUUGUAGGUCAAUGUUCUUAAUUGGUCUGGUUAUGGACUUGACUUUGACAUGCUGUACAUGUACGCUGUUUCUGAUUCAACCGAAAAAAAGAGGGGGACAAAUAUGUAGUUCCUUAGAAAAAUAAAAAUAAGGCAUUCCUCUGUACAUGGGUUUGAAAUAAGACAUCUUGGCAAUUUGGUUGCUCAAUGCAACUUGUGCAACUUAUUACCUAUGUCAAAAUGGGUUGCUUUGCUGUAAUUGUUUCUUGACAGUGCUGAAUCACAUGUAUUUUGUUGCAGUGGAAUGGGUCCUGACUUUCGAGUUUUGGUUCGGAAAAGUAGGAAGCAAGCAGAGCAAUAUCAUAGACUGUACAAGGUACCCAUCUUCAAGAUUUUCAAAAUCUGCUACAUCAGUCUUCAUCCUAUUCCACCAAUAACACACCUUAAGGUCUUUAUACAUCUUGGUGGAACCUGGAUGCAUUGUGUAAACUGUCUGAUGUGCCUCUACCAUCAAUUCUCUCCUCAGAUCAUCUACAUCAGGUACACAAAGCCUAUCCCUAUAUCUCAGCACAUCAUCAUCACCUAUCACAAAACCUGCAGCCUUACCCUGCUCAACCUCAUUUCUAAUCCCGAGUAGUGAAUCAUCUUUCUUCUGAGCUGCUUUUAUCUUAUCAAACAAAUCUGACUUAACCUGAAAAUGAGCAAUCAUUGCUCCAGCUUCACUAAGAUCAAAUCUGACUCCUUCAUCCACCAACUCAUGCAGCUCCCUAAUCAGAGGUCUUCGUACCUCCUGAAUAUGAGCUAAGCUCCCUGAUGAUUUUCUACUCAAAGCAUCGGCAACUACAUUUGCCUUACCCGGGUGGUAAUGUAUGGUACAAUCAUAAUCCUUCAGCAGUUCCAUCCAUCUCCUUUGCCUCAGGUUUAGAUCCCUUUGCUGAAAGAUAUAUUUCAAACUCUUGUGAUCUGUGAAGAUCUCACAAGUUUCACCAUACAAGUAGUGCCUCCAAAUCUUCAAGGCAAAAAUUACAACUGCCAUCUCUAAAUCAUGUGUAGGAUAGUUCUGUUCAUGCUUCUUCAACUGCCGUGAAGCAUAGGCAAUAACCUUGUCAUGCUGCAUUAGAACACAUCCUAACCCCACUCUCGAAGCAUCACAAUACACUGUGUAACCACCAGAACCUGAUGGUACUGCUAGAACAGGCGCUGUAGUCAAUCUCUCUUUCAACUCCAAGAAACUUUUCUCACAAGCUUCAGACCACUGAAACUUAACAUUUUUCUGCGUUAACUUAGUCAAUGGUGCAGAAAUUCGAGAAAAGUUCUCCACAAACCUCCGAUAGUAGCCGGCCAAACCUAAGAAACUUCUAAUCUCUGUCGCCGAAGUAGGUCUAAGCCACUGCUUAACUGCUUCAAUCUUUUGAGGAUCAACCUCAAUCCCAUUCCUUGACACUACAUGCCCAAUAAAUGCUACACUCUCCAACCAAAACUCACUCUUUGAGAACUUGCCAUACAACUGAUGUUCUCGCAGAGUUUGAAGCACCAUUCUCAAGUGCUGCUCAUGCUCCUCCCUAGACCUCGAAUACACCAAAAUAUCAUCAAUAAAAACUAUCACAAAUCGAUCAAUAAACUGGCCAAACACUCUAUUCAUCAAAUCCAUAAAAGCUGCUGGUGCAUUCGUCAACCCAAAAGACAUCACUAAGAACUCAUAAUGACCAUACCGAGUUCUAAAAGCUGUCUUCAAAAUGUCUGUCUCCCUAAUCCUCAACUGAUGAUACCCAGAUCGAAGAUCGAUCUUAGAAAAGAAUUGAGCUCCCUGCAACUGGUCAAACAAAUCAUCAAUGCGGGGGAGUGGGUAUCUAUUUCGAAUAGUCACCCGAUUCAGUUGCCUAUAAUCUAUACAUAACCUCAAUGACCCAUCUUUCUUCUUCACAAACAACACUGGGGCUCCCCAAGGGGACACACUUGGUCGGAUGAACUUUUUAUCCAACAAAUCCUGCAGUUGCUCCUUUAACUCCCUCAAUUCUGCUGGCGCCAUUCUAUAUGGUGCCAUUGAUAUUGGUUCAGUACCCGGAACCAAAUCAAUACAAAACUCAAUAUCCCUAUAUGGAGGCAAUCCAGGUAAGUCAUCGGGAAAGACAUCAAUAAACUCCCUAACUAUAGGGACUUGGUCUAAUUGAGGAACUUCUUUCUCUACAUCCACUAUAUAUGCUAGGUAGCACUGUACCCCUUUUCUAGCCAUUUUCCUCGAGAUAGCCGACAACAUAAUUGAUGGAGACCCAAUCUUAUCUCCUUGAAAUACCAACCCAACUUCUUCAUCUAGAUCAAAUAUUAUUUUCUUACCCCAACAAUUUACCGAAACCCUAUGCUUUGCCAACCAAUCCAUUCCCAAAAUCACAUCAAAAUCAACCAUAUCUAAGACAUUUAAGUCUCCCAUAAAAAUCUUAUCUCCAAUCUCUAUUUCACAAUCCAGAUACACAUACUUCACUAAUAUUAAUUCAUCUAAGGGAGUGGAGACUGAAAUGGGGGAUUUUAACAAGGUUGGUUGUUUAUCUAACCUCAUGGCAAAAUAUGGGGACAUAAAUGAAUGGGUUGCACCCGUAUCAAACAACACUUUUGCUUCAAAAGAGCAAACAGGAAGAAUACCUGAAACAACUGUGUUGGAUGCCUGAGCAUCCUGCUGAGUCAAGGCAAAAACUCUGGCAUGCCCCUGACCCUGCUGUAUCUGACCUCUAUCACCUGCACCCCGGCCUCUCUGACCACGGCCACCAAAACCUCUACCCCUAUGAGCCACAGACUGGCUCGUCGAUGGUGCCUGAAUAGGAUGCUGAACUGAAACAGAUAACCCCGAAGCUGACAACUGUCUCCUUGGGCACUCUCUGAUCUUAUGACCUAUCUGGCCACAACUAAAACAAGCCUCGGUCCUUCUGUAGCACUCUGCACUAGUAUGACUUCCUCCACAGUGCUGACAUGAAGAACUAUCACUAGGUGUAAUAAAUGAACUACGAGGUGCAGUCUGAACUAAACUCUGAGUACCACUACUGCCACUCUGACCGCCUGAGCCACUAACUGACGGUCUCUGUCUAAACCUCCUCUGAACCCAUGAGCCCUGACGACCACUUCGUCCCCUAGACGGACCUGCACUUAAUCCCUGUUGCCUAAAAGACUGACCCUCUUCUCUAGGCCUCUUAGACUGGCCUGCAGUCAUAUCCUCCAAUUCUCGCGCCUCUAUCAAUCUGGCGCUAUCAACAGCUAAAGAGUAUGAUGGAAACACCUGUGACACCAUCACCUUAUACAUAGAGGAUUUGAGUCCUCUAAUAAACCUCUUCACCCUUCACUCCUCAGUGGGUAGAAGAUGUUCUGCAUACCUAGACAGCUGAGUGAACUUCAGAUCAUACUCAUCCACUGUCAUGCUCCCCUGAGAUAGCCUCUCAAACUCAUAAAGUCGAGCAUCUCUGACGCUCUGAGGGAGAAACCUGUCUAAGAACAUGGAGCUAAACUCCUUCUAUAUCCACUGAGACUCUACUGGUCUUGCUCUUUUCCUAGACUCAAACCAAGAGAUUGCCACAUCUCCUUCCAACCUGAAUGAUGCCAAACUCACAGCUCGGUGGUCUGUACAUCCCAAAGCUUCACACCGUCGCCAAAUAUCAUCUAGGAACCUCUGAGGAUCCUCUGAACUAUCCAUCCCAGUAAAAAUAGGAGGUGCCAACUUCAUGAAGUCAUUCAACGGCACAUUAACUCCCUGAACAGUGUGGGAUGUCGAGGGUACAUCUCUAUCCCUCCUUCUAUCUCUCUCCAUAGAAAACUCUAUCCAGGUCCGCACAACCUGGCUAAGUUGCUGAAACUCUGUAACAGGUUCAGGGUCAGCUACCCCCACACCUGUUUCAUCAACAAUAUCUUCCUCUUCUAUCUCCUAAGGCUCUUCCUCCACUGGUGGAGGUACCUCCUCAACAUGUUGAGGCACGGGUGCACCGCGCCUCCUUCUCUGCCUUGCAGUUCUCAACCGCCCAAUAGGGACAUCAUCCUGAUCAUCCUCUACUCUAACAGUAUCAGCUAUUCGUCUAUUCCUCGACAUUUCCUAAAAUAAAAGUGAGAGCACUCAAGUCAUGCUAGAACAAUAGCAUGAUAAUUAUCACAGAAUUAUAGGAAAGCAUAUCUAUCACAAGGAAGAAGACAUGCUUGAUGAGAAUUCAGAAUUUCAAAGACAACAAACAAGACAAUACGGAUCUUAAUGCUCCACUUAUUAUGAAAUUAAUUAUAUUAUUGUUUCUUUAACCUAAAGCUCUGAUACCAAGUUUGUCACGACCCGAAUCCCGGAUCCAUGACCGGCACAUAGACAAGGUUCCCCUCCAAGGUUCCAUACCUAUGUGAACCCAAACUUACACACAAACUUAUCUUAACUCAAUCAGAGUUCAACGCAGCAUUAAUAACAAAAUCAACUUUAUAAUAUAACUGAAUUGUCUUAAUACAAGAGUUAAUAUAAUUCAUAGUUUUGGAGCACUAACUUGACAUAAAAGAAAAGUACAAAAUACAACCAAAGAGCAGGUUCUGAAGGUCCAACAAAAUGACCUGCUAUCAAGCUAUAAGCCUGAAAAGGAUAAAUAAUGAGAUGGUGAGUUCAACAACUCAGUGAGUAGAUAACGUUCAAUAUACACACACGAGGUAAUACAACAAUGAGAAAUAUAUAUAUACAAGUAUGGCUCUAGGUUCUUAUAGAAAGGUUUCUCAAAUAGGCCAUAACAAGAAUAUCAUAUGGUAAAGCUCGUCAGAAAAUCAAAAUGCAAUGAGCAUGAGGCUCCGUACUGUGGGAUGAUCAGUCCACACAGGUUGGUGACUCCCCCGACCAACUAGGGUUCAGAUACGAUGUGCACAAAGACUAACACUACCCUGUUAGCAUGGGUAUUUUGACUGACAUACCAUAGGUUCAUAAUCAUAUUCAAACAGACAUAUUCAUAUCUCAAGGCUCAACUCAUGACAUCAAUCAAAUGAGGAGCUAUCAAUUCAGAAGUCAAUCCCAAAUAUAUACUGGUUCAUAUCAAGAAUUCAGAUUCAACAAUUGAUCAUGUUUAAUCAAAACAAAGAUAAUAAUCAACAUAUAUAUUAUCAAGAAGCAUGAUCCAAUUCAUAUUAACAAAUCAAAUAUUUAUAAUAUUUCUCAUGCAUAUGGAAAAUUAUCCACUCACCUGACUCGAAAGCAACAAAACUCAAAGCUGAUAUCGAAGGAAAUCCUACUGACGUCCCGCCGGUAGAAUAUCAGGAUUAUCUGAAUAUAAAGGAGACAUAUUCAAGAACGACUCGAAAGAAUAUUUAACUUAUUUAAUACACUUAACUAAGGGUGUAUUCCAUAACCCUAUAUGUUUUUGAACUAACUAGUUAUCUUUCCUAAAAACCCAACAUUUAACGGUUUUCCCGAAAUCUAAUCCAUAAUAAAAACAACUAAUAAAAUUGAUAAUAAUUUACUAAAUAACCCUUAAUUAUUCAUCAAACCAAUCUGAAAAAGCUAAUAUUACAGCUAGGGACUAAUCUGUAAUUUAUCCUAUUUUUAAGGGUCAAAUUGCAACUUUUGUCUAAUUGGAGGACCAAACUGAAAUUUAUCAUAAAUCCAUGAAUAUACUGAAAUUCUGACCAUAACUAGUCCUCAUUUCUGUCCAGAUCAUCUCAUUAUACUCCAAGGACCAUUCUGGAAUUUUACCAAAUUUUUAGGGUCAAAUUGUAAUUUUUAUCAAAUUGGAGGACCAAAUUGAAAGUGUUAAAUUCUCUUAUCUAUACAAUAAUUCUGUCCAUAAUUCAUAUGUUAUUCUGUUCAGAUUCUCGGAAUAGGCUCCAGGGACCAAUCUGCAAAUUUUCCAAAGUUUGGGGACUAAACUGUAAUUUUCCAAAAUUGAGGGACCAAACCGAAAUUUUGUCAUCUUCAACCUCCAACCCAGAAUUUUUAACAGAAACCUACUGUUCUUGCCAAAUUUCUAACUCAACAUUCACCAUUUAGACAAUUCAUAACUCAAAAUUAUCACAAUCUUCCAUAAUCAACUCAUUAAUCAAUUACCCAUAACAAUCAACCUUAUAACAUUCAAUUUAAUUCAUCAAUUAAACCCAAAACACAAAUUUUCAAAACCCUAACAUUUAUCAAAACCAAAAUUAAAAGCUCAAUAAUACAAAUUUAUACAUUUAACAACCUAAAUCUUACCUUUUUACUUAUUUCCUCCAACUCCUUUCUAUUUCCUUUCUAAUUUCCCUCUUUUCUCUUCUUCUUCUUCUUUCUCCCUUCUCCCUUCUCUCUCACGGUUUUUCACUCAAAAUAUUCAGAUCUCUUCUUCUUCUUUUUCUUUCUAUUUAUAUUUCUUAUGUUUAUCUAAUUACUACAAUACCCUUAUUUAUUUAUACUCCAACUUUUAAGCCUACAAGGACUUUAUUGUAUUUUCCUACUCAUUUAUUCAAAACAUCACAUAAUGCUUGAUAACCUGGUUAAGAUAAUAUAUCUGGAAAGUAGUUAUUGAGGUUGUCUAUAUUACAAGACUUCUUGUUAGUUUUCUUAUUCCCAAUAAUACCAUUCUGACCCCCAAAACAGCUGAAUUUUGCUUGAAAUCCAAGAGUUAAAUAUCCGAUUACUAUUUUAUAUCAAUUCAUUGUCAUCUUUUGUUGUUAAUCGUGAAGGUUGUGACUUGUGAAUUUUUAUGAUUGUAGGAACCAAUUCCUGUCACACAACUUGUGAGGGAAACUGCUGCUGUCAUGCAAGAGUUUACUCAAUCUGGGUACUGGAACAUCUUUUAUACAUUCAAAGUGUUUCAGUGGUUUUAGUUGAUUUCCUUUGUAAUUUAGAUCUGAAUUUCAAUUUCCAAAGUUCAUAACCUUAGCCCUUAUUCUAAUAAGCCAACAACUCUCUCCCUAUGUUCCUGCAUCAGCAUGUCAACUCUUCAUGCUCUUAUUCUUGAAGUUUGAAAAUACUCAUCCUUUGUUUUUCCUCGCAGAGGUGUAAGGCCUUUUGGAGUAUCUUUGCUAGUCGCUGGUUUUGAUGACAAAGGUCCACAGCUGUACCAGGUGUCUUUGCUAGUCACUGUGUUAAUGUCUGAAGUCAUUAACUAUUUUUUUUUUAUCUGGAUUAUCCACUGCAGACUAUGUGGUAGCCUAGUAUUCUAGAAGCUGUAGGCCUUUGUGACUAUCAUGCACCCUUCUGUGUGCCCAGAGGGUUGAUAAGUUUUUGACCUUUUGUUUUCUUGGUUGAGAUUUGGAUGGAUUAUGACUCACUUGUGUUGCCUUUUUAAAAAUAUGUUAGACUCUUGCACUCAAAUCAUAGUUCUUCUGAUGAUGUUAUGUUUUGUAUUUGUUUGGCUAGGUUGAUCCAUCAGGUUCCUACUUCUCAUGGAAAGCCUCAGCAAUGGGGAAAAAUGUUUCAAAUGCAAAAACAUUUCUUGAGAAGAGGUAUUUAUUUGUUUUUGGUACCAUGAAAUGCAUUGAUUCUGCAAAAACUUCUAAACAUCUUCAUGGGUUCUCCUAGCUAGCAACAAAUGUGUUUCCACCUCCAGCCAUCAACUGCCAAACAUAUUCUUCAUUCAAAGAUCAAGCUACCUUCAAUUUUCAACUGCCAGUUUACUUUGUGCUACUCCCAUCGUUCUUUAUAUAAUUUAUUGUACUUCAUUCUCCCCAUCCAAGAAGAAUUGGAUUGUCUUUUUUUUUUUGAAAAAAAAAAGAAAAAAGAAAGUGAAAAAAAGAAUUGAAUGGACAGAAACAUGGUAAAUAUUUUGGUUUUUUGUCCACAUAUCUUCAUUUGAUUUGAACAACUUUUGUUUUCCCUAACUUAAUAUGUGCUCUGUAGAUACACUGAUGAUAUGGAGCUUGAUGAUGCUGUACACACCGCUAUCUUGACACUAAAAGAGGGGUACAUCACUUUAAAAUUUCCUCCACUUUUUAUUUUUGAAUUUGAGCAGUGGUGUUUUUUACAAGGUUUGGUAUAUAAAAAGUAGAAGAAAAAUUCAGUAGGUUUAAUAUACUUGCGCCAUGCACGAGCACCCGGUUCAUUACAUAAUUGAUUGAUAUACUUGUAAUUCAGCCAUUUAGGUAUUGCGAUUUUCUGCCACACAUACUGAGUAUCGUAGGUAAAAUGAAUUCUAAGUAACAGUAGUCUAGUUGGGGUCUUCAGCCUUGAGAACUUAAAUUGGCUCUCAACACUUCAGUUAGUAGUUCAGGAGAUUAAAUUAUGUGAGAUACUGUUUAAGUGAAAAUGAAUGAAAGUUUCUCAACCCAGUGUCAAUCAAAUGUACUUGCAGGUGCUUAAAGGUUCCUUUUCUUUCCUCUUAGUGAUUUUAAGUUGUUAAUUUGUCGAGUCUUGCUUCUAUAAUCAGAGUGAUGGUGGAUUAGUGAGCAUAAUCUUAGUAUUUGCAAAGUGGUCAAAGAGAGAUAUAAAUGAGCAUUUUAAAGUUUCUUACAAGUUCUGAGUGUGUCCCUUGUAACCUUACAAGAUUGUUUGUGUUUGCAGAUUUGAAGGGCAGAUUUCUGGGAAAAACAUUGAAAUUGGGAUAAUUGGUGCUGACAAGCAAUUCAGGCAUGCUCUUUCUUGACCUUUUUCCUUAUUAAACUUGGUAAUAGUGUCACGUAAUUUCAAGCUUAGGAUGAGUUCCAGAAGUAACUUGCAGGAUGCACAUUUUUGUUAACACAGUUCAUAACUAGAUAAAAUCUGAUAUCUAAAAUCUUUUGGAUCUCACCAAUUUCAUAUAUGGCCUUCCACUUGUGGUUUCAAUUUUGAAGUUCUGAUUUUCACGCACUCUUGCUCUAGUUUCAGUCUGACAAUUUACACAUGAGACUCGUGUUCAAAAUGGCCAAUCCACUCUUUCUUUGAAUGUUUAAGCUUCCUUGGAAGAAGUUAUGUGUGGCAUGACCAUGGCAAUCUUAUCCCUUGUGCUUUCUUUACUGCAGGGUACUAACUCCAGCCGAAAUUGAUGAUUAUUUGGCUGAAGUGGAAUAGACAUUGUAUUUUUUGGCUAAAGUGGAGUUCUUCCCUGUAUUGACACCAAUCGAGAUACAUGUGUUACUUUCCUCUGGAAUUGCUUGAAUCAGUUGCUUUUAGCCGAAGUUUCUAUUAAUUCCAAGUUUUCAGAACUGUAAUGUGGAAAUGUUAUAGGACUUCUCUCCAAUCUUAGAUGGCUUCUAAAGUUUUGCAUCAAUAUGAUUUCCUAUAGGAUACGUUUGACAGAGUGCAGAAAAUUGGUCUUUUCAAUUAUAUCUAUCUCCUCUCAAUGCUUGACCUGUAAUAUGCCCGUUCUUAUUUAAUUCCAAUGGAGCUUCGAAGAGGGAAAGAGAGGGGCCAUGGAAUAUGGAUAUCGAAUUGCAACUCAAUUGACACUUCAGAGCCUCGUCUUUGCAACAAGUCUCAUGCUGGAGUUUUUGCUGUUAAAUUAUACUAAUAAUAAUGACAAUAAUUUGUCCAUUGUGUUUAAACAAAUUAACCUUGGUCUAUUUUUUUUAUGAAAAAUAAACUUUUUUAGAAUUGAUUAUUCUAGCUAUCAGCUACCGUCACAAUAUAGAACCCCAUGCAACCUCAAAGACACCACGAGGCUACAAGAAUGCUAUUGUUUGACUCCUUAAGUUCGUUAGAGAUAUUUUGAGGCUUUUGUCCCUUAGUAAACAGAGAAAAACAUAAGCUACUUUUGUCUGGCAGUGCUGGUCUUCACCCACGUAGUCCAUUAUCCAAGAAAACACUCUUCACAUAUCUUCUUGCUUGCUGAAUGUUUACAGCUACCCAACUCCAAACUCCUCUUUUAUGCUUUCAUGUAAGUCGUAUCCUUCCUUCCUUCCUCUCUUUCUCCUCUUGCUGGAUAACAUUGCUUGUUCAAGGAAUUUCUUGUACUGGGAAAUGGGUUUCAAUGGAAUUGCUAAGUAUCAACGUUCACUUGACAGAGGAUGUCUAAAUUGUUUUGUGUUCUUGUUAGUUAAAACAUUUUCGCAUUUUGUUGGCUCUCAUAUGUAUUGAACGAGCAAUCAUCAUUAUCUGAAAAGUCUUACUGUGAAUUCAGAAAUUAUAAGAUGAAGGACCAGUUUUAGCUGUCAAAGUGCUAGGCUUAUCGUUGUUGAACUCUAACCAGUCUUCAACAGUUGUGGCCUUGUUUAUCUUGCAAAUUUUGAUUUUUGUAGUUUAAUCAGAUAGUUUAGACUAAUAUUUGAUUCUGUAAUGAAAAUACAACCUAUACUCACAGCAAUUAAGAAUUAUUGCGAAAGAAAGAGAGAAGAUAUUUGGUUUAGAAAGGGAAAGUUGACAACUUUUCUUCUUCUUUUUUAACUGUGUAUUCUGGUUUGCAUUUCAGGUGUUUGCUAUUGUGAUUAAAAGUAGUUUUAGUGUCUCUCUUUGUCCAAUUAUUUUGCAUUCCAAAGCAUCCUUUGCAUGGAUUUUAUUUGGUUGCUUCCUCUGUGUAAUGGCUUUAAAUUAAGAGGUGUGUAUGUUUGUUGCUGGCAAUUGUGUGUUUACUUGAUUAGUUUUUGCAGGUUGCUUGUUAGAUGCACACUGAAUCAUAUUUUUAUAGAAUCAAGUAUCCGGAAUGGUCAUUUCAGACGCAGAGAAAAGAAUUCCAGUAGUGGAGAUGUUAAAAAGUCGAAAAGCGACAGGGUCUAUAUCGACAAACAUGGCAAAUGGCGAAUCUUUGAUCACAAAAAGAUGUCCAGGAAACGAUGUAAUACGGAGUAAUUCACUUCGUGCUCCUACAUAUAACUGCUGAAGCAAAUAUGGCUUUAAUUAUUAAGUCGUCUUUUUUACCUAGGUGGCUCUUUGAGGGGACAAGGAUGGAAAUAUGGAUCUGGAUUUGUUGAUGGAAUUUUCCCAGUGCUAGGUCCUGUUGCUCAUCAGAUUCUGAACUUUGUGCGGAAAGAAGUGGAUCCGAAUAAUGUUUGGGCUGCUCUUGACACUCUUCCUGUCACUCACGAGACUUGGGAUGAUCUUAUUAAUGUAGCCGUCCAACUUCGUUUGAAUAAACAAUGGGAUCCGAUUGCUUUGGUGAGUAAAUCGUGCCUCAAUUCUUUCAUCGUGUAAGGUGGUAGGCGAUGGAUUAAACCACAUUGCACGCAAAUAUUUUUGUGGCAGGAUGUUUGCAUAGUAUUUUUCUCUUCAAUCAUUAAGACUGAACCCUCGAUUGUUCAAAUCUCCUUUAAGUGGUUGGUGCUGCAGUUGGUGUUCGGAAUUUUCAUAUACCAGCAUUUUCCUCCAACUGAAUGAAACAAAUCUCUUUACUGUCUCUAUUUAUUAUAUCGACAUUUUUAAUAUCGUGUGUUCUUAAUUCUUAAUAAUCUUGUUGGGUGUAACUCUAAAAUUUCCAGAUAUGUCAAUGGAUACUGUACAAGAGCUCCUUCCAGACAGAUGUCAUGUGCUACAAUUUACUAAUAGAUGCUUAUGGGCAAAAAUCUUUGUACAAGAAGGCAGAAGAGACAUAUGUUGAUCUUCUUCAAGCCAGGUGUAUCCCUACUGAAGACACCUAUGCCCUCCUUAUAAAGGCUUACUGUGCAUGUGGAUUGUUAGAAAAGGCUGAAGCUGCCUUUGUUGAUAUGCGAAAGUAUGGCCUUCCUCCAAGUAUGUGUUUACCAAUUCAUUUCUUCUUAGCUUUUAGGGAAAUUGCAUUUUCAAGAAGUUCUUGGACUACAUCAACUAUUUCUUAUAAAACAAAAUUUCCUCAACCUGUAAGAUUCUUUGCCUCAAAAAUUGAUUUUUUGUGGGGUUAAAUUCGUUUUAAAUUUUGAAACCUUGCUCAAUAAUUGCACAGGGCUGUAUUUCUUUUUUCUUUUCGGGGGUGAAGUAUACUAAACGUAGGACAAGAGAAGGUGGGCUCAUGGUCUGCAUAUUUCUUGUUGCUGCUAUACUAGUAGUGAUUACUACUCCUUAUCUACAUCACCAUGCUUAGAGAAUGGUUGAUUAAACCAAGAGGGACCCCUUACUAAUUUAGCUAAACCGGAACUGGAUUAGGCUAGAGGCUCCUGGAUGACAAACUUGCUUCUGUAGCUUUCCUUUAUGAGAUUGCGUGGGUUAUUUCUCUUCUUUUUGUGGUGGUGAAAUACAGGGCAUUAGUUCUGCUUUUGUGUUUCGUUCUCUUAUUUACACAUCUCAGAUUUUCAUUUUUCAAGCUGUUCUGUUGAUACACUUGCAUGCACAUUCAAGGAAGUGAAAAGUGAGCGUAUACUCCAAUUUUGGCCAGGUGAAAUUGUAUACAAUGCUUAUAUUGAUGGGUUAAUGAAGGCUGGAAACCCUCAAAGAGCAAUUGAGAUCUUUCAGCGAAUGAAAAAUGAUGGCUGCCAGCCCUCUACUGACACCUAUACACUGUUGAUCAACCUUCAUGGGAAGGUACGCUCAGUGGUAUUUGGUUCUGAAUUAUUCUGCAAAUCUGAUCUUCUUGAAAUGCCACUGGUCCCAGUAGAAAAUUAUUUGUAACUCGUACGUCUACAAGUCUACAGUGAUACAACAAACAACUUGAAAUAUAUGCAUUUAAUUUCAAACAAUUACCAGACUAAAUUCAAAGAUAUGGUUAUUAAUUCUGAUAACCCUGUACAACAGUGGUGUUUAGGAUCCUUAAAAACUCAUUUUGCUAAUCUUUUUCCUGUACACAGGCAAGUCAAUCUUACAUGGCCUUGAAGUUGUUUAACGAAAUGAGAAGUCAAAAAUGCAGACCAGAUAUCUGCACAUACACAGCUCUGGUGAACGCGUUUGCUAGAGAGGGACUCUGUGAGAAGGCAGAAGAAAUAUUUGAGCAGAUGCAACAAGAUAAGCUUGAGCCUGAUGUGUAUACUUACAACGCGCUCAUGGAAGCUUACAGGUUAGUAUCAUAGAAUGAUAUGGUGUUUCAAUAAUCUUUCAAAGAAAAUGGAAAAGAAUACUGGAGGUGCUGCUUCUUGCUUCCUAGAGAUUCCCAAUAGAACUGAUGAUAUUUAACUAUCUUGUCCUCACAGUCGUGCAGGUUUUCCUUACGGGGCUGCAGAAAUAUUUUCACUCAUGCGGCACAUGGGCUGUGAGCCGGAUAGAGCUUCAUUUAACAUCAUGGUAGAUGCGUAUGGGAGAGCUGGCCUUCAUGAGGGUAAGAUGCUUGAACCAAAUAGUAUCAAUGUACUUUAUUAAGUGAGAAUUGGAAAAAGAUUAAGCUCCAGAGAAUUUGGGAACAGUUUGAGCAUGUAAUGGUUUAAAAACGUUCCGAUCAACUAUACGAACUUGAAGGGAUCUAUAUUGCAACAUUUGGAUUAUAUUUUGGAACAGUGUUCAAUUUUAUUCUGGAGAUCUGCCAUAAUCUUUCUAGGAUUUCCUAGGAAACAAGAUAAAGUUGUAUGAGAUAUUAUCAGGCUAUCAGCAUUUCAUCCGUUUGCGACACCUUUCCUACUUGGAAGAAGUUCCUCUUGUUUUUCGUAUAUGCUCCUCGUAAUUUUGGCUUAAUGAUUUGGCUGCUCCUAUUUGCUUUUUAGAUGCUCAAGCGGUAUUCAAUGAGAUGAAGCGACUAGGAAUAACCCCUACAAUGAAAUCACACAUGCUACUUCUCUGUGCCUACUCAAGAGCAAGAAAUGUGGAUAAAUGCGAAGAAAUUGUUAACCAGAUGAGCGAAUCUGGGCUUGAACCAGACACGUUUGUCCUCAACAGCAUGAUGCACUUGUAUGGCCGCCUGGGCCAAUUUGAAAAGAUGGAGGAAGUUCUAACUGCAAUGGAAAAGGGACCUUAUGGAGCUGAUAUCAGUACAUACAACAUCUUAAUCAACAUAUAUGGACGAGCAGGAUUUUUCGAGAGAAUGGAAGGUAUUUUCCAAUCACUUCCAACCAAAAAUCUGAAACCUGAUGUUGUGACUUGGACUUCAAGAUUGGGAGCCUACUCAAGAAAGAAACUAUACGCAAGAUGCUUGGAAAUCUUUGAAGAAAUGAUUGAUGCUGGAUGUCACCCUGAUGGAGGAACUGCCAAUACUUCUAUCAGCAUGCUCAAGCGAAGAUCAAAUUGAACAGGUUACCACUGUAAUCAGAACAAUGCAUAAGGGCAUGGAGGCUGCUCUUCCUGCAUGAUUAAUGUGUAACAGUCCGGCAGCGCAUAAAGGAGCAAGACCAAGUUGAAGCCGGGGAAGAAAUGAGAGAGGCAUGUUGGAGAAGACUUACCUGCAGCAAAAAGAUAAGGUGAGCACGUGUAUGGUCAAGAUUGGACAAGAAGCACUUACGUGGAGGGCUGAGAUGAAGAAGCUCAUGCGGCUGACAGCUGACAAGGGAGUAAGUUCAAAGGCAAACGACACCGUUUGGGAGAAGAAAAAGAAUCCAAAUACAACACAGAUAAAUAAAACAGCUGUCAAUUCUAUCUGUUAUUCUUAAUUCCCAACUAACCGAGAAUUAUAAUAGAAGGGGGAGGAAGGGGCUGCAGAUAGGCAGGAAAUUGCUUUGAAGCAAAUCUCAUUCACCUAGGAGGCCCGGGCUACCUCGAAGCUGCCCAUAAAUCUAGAUUAGGGUUUAUCAACAUUGCAUUGUUCUUUCAAUUCGAGUUCUUUAAGAUAUUUCAUUUCAGUUGUUAUUUCAAUUUCCCCAGUUUUCUUUUUUUUUAAACCUGUAAGGCUCAGGUCUAAGAAAAGCUAUAAUAAGAAUUCCAGUAUUUUUCCCUUACUUACCAAGUUCAUUACAAGUGGUAUCAGAGCCACGAUUCUCGGAUGGCUGAAGGAACAAGAGUUUCACAACUGAUAGAAACAAUAUCAGGGAUGAAACAACAACAGGAGACGCAACAAUAAAACCAACAGAAUCAGCAGCAAAUAUUGGAAGACAUAGUUCAGCAAUUAAGAAACAUGUCUACCAGGAUGGAUCAGAUGGCUAAGGCCCAUGGGCUUCCCCCCAAUUCUCCCACUAGGUCAGUCAAUGGAAAUACAAGGCAUGAAGUAGUACCACAAGAAGGAAUUCAGCAGGUUCAACUCAAGUCAAUCAGAUUGGAGUUUCCCUGGUUCAAUGGAGAUGAUCCUAUUGGUUGGGUAUAUAAAGCCAAUCAAUAUUUUAACUUUCACAACACUCCAGCUCAACACAGAUUGUUUAUAGCCAGUUUUCACAUGGAAGGAAAGGCCAUAACAUGGUAUUAGGAACUAGAAGAAACCAGAAUUCUCACCAGUUGGGAGGCCUUCGUUAAGGCCCUCCAAAUUCGAUUUGGAACCUCAUCUUAUGAUGACCCCAUGGAGGCCCUCAUAAAUAUCAAACAGACAUCAACAAUAGAGCUCUACAAAACCCAAUUCGAAAUGCUUUCGAACCGGGUCAGAGGGCUGUCUGACUCUCACAGGCUCAGCUGCUUCCUAGGUGGAUUGAAGGAGGAGAUAAGAAUGGGAGUACGAAUGCUAAACCCUCAAAAUUUAGUGGCUGCUUAUGAAUUAGCAAGGAUGCAGGAGGAAAAUCUGAUAAUCAUGAGGAAAUCAUGGAGACCUAGUUUUAUGGGGUUUCAAGGCCGAAACCCAACACCAACUCAGCCCAGGGUUGAAAAUAAACCAGUUCUAGUACAGAGACUCACCCCUCCAUAGAUGAAGGAAAAAAGAGACAAGGGGCUUUGCUUUAAACGUGACAAUAAGUGGGGACCUGGCUAUAGGUGUGGAGGACCCAAGAUAUUCUUGAUAGAGGAAUUAGAGGAGGAGAUGAAGGAUAAAAAUUUUGUUCCUGAAGACCUGAUUGAUUUAGGAGACCCUCAGGAAGAAGGCAAGGAGGGAGUCGACAUAUCCCUCCAUGCAAUCAUUGGAAGUCCAAAUCCUAAAACUAUGAGCGUGUUAGUUAAGCUAAGUGGCCAUAAUUUCGUGGCCUUAAUUGACACAGGAAGUACACAUAAUUUCAUACAUCCAAGGGUAGCAAGAAGAGUAGGGAUGAAGGUUUUAAAACACAAGCCUAUUGGGGUGAACAUUGCAGAUGGUUCCAAGCUGUAGAGUGAGGGAAGCUGCUCAGAUAUCAAACUGAUGAUUCAAAGAGAUCAGUUUGUCACUCGGGCUUAUGUCAUACAGCUGGGAGGAUGCGAUAUGGUGUUAGGAAUCCAGUGGCUCAAAAGUUUAAGGCCUAUUCUCUGGGACUUUUCAGCCUUAAAAAUGGAAUUCCAAAAGGAGGGGAAGAGGGUCUUGAUUUGUGGAAUGGGAGUGGAGAAAUCAGAAGUAGACUGCAGCCCAACCUUUUUACAAGAAUUGAGAAGAGUCGAAGAAGGACUGAUUUUGCAAAUUUAGGAGCUGGGAUCAGUCUAGAAUAAAAUUCCAGAACAGAUUGAGAAUCUGUUGCUAGAAUUCAUGGAAGUUUUUCAAGAGCCAAAAUGAAUCCCACCUAGCAGAUCACAUGAUCACUCUAUACUGUUGAAAGAAGGUACCUCCCCAAUAAGUGUACGUCCUUACAGGUACCCCUACUACCAAAAAUCUGAGAUAGAAAAACUAAUUAAGGAGUUGUUGGUAAUGGGUACUAUAAGACUCAGCCAAAGCCCUUUUUCAUCGCCAGUCCUACUAGUUAGGAAGGCUGAUGGGUCAUGGAGAAUGUGUGUGGACUAUCGUGCCCUCAACAAGGAAACUGUGAAAGACAAGUUUCCCAUACCAGUUGUGGAAGAAUUAUUAGAUGAACUACAUGGUUCUCAAAAUUUUUCCAAGUUAGACCUCCGAUCAGGCUUCCACCAGAUCGGAAUGAAGGAAGAAGAUGUCCCCAAAACAGCCUUUAGAACUCAUAAAGGGCACUAUGAAUUUCUGGUGAUGCCUUUCGGCCUCACAAAUGCCCCUUUCACUUUUCAAGGAUUGAUGAAUGAUAUUUUUCGACCCUAGUUUUAACAUGAAUAGGGUUUUUUUAUAUAAUUUAUGAUAUAAAGACAAAAAGAAUUCAAGGAGAGGAUUUUCCAUGAAUAUGUAAAAUAUGUAAUUGGAUUGAAAUCUUAUCAUAGAGCAAUAUCUUAGACACUUUCUAUGGAAAAUAUGUAAAGGUGCCCAUCAAAACAUUUUCCAAGAAAAAAUAAUACAGUAAUUAUUUUUAUUGUUAUUGUUGUUGUUAUUAUUAUUAUUAUUUUAUGCUCGUAUAUACGAUUAGGAAGUUUUAACAAAGAAAACCGAAAAAGGCAAAACAAGAGUUGCCAAUUCUCUUUAAACUGAAAUAUUAAGGGUAAAAUAAUCAAUAAAAAGUUGAAAAGGAUUAGCGAGUGAGUAUUUGGUGUGAAUUCAUUUACUUGCACCACCUCACCAAGGCCUGGACAAACAGCCACUCCGAGGAUCCAUGUCGUUUAUUCAAUGCGCUUAAUCUUGUGUGUGUGAGUGUCUAUAGUGUUUUCAGUGCCUCUGCUUAUUUAUAUUUUUCAACGGAAGUGUCUCUAAUUUUAAUUUUUCUAUUUUAUUUCUUGUACUUCCAUUACUUUUUAUAUAUAUUUAAUCGCUGUUUUUAUUUUUUAAUUGAUGGUUGUAUCUAUAUUUUUCACCAUUAGAUGUCUAUGUUUUACAGUUAUUAAUGACAUGUAUAUUAAUGGGCAUGUAUCAUCCUUGUUAUGGAAUUCAUCAUUCAUAAAAUCUAAGAUAAAAGAAAACCAAAAUUUAAAAAUACAUGGAAGGAGAAAAAAGAAUUAUUAUUUUUUCAUCAUGAAACAAUGACUUCGUAUGUAUAGUAAGCAGCGGAGUGAGGAAUUGUAGUUUGGGAAUGUCGAAUUAGAUAAAAGAUUUUAGAGGGAGGGCCAAAAUUUUAAAUUUUCUAUUUUUAAAGAUAAAAAUCUGAUUUAUUGAAGAAAAAAAACACCUUGCAGGACCCUGCCCCUGCCAGCCCCUGUAAUUCCUCCAUGUUCGUGUGGCUCUUGAACAGUGUUGGUGGUGCGUGGAAUAUCACUCCAUGGCCAAGGCACAAUCAACGGUGGCCCCUCUUACAACGACACGGACGGCGAAAACGAUCGCUUGCAUGUCCAAAGGUUCACCUCUUGGGAUAUUUGUGUUGAUCGCUACAUUACCAAAAUAGCUUCUCCAUUUCUUCAUGAGAGCACCGCACACAAAUCCAGUCUUGAAAAUAGCAUGCCGUGGAUAAAUUAGAGGGAAGGUAUUUAGUAAUUUGGAGUGGAGAUAGAAACAAAAAUUGUUGAGAGGGAAGGAUCGAUGGAGCAUUGAGUGGGAGAGGGAGAGAGAAGAGUAGAUUAAGCGAUAAGGGGAUUGGCGUCUACAUGUCCCUGUCCGAUCUUUGAGCCCCAUGUGAAGCAGAGGCCAUUCUCGACGUUUUCCUUCUGUUGGCUAUUUUCUCUUAGUGCCAACAAUUGAGUCUCGACGGAAUCGUCGAUCUCUUCUUUCCUAUCUUACACGUUUGAAGGGUAGACAAUUCAAUGUACUAAACAUGAGAAUUUCAACCAUGUUGCUUGCUUUCAGAUCUUCUACAUCACAACCUUGUUUAUACAGGGGACAUGAACGCUAGCUAUUAUUAUAAAAAAAAAAUUCCAAAAUCUCAACCUGAUACCGCAAAAGGCCAUCAUCUGUAUCUAGAUAUACACUAGUUAUUUAACAUGCAAUUCGCACCGGGUUGCAUAAUUAUUAUUUGCAAUUACCAUCCUAGUGAAGAUCAAGCAACUGUUUUCUGCAAAUUCACAAGAAGAAAUUUAGCACCAAAUAUUAUCAUUAUCCGCGCAAAUAAAACCUCAGUUUCAGUGGAUUAAGUCCAAAUAAAUGAGAGAAUGGUAGACUUGGAAGCUAAACCAUUCAUCUAAAAGAGAUGAUACCCAUCGAUUUUGUGGAUUAAAUCCAAAUAAAGUUAUCAAAACCCAGCACAAAAAAUCUUCAACAAUAAAUAUGAUUUCUGCUAGUGAAAGGCAAGCCACCUGGACCUGGUGCCUGUGCUUUCUAAAUGCCAUCACAGCCCCAUUCAAAGAACUUCCAGACAGAGGAUUCUUCAGACCAAUAGAUUUACUAACGGAAGACAAUAAAUUCAAACUGUGAUAUCAGAAUCAAUGUAGAUACCUCCAUAUUUGCAUAAUCCAACAUAAAAAGGACAACUUUUAUGUUUUGGCAGCGCCUCUACAGGAAUUAUACAUAAGUGGUUGCCCCAUUCUAAGGAAACGUUACGGUAAGGAGGAGAUGGGUGAAGGUUGGCAAAAGAUUUCUCACAUCCCUGACAUUUAUUUUGAUGAUAUAUUAUUAUAUGUGAGAAAGACAGAACUCUUUAAUUAGAACCGGCAGGAGCAUGUAAAUUCUUCUACCAGUGUUAAUUCUUAACGGUAUAAUAUUUUACUAUAUUUUAACAAUCCAUUUUAAUUAAUUAUGUAAGUCAUAGUUAGGUCACUGGGAUUUUUGUCAUUCAGAAAAUGGAAUGCUCAUUUUAACAUCUACCAUUCAUUGGGUUGAUUUGGUUAUGACACGUUUGCUUUUGGUCUGUGUUUGACAGCUUGGGCUUAGAAGAUACUGAAGAGCUACUUCAGAGUGGCUUCCGAUUUACUUUGUGCAUUUGAAGAUUUUCCCUUAAUAUUUUUGGAAUCAAAUCGAAGGGCAUUCUGGUAUAAUCAAAUGGAGGAUUUCAUUCAGUGUUGUAUUAAGCACCGUAUGUUUCAUACACCUCCUUACUGUAAUUGGAUUGAAAUCAUUUGUAAUCUAUUGUUGACUUGGAUUUUAUUUCCUACUUCCCAUUUAUUCUCACAUCCUCUCUCUCUCUCUCUCUGUUUUUUAUUCUUUUUUAAUUAUUGUGCACCCCAAACUAGAUUACCUUGUGUACCCCAAACUACAUUACCUCUUAAGGAAUUAUUGUUAACCCCAACUUACAUGUAAAUGUGCAAUCGUUGAUGGAUCUCGAGUUGGCGGAAUCUCUUUAAUGAUUUAGUUCUUAAAAAUAGCUAUUCUUCCGUAAAUGGUGUUCAUAAAUAUGUCCAUGACAUAAAAAAAAAAAGAAAAAGGAUAUUAACUAAUACAUGGUUUCUAUUUCAAGAGCCAUCAUUAAAAGUACAAAAUUCUGAUUGCCAAAUUCUUCUCUACCAAAUAAAAGUUUGAUUAAAUUGAAUUGAAUAUAUAGCACAAUUGAAUAGCAUCAAAUACUCAAUGGAUCAGCUAAAAAAAACAAAUUACCAAAACAUAGAUUCUAAACAUAAUAACAAUUUGAAAUGGUAGAGGAUAUUCAGUCGACUUGUGUAUUUAGCAUCGUACACCUUAUGCCCUAGAGUAGUAUUAGGAUGAGUUCUCUUCUUGAAAAUAUUGUGCACCCUAAUCCCACAUGGAAGUGUGUGAUCAACCCCAUGAGAAUCAUUAUACAUCCCAACUCACAUGCAAAUGUACAAUUCCUUGUGGACCUCGGGUUGUGGGCUCUUCCCUAUGAUUUGGUUCGUGGGAGUGGCUAAUUGUUUACGUAUCCAAGAAUAUAUAUGCGAUCUAAAAAAAUAUAAAAAAGGGGAUAUUAACUGAUACAUGGUUUCCAGUUCAAGAGCCAUCAUCAAAAUUACAAGAUUCUUAUUGCCAAAUUCUUCUCAACCAAAUAAAAGUUUCAUUAAAUUGAAUUGAAUAGCAUCAAAUAUUCAAUGGAUCAGCUAAAUAAAAGGUACUGUUUGUAAAAACAAAUUUAAUAUAUCUCAAAAUUAAGCAGAUUAUUUUGGUAAUUAAAAUAAGAACUUCAAAAAAUAUAAUAAAGAAAUGAAUUAAUAUGGCCUGACGUAGUUAAAACAUAUCGGUAGACUCGAGUAACUUGUUUAAAUAUUAUUGGUUUUUUUUUUGAAAAAAUAAUUUUGGUCAAAACGAUGUUAUUUUAAAUUUUUUUAUAAAAAAAUUAGAUUAACUUGGGUUAACCCUCCUAUAUUAUACCUAAUUCUUGACCCGGGACGUUGAACCUCAAGUAAAGUUUUAAAAACGUUGUCCCUAUAAUUUUUUUUCUAACAAUGUAGCACUAUAUUCACUUUUCAUUUCUUUAAUUUCACCAUUUUUAUCUUGAUUUAAGUUUUUUUAAUUUAAUUUAAUCAAUUUUAUUAUCGGUUAAAUUUCUUAUAUUUUAAUAGCCUAAAAAAAUUAUAAUAAGUGGUUUACAUUACCAUACAACAAAAAAUUAAUAGCAUACAUAUCUACAGUCAUGAUUGAUUAAAUAUUGAAAAAACUUAUCAAGAAAAUUAAUAUAAUCAAGAAUAAAGAGUUCAGAAUUUUUGUUAAAAUUCAAAAAAAUGGUGAAAUGUCUGAUUUUUAGGGAUAAUGUCAACAAUUUCAUUAAAUCUAAAAAAGUUAUGAAAUCUCCUAUCUUCAAGGAUUAACGUGAAAGUUUUUGUUAAAAUUCAAGAAAUUGUGAAAUCUAUUGUCUUUAGGGAUUAAUGUAAAAAAAAUUAAAAAAUUAAUGAGACCUCCUAUUUUAGAGAAUGAAGAUGGCAAAAUUUUUGUUAAAAUUCUUUUAUUCAUAACAGUUGAGAUUAAAAUAAUUUAGAAAAACAUAAAUAAUGGUAAUUUUUCAUUUAAAAAAAUAUGAUAAGGAUGAUGUUUAACCUAAUACUUGAAUCUUUAAAAAACUAAUAUCAAUUUUAGAAUUUUUAAAUUUUUUUAAUUAUUAGAUAACAAUUCUUUUUAUUGCGUUAGUCACGGUGUGUUGCUAAAAUUAACAUCAUAUUUUACUAUCAUUACACUAUAAAAAAACAAAAAACAAUAUGUAACGGCUCUUCAAAAUAUACUAGCUUUGAUACCCGCGCGAUGCCGUGGGUUAUUUUUUUUUGCAUAAAAAAUAUUAAAAAGAAUAAAAAUUUAAAAAUCUUGGGUUUUUCUACAAAGUUAUACCCAAGAAUCUUGGGUUUGGCUGCAACGCCUGACCUAAGAGUAAUAUUUAUAAUAUUAAUAAUAAAAUUAAACUUGCAUGACCCAAGUUUAAGUGAGUCUGGCUGUAACACCGGACCCAAAAAUACUGGAUGUAGGUCUAGCUAUAAGGUCGUGUCACAAAAGUGUGAUAAUUAAAUAGAUUAAUUACAAAAAACAAAAAAAAUCAACAGGAAGGAAAAAACUAAUGAAGAAAAAGAAAAAAAAUUGAAUUAAUUGGGUUAACCUUUUAAACCAGGUUAUCCCGUAAAACCUGAGAUAUGCGUUAUCAACGUUUGAUAACUAAAUAGAAAAAAAAAUGACGGGUUUACCUAGAAUUAACCAGGUUAACCCAUCAAAUCAAGUUAACCCGUCAAGCCCAGGAUACGUGUCAUGAAAGUAUGAAAGUCUAAUAAUUAAAUAGAAAGAAAAUUAACUUUAACAAACUAAACUAAAUGAAAAAAAUAACUCGUCAAAUCAGGUUAACCCAUCAAACCCGAGAUUCGUAUUAUGAAAAUCUGAUAACUAAAUAAAACAAAUUUAACAUUAACAAACUAAAUCAAACAAAAAAAAUUCAUUAAAAAAAUAAAAAGAAAAAACAAAAGAAAAAAACAGUUAUAUAAUAUAAUACAAUAUAAUUAUAAUUAUAAUGAAAAAACGUGGGGAAAAUUUAAAAAAAUGGAAAAAAAGUGGGGAAAGCUAAAGCUAAAGCUAAAUUCUCAACCAACUCAAUAUUUAAAAAAUAAAUUUAACAAAGAUAAUUUAAAAAAAAAAACAUGUGGGGGAAACACUAUAGCCAAACAAAAACCAUGUAAGGGAAACACUGUAGUAAUCCAUAGUAUUUUUUUUUUAAAAAAAGCUACAAAGCUAAUCUCUCAACCAGUUCAAUAUAUAAAAAAAACGGAAAAAGGCUAUCUAAAAAAAAAAAGUCAAUUUUGGGUAAAAGAAAUGAAAAAAAAUGUACAAAAAAGGAAACAAAAGCGAAAAAAAAACACGUGGGGAAAGCUACAGUGUUUUAAAGAAAAAGACAAAAAAACUAAAUUUUCAACCAGCUCAAUAGUAAAAAAAUAAAAUCAACAAAAAUAAUUCUGAAAAAAAAAAAAACAAAAAAAAUAUGUAAAAAAUGACAAUUUUGGAAAAAAAAAAACAUAUGGGGAAAGUUAAAGCUAGAUUAUCAGCCAGCUCAAUAUUGAAAAAAUAAAUUCGAUAAAGAUAAUUUUUUAAAAAAAAUAUAUGGGGAAACACUGCAGCAAAACAAAAACUAUAUAGGGGAAACACUGUAGCAAUCCAUAUUGUUUUUUUUUAAAAAACUACAAAGCUAAAUUCUCAACCAACUUAAUAAAAAAAAAAAAAUCUAAAAAGAUCAUUUUGAAAAAAAAAAAAGAAUAAAGAAAUCAUAAAAAAAAGAGAAAACAAUGUAUGAGAAUAUUAUAGCAAUCCACAACGAGAUGAUUUGCCCGCGCGCUGCCGCGGACUUAUAAAACAAAUGCACUUGAUAGUGUUAUAAUUGUGAACCAGCGCUAGAUAAGUAAUAGAAAUUAAAGGUAUGAUGGAGCAAAUAUUUCAUGACGGAAAAAAAAGUUAUGUUGGUGAUCAAAAACUUAGAGACUGAACAAAAUGAUUUGUAGCAAUCUACAGUGUUUUGUGAGGAAAGAUACAGUGAUUUCGCCACAUGAUUUAGCUUUUCAGUUAAUAAAAAGCAAAAAAAAAUACAAAGCUAAACUCUCUACCAACUUAAUAUUAAAAAAAAACCAACAAAGAUAAUUUUGGAAGAAAAAAAACCCAUGAGAAAAAACGUUGCAGCAAUUGACAAUGUUUUGUGAGGAAAACUAUAGCGUUUUUCCCAAUAAAAUAAACUAAAAAACUAUUUAGAGAAAUAUUAUAACAAUCCAUAGUGUUUUGUGAGAAAAACUACAACGCUUUCCUCAUAUGAUUUAGCUUUAUUGUAAUUAUAAUUCUGAACCAACUCAAUAUUAAAAAAAAAAUCGAUAAAGAUAAUUUUAGAAAAAAUCAUAAAAAAAUCACAUGGAAAAACACUGCAACAAUUCACAGUGUUUUAAAGAAAAAAAUAACAAAGCUAAAUUCUUAAUCGGCUCAAUAUUAAAAAAAAUCAACAGAGAUAAUUUUAGAAAAAACAAAUAACAAAACAAACACAAAAAAAAGGGAAAAAAAUCAUGUUGGAAACACUGUAGCAUUUCACAGUGUUUUGUGAUGAAAUCUACCGUGCUUCCCCACAUGAUUUAGCCUUAUUUGUAAUGACUUGUAAUUGUAAUUCACAAACAACUCAAUAUUAAAAAAAUAAAAUUAAAAAAGAUAAUUUGAAAAAAAUUAUAACAAAAAAACUAUACGGAGAGAUACUGUAGCAAUCCACAAUGUUUUAUGAGCAAAGCUACAAUACUUUCCCCACAUGAUUAAGCUUUAUUACAAAGUUAAAUUUUAACCAACUCAAUAUUUUAAAAAAAUAAAAUCGACGAAAAUAAUUUUGGAAAAAAAUAUUACGAAAAAAAACACAAAAGAAACUGGAAAAAACCAUGUGAGGAAAAACUGUAUCAAUCCAUAGUGUUUUUUGAGGAAAAACUUGUAUUUACUUGUAAUUUUAAUUUUUAACCAGCUUAAUAUUUAAAAAAUAAAAUUGACAAAGAUAAUUUUAGGAAAAAACAUAACAAAAACAGAAAAAAACCAUGUGGAAAAAAACAUUGUAGCAACCAACAGUAAUUUUCGAGGAAAGUUACAGUGCUUUCUUCACAUAUUGUAACUGUAAUUUUUAACCAGCUCAAUAUUAAAAAAUAAAAUAAAAAAGAUAAUUUCGGAGAAAAUCAGAAAAAAAACCACGCGGAGAAACACUGUAGCAAUCAACAAUGUUUUAAAAAAAAUUACAAAACUAAAUUCUCAAUCAGCUCCAUAUUAAAAAAAAUAAAAAAUAUAAUUUUGAAAAAUAAAGAAAUAAAAUAGAAAAACUAUGUGGAAAAACAUCGCAGCAAUCCACAGUAUUUUUAAGAAAAAAAUUACAAAACAAAAUUUUUAAUCAUGUCAAUAUUUAAAAAGUAAAAUCAACAAAAAUAAUUUUGGAAAAAACAAAAGAAAAAAUUAGGAAAGUUGAAAAAAAAAAAAUUUGAAAAAAAAUUUUUUGAAAAAAAAAAAUAAAAAAAAAACAAAAAAAAAAAGAAAAAAGAGAAAAGUUAAUAAAAAAAAGAAGAGAAGAAUCACUGUGGAUUACUGUUGUAAUCCACAGUAAAAUGUGUGUGGGGGGAACAGUGAUUCCCCCACACCAUUUAGAGUAUGUUUUAAUGUUUUAAAGAAAAAAACUACAUAGUUAAAUUUUUAACCAGUUCAAUAUUUAAAAAAAUUAGCAAAGUUAAUUUUGAAACAAAUUUUUUUUAAAAAAAAAACAAAAAAAAAGAAGAAAUCAAUUUUGGGUAAAAAAAAUGAAAAAAAAAACAUGUAAAAAAAAAACUGCUGCUACAGUGAAAAACCCACAUGUUUUAGAGUUCUUUAAUUUAAGGACACUUUUUACUGUAACUAAAUAUUUUCGAUCCGUAACAAAAUUAUCAGAAAUGAUAAUUAUAUAUAAUGUCAUAAUUAAGUUGAUGCAGCGACACCAAACCCUCUAUAAAAUAGAUUAAAGAUCCAAUUUAAUAAUUUGAUGAAAUUGAAAAUUAAAGAUCUAAUUUAAUAAUUUGAAGGAAUUUGAUAUGAUUUAUAUAUUACUUUCAAAUUAUAUGUAAUCUUUUAUGUUAUGAAAAGGAGGUUUGAAUUCAAGAUUUUCUAGGAAGAAUUAGCAACAAUAUGUAAAGGCAGGUUCAUCUGCAUCGAUACGAGAGAGUUUUAUUUGCUAGGACAUGCCUUGUUGUAUGAUUUAUACAGUGUUUGAUUUUGUACUUCAACAACAUUUAAAAAAAAAUUAAAUUUUGAAACACUACAAAAACUAAAAAAAAAAAAUCUUGAGACACUAAAAUACAAGCUUCCUUUUUUUUUUUUCCAACCUACAAGUUGUGCUCUCCAAAAACUAAUAAAAAAAAACUAAUAAAAACUAACUUAAUUUGAGACACUAAAAUAAAAAAAUGUUGAGACACUAAAAUACAAGCUUCACCUGCAACGCCAAACCCUAAGUAUAUAAACUAACUUCCAUUCACAAUCAUCAGCCGCCUCCUUCUCUUCACCCUCUCUUUCUCUCUGCUCAUCCCGUCAUCAUUGCUUCUCUCUCUCUCUCUCUCUCUCUCUCUCUCUCUCUUUCCAAUCAGAACUAAACAGACGAUGGCUGAGGCACUUCUAUCUCCGAUCUUGGAGCAGUUAACCACGAUCGUUGCUCAACAGGUAUUUUUCUACCAUCUGCAAUAACCUGAUUUACCUAGCAGAGAUAAGAAAUAUAUAUGAAGUUCAAGCCUUUUUUCUUCCUAUCAUAAAAAUAAUACUUUUAACUUGAAUAAAUAAAAAUAAUAUUUUAAAUCCUCAAGUAUAUAUUUGGAUUUUAUUAAAGAAUCUUCUUUUUCUUGUUUUAUUAUUUUUCAUAUUUCCAAAAAUAACCUAAAGAAAAUAUAUCAUUCCAAAUAUAGGAAAACCGAAAAAGGCAAAACAAGAAAUAUUAAGGGUAAAAUAAUCAAUAAAAAGUUCAAAGGAUUACCGAGCGAGUAUAUAUAUAUAUAUAAGGUAAAAUAUCUAUAGUUUAAUGUAAAAUAAAAACCAGAUUUUAUGUCGGUUCAAAGGAGAAAUCCUUCUCUCGGGAGAACAUUAAACUCUUUCCAUGCCUAUAUUAAUUAUAUAUAUAUAUAUAUACACGUUCAGGUUUAACGUUUUACCAUUUAAGAUUCAUUUUAUACCUUCUUGUACAGUAGCAUAGUGCAGACUGAUAUCAUCAUAAUGAUGAUAAAAAGAAAAAAAAUAUAUUAUUAUUUCUAAUAAAUAUUUUAUAUAUAAAUUAUUAAUAUAGUAAAUCCAUUUCACAAUAAAAUAUAUUAAUACAAAAUAGAAAUGUUUCCUAUGCUUGAACUUCCUUGUCUUUUCCACACUAAUAGGUACUGGAAGAGGUGAACCUAGUAGGGGGUGUGAAAUUGUCUUCAAAUCAGAUAAAUGUUUCCCAUGCUUAACGUUUCUUUUCCUUUGUAAACUAAUAGGUACAAGAAGAGGUGAACCUAGUAGUGGGUGUGAAGAAACAAUGUGACAAGCUGAAAAGCAAUCUCCUUGAUAUCCAAUCUGUCCUUGAAGAUGCAGAUAGAAAACAAGUUAAGGAUAAGGCUGUAAGAAAUUGGGUAGACAAGCUCAAAGAUGCAUGUUAUGAUAUGGAUGACGUGCUAGAUGAAUGGAGCACUGCAAUUCUUAGAUGGAAAAUGGAGGAAGCUGAAGAAAAUACUCACAGCCGACAGAAGAUACAGUGUUCCUUCCUGGGAUCUCCUUGCUUUUGUUUCAAUCAAGUGGUCCGACGUCGCGACAUUGCCCUGAAGAUCAAAGAAGUUAGUGAAAAAGUGGAUGACAUUGCCAAAGAGAGAGCUAAGUAUGGCUUUGAUCUGUACAAAGGCACUGAUGAACUCCAGCGACUAACAACUACCUCCUUUGUUGAUGAAUCAAGCGUGAUUGGUCGAGAUGGUGAAAAGAGAAAUGUUGUAAGCAAGUUGCUGGCUGAAAGUAGUCACGAAGCACGGGACGUGGAUGUCAUCUCUCUAGUAGGGCUGGGCGGAAUUGGAAAAACAACUCUCGCCCAACUAGCAUUUAAUGAUUCUGAGGUUACGGCUCAUUUUGAGAAAAAGAUAUGGGUGUGUGUUUCAGAACCAUUUGAUGAGAUUAGAAUAGCCAAAGCUAUCCUUGAGCAGCUUGAAGGGAGACCAACGAAUUUGGUUGAAUUGCAAUCCCUUUUGCAAGGGGUUUCUGAAUCCAUUACUGGAAAGAGGCUCCUUCUUGUCCUUGAUGAUGUAUGGACAGAAAAUCAUGGACAAUGGGAACAACUGAAACCAUCUCUCACAGGCUGUGCACGAGGAAGCAGAAUUCUAGUGACCACUCGUAAGGACGCUGUGGCAACGAUGAUGGGAACUGACCACCGGAUCAACAUUGAGAAAUUGUCCGAUGAGAUAUGCAGGUCAAUAUUCAAUCAUGUGGCAUUCCAGGAAAGAAGCGAAGAUGAGCGCGAAAGAUUGACAGAUAUCGGCGAUAAAAUUGCAAACAAGUGCAAGGGCUUGCCGCUAGCUGCCAAGGUAUUAGGAGGUCUAAUGCAGUCUAAAAGAACAAGAGAAGAGUGGGAACGUGUUUUAUCUAGCGAACUGUGGAGGCUAGAUGAGGUUGAUAGAGAUCAGGUUGAAAGUCGAAUAUUUAUACCUUUGCUUUUGAGUUACUACGAUUUACCUUCUGUGGUAAGACGAUGUUUCUUGUACUGUGCCAUGUUUCCAAAAGACUUCGAGAUGGUCAAAGAUGAAUUGGUGAAGAUGUGGAUGGCUCAAGGUUACAUCAAGGAGACUUCAGGUGGAGAUAUGGAGCUUGUAGGAGAGCGGUACUUUCAUGUCUUGGCAGCGCGCUCUUUCUUCCAAGAUUUUGAGACGGAUAGAUUUGAAGGAAUGAAAUUCAAGAUGCAUGAUAUAGUGCAUGAUUUUGCCCAAUAUAUGACAAAAAAUGAAUGUCUAACCGUGGAUGUCAAUACACUUGGAGGAGCAACAGUGGAGACUUCAAUUGAAAGGGUUCGUCAUUUAAGCAUGAUGGUGUCAGAGGAGACAUCUUUUCCCGUGUCUAUUCACAAAGCCAAAGGUCUUCGCAGCCUCUUGAUCUACACUAGAGACCCUUCGUUUGGAGCUGCACUGCCUGAUUUGUUCAAGCAGUUGACAUGCAUCCGGUCAUUGGAUUUGUCAACGUCUUCUAUCAAAGAAAUACCGAACGAGGUAGGGAAAUUGAUACAUUUGAGACACCUCAAUCUGGCAUCUUGUGGAGAGUUGGAGUCCCUGCCAGAAACCAUGUGUGAUUUAUGCAAUCUGCAAUCCCUAGACGUUACUUGGUGUCGGUCUCUCAAGGAAUUGCCCAAUGCGAUUGGAAAACUUAUCAAAUUGAGGCAUCUCCGGAUUUAUCGUUCAGGUGUGGACUUCAUACCAAAGGGAAUAGAGAGGAUAACAUGUCUUCGAACAUUAGAUGUGUUUAAAGUGUGUGGUGGUGGUGAGAAUGAAAGUAAAGCAGCUAAUCUAAGAGAAUUAAAAAACUUAAAUCACAUUGGAGGGAGCUUUAGUAUACGGAAUCUAGGAGGAGGUAUAGAAGAUGCGAGUGACGCUGCAGAAGCACAACUCAAGAAUAAGAAGCGCCUGCUUCGUUUGGAAUUGGGUUUCGACUACAACCAGGAGAACGGCAUUUUAAUUGAAGCUUUACAGCCUCCGUCAGACUUGGAAUGUCUGACCAUAUCUAGUUACGGAGGGUUGGAUUUGCCACAUUGGAUGAUGACAUUAACCAGAUUACAGGAGCUUAGACUUGAUGAUUGUACAAACCUGGAGGUCUUGCGUCCGUUGGGAGGAUUGCCCAACCUUGAAAUCCUGGUACUGAGCUCGUUGAAGGUGAGAAGGCUGGAUGCUGGAUUUUUAGGUAUAGAAAAGGAUGAGAAUGCCAGUAUUAAUGAAGGAGAAAUUGCAAGGGUCACUGCUUUCCCCAAAUUAAAAAGACUUGAUUUUAGGCAUCUCUUAGAAGUAGAAGAGUGGGAAGGAAUUGAAAGGAGAGUGGGAGAAGAAGAUGUCAACACAACUUCAAUAAUAUCCAUUAUGCCACAACUUCAAUAUUUGAGAAUUAUCAAUUGCCCGUUGCUGAGAGCACUACCAGACUAUGUUUUGGCAGCGCCUCUACAGGAAUUAGACAUAAGGUGGUGCACCAUUCUAAGGAAACGUUACGGGAAGGAGGAGAUGGGUGAAGAUUGGCAAAAGAUUUCUCACAUCCCAAACAGUUAUUUUUAUGAUUAGGUGAGAAAGGCAGAACUCUUUAGAACCUGCUUUGAGUGUAUUAAUUAUUUGCUUUGGUGUUUGCUAAGGUUGAGUGUAAAUAAUAUGUAAGCCUUACCAUUUACUCUAUGUGACUGUUUCAGUGGAUUAAAUCCAAGAAAUUCUUAAACCUCAGUUUCAGUGGAUUUCAUUCAAUGUGACUUUACUGUAAUUCGAUUUUAUUUCCUACUUACCAUUUACUCUCUCAUCCUCUCCCUCUCCCUCUCUCUCUCUCUCUCUCUCUACUGUAAUUGGUUUUAUUUCCUACUUACCAUUUACUCUAUCAAAAGCAGCUGUCAUAUUAUCUCGCUCACGUGAAGCUUAUUCCUUACUUAAAUUCUCCAAAUGCCACUCUAAAAAAAUUGCGUUUGAAAUUUCAACUACUGUAACUCAUAUCUAUAAUUAAUCUAUAUAUUUUAACAUCCUCUCUCUCUCUUUCUCUCUCUCAACAUAAAAUGAUAUGUAAUUCAUAUGUUUCUUUGAGUGUAUUAAUUAUUUAUUAUUGAAUAAAUAAUAAAUAAUUGAAGUAAGGAGAAAGGAAUUAUUUAUUAUUGAAGUAAUAAAUUAUUUAUUACUUCUUCGAGUAAUAUUAAUUAUUUAUUACUUCUUUGUGAUUUACUUCUUUGAGUGUAUUAAUUAUUUAUUAUUGAAGUAAGGAGAAAGGAAUUGAAUUUAGAAUGCUAAAAGUAAGCCAUGGGGGCAGCUGAAGCACAGAGGUGGUAAUUAAGCAAGUAAUCUAGCUAGAUUGCUGCCCUUGGAAGUUAUUAGUGUCACUUCCAAUGCAAGUUCUCUACAAUUUUUAAUCUUUGUAUCGAAGGCUUCAUGCAUGAAAUAAUUUAUUGCUGGAGGAGGAGCAGGGGCCCCUAGCUGCUGUUUAAUAACGAGGCACAUUGCAAUUUUUAAAAAUGUUUUUUUUUUUAUCUAAAGAUAUAUUAAAAUAUCUUCUUAGAUUUUUUUAUUUUUUAUAUUAAUACAUUAAAAUUAUAUAAAAAAAUACUAGAAAAAUAUUAAUUUGACUUUUUAAAGCCAAUAUACACUUUAAAAUACAUUUAAACACAAUUUCAAAUGCAAAAACAAAAAAGUUUAUGAAUCCUAUCAGCCCCAAGGUUGUAUUGUACAUUUAUUAUUGUAAUGUGAGACACGUCUUUCUAAACCAAUAUAUUUGUAAAAUUUAAAAGUUAACUCUUCAUUCAAAUUAUUUAAAUAACCUGAUAUGAGAUAUAUCAUACAUAAUUAUUAGAUUAAUUAAUUCUGAAAAUUUAAUUAAUUAAUUCUGAAAUUAACAAUAAAAAUUAUUUAUGUUAUAUAAUGUAAAUUGUCAAAAAAAAUUUUAACAUCUAAAUCUAUUGAGUUAAUGUAUCUCGUAUAUAAAACUAUAUUUUAACAACAAUUUUGUCCAUGCUUUUCUCAGAGGGAAGAUUGUUAAAGACUUCAACUAAACCAUGAAAAAAAAAUUCACACAAAGCCCUAGCACCAAGUACCAUGGGCCAGCGCUCCCAUGGCCAGGCGAAAAGCUCCCCUGAAGAGCAACAUGUAGAAUUCAGGUAAUAGCUAUCACGCACUUUAAUAAGUUCAAUUAUUAGUAUUUUUAGCUGAAAUAUUGCACAAAAACUGCUAUAGAGAAACCCAUAUUUUGAUUUUGCAAUACUAAAAUGUUGCAUAAAGUUAAAAGUAUGUGUAACUGUGUAAACCAGUGGAACUGUGUAAAGGGGACUUAUGAUUAUGUUUAAAUGAAUUUUUUAAAUAAAUUGCAUGUCUUCACCAACUUUUACCUGCUUUUCUCACUUUAAUUUCUUUUCUUACUUUAAUUUUUUUUCUUUCCAUUCAACUUUCACCCAAAAAAAAAACAUGUAAUUGGAUUCUAAUAUUCAACAAAAAAAAAAUCAACUUAAUUGUUAAAAUAAAAUUUAGAGAUUAAAUUAAAAAUUUUCAAAAAUUUCAUUGCUCCAACCCGCAAUGAGAGAGGGUAAUAAUAAUUUAAUAAACAGUAAAAAAACCCCACGCUUUAGCUUUAUACUUAAUAUUGAAGAUUUAUAUUUUUAAUAAAUUCAACAAAAUAUACUGAAUGUCUAGAAGCUUGGUGGCCAAGUUCAGAUCAUGAGUUUUCGUUUAUUGUCGAGGAUGAUUUGGAGGUUUCGCCGCUGUUUUAUAAAUUUGUGAGGGGUUUGAUUGUUAAUUACCGUUACAAUGUGUCGAAUUUUAGUCCUUUUAUAUAUGAUAUGGUGCUUCACUUCAGCGUCAACGGUUUGUCCCAGGGACUGCUCUUUUUUCAGGUUUUGUACUUGUUAGACUGGAUGUUUUAAUGUUCAAUGUUAAGGUUUCCAGAUUUCUUGAUUUGUUAUAAAAAAUUGAAUUCAUUAUAUUCUUUAAAUAUCCUUGGAUGUUUUUGAGUUAAAAAUCCACUAUUACCAUUAUUGUCGCCACCCCAAUCCUUUUUCUAUCCUAUAAGUAAAUUCUUGAAUUUAAUAAAUUUUAGUGCUUAAUUUAUAAAAUUAUUUUCAAUCAAGUCACACUUGAUUAAUUAUCUUAAUUUAAUUUCUGACUAAUGAUUCUUAAUGUAUAUGACCCAUUGAGUUUCUAAUAUGUUGGCCCCAAAUAUAAGUUAUGUUUUAAUGUUCAAUGUUAAGGUUUCCAGAUUUCUUGAUUUGUUAUAAAAAAUUGAAUUCAUUAUAUUCUUUAAAUAUCCUUGGAUGUUAACGUUUCUAAGGUGUUUUGGGUCAAAAGAACCUUGAGCUCAAUUUUCUAGCCACCACAGUGGUUGAAAUUUGAGCAAAAUAGACGACGCGUUGUUUAUUUUGACAGACAACAUGUCAUUUGAUUUAUUUAUUUUUUUAAAAUAAAACGAAUGACAUGUCGUCCACCCCAGGUGCAUUUUAAAAAACGACCUAGUCACGUGGUCCUUCCUUGGCAGGCCCGUGCAUGGGCCCUGAUGAAAGGGGUUAGGUAGACCCAGCAACGCCUAACCUUUUUUUUAUUUUUUUUUAUUUCAAUUAAUGCUUCUUUUUUUAUUUAAAAAGAAACUUUAUUAUAUUUAUAUUAAUACACUUUCUCUUUUUUAUUUUGUUUAAAAAGCCUUUUUUAAAAGAUGAUGAUUUUUUGGAUAUCCAUUUAAUUUUCAAAGAGAUUUUCCUUAUUCAUCUAUAAUUAAUGCCAAAUAAAUUGUUUCACAUCAAAUUAACCUCUACAUUUUGUUUCACUUUUGAAACUCAAAAUGACAAGUCAUUUCCAUAGAAACAUACAAAUAGAAAAAUGACCGAUGCAUAAUACUUAAACCCAAUGUGAAGCAAUGGCCAAGUAUAGACUUGCCUUUGCCUUUUUCCUUUUUACACAUAUUUUCUCAUUGUUUCAGUGACAUUUGCUUGCAUCAACCUUGUAGGAAAUUAGUUGCUUUAUACUGAAGUUUCAGAAUCAUACUCUAACCCCAGUCUUAAGCAAAUUAUCUUAAUUUGCAGUAUAUAUUGCCUAAACUUCAUUGAGAAUAACCUCAAAUUAAUUUUCUCUGGCACUCCACAGUAGAUCACUAUCCUUCCUAUCUUCAUCAACUUCUCAUUUCAUCAGUCAACAACGCCCCAUUACUUUCUCUCCUUUUUCUUGACACAUUCAGUAGUAAGAACAACAAUGGCUGACGCACUUGUAUCCCCAAUUUUGGAGCAGUUAACCACGAUCGUUGCUCGACAGGUACUCUUUUUUGUUUCUUUCUUUUUUUUUUGUUUUUUUUAUAAUCAACAGGUACUUAAUUACUUUUCUACAAUUUUGCAAUUAACCUAACAUUUAUAGUUCAUUAUACAUUGAUUUCAUUAUCUUAUAGAAUAUCUGUUAAUUUGUCAGAAGCUAAAUCAGUAGCUUGAUUUAUAUAUUAUCACAUUGCAUGUUAUCAAAUAAAAUACACACACAGACACACAAGAUAGCGGGUUCUUACGAUUCUCUUUCUUUAUAUCUUUUGUGCUAUACAAAAUAUGGUUAUUGUGAUGGCUGGUUAGAACAAAUCAAUAUAGUAAAAUAGUAGUAAAUUCCUUUUUCAAUAAUUCCUUAUCAUAUUUGAAUGCAUAAAUCAUUAUAUUUGUAAUAAAAUUAUUAUGAUAAAAUGAUUAAAAUAAAUAUAGUCAAAUAUUCGAUUAAUUACAAACAUGAUUAUAGAAAUUCUAAUAUUUCUUUUUUAUUUUGAUAUCAACCUCACAGAAUUUUUAAAAAAAUAGACUAUGAUAAUUAUUAAAAGUCACCUAAUAAUAUUGUGAAAUUGCAAUGUAUUGCGCUCCACAAUUAUAUGAUUAUUAUAAUAUCUAUGAAUUCUAUCUUUUAUCUAAAGAAAUCCUUUAUUCAAAUAAAAUAUAUUUUAAUUCACGCAUCUAGUAAAUUUUAGUACAAUAAUUGUGCAUUAGCAUUACAUUAUUUACGAGUCAUUUUAUUUUAGAGAGUUUAUUAUAUAUAAUUUGAAUAUAAUUAACAAUAUAAAUAUAUUAAUUGCUACUGUGAAAAAGUUUAAUAAAAAUGAUUUAAUCUAUUAAUUGCUAAAAAAUAAGAAUUUGUACUGAAAUCAUAGAAAUGUUUCCUAUGCUUAACGUUUCUUUUCCUCUGUACACUAAUAGGUACAAGAACAGGUGAACCUAGUAGUGGGUGUGAAGAAACAAUGUGACAAGCUGAAAAGCAAUCUCCUUGAUAUCCAAUCUGUCCUUGAAGAUGCAGAUAGAAAACAAGUGAAGGAUAAGGCUGUAAGAGAUUGGCUAGACAAGCUCAAAGAUGCAUGUUAUGAUAUGGAUGACGUGCUAGAUGAAUGGAAGCACUGCAAUUCUUCGAUGGAAAAUGGAGGAAGCUGUAGAAAAUACUCACAGCCGACAGAAGAUACAGUGUUCCUUCCUGGGAUCUCCUUGCUUUUGUUUCAAUCAAGUGGUUCGACGUCGCGACAUUGCCCUGAAGAUCAAAGAAGUUAGUGAAAAAGUGGAUGACAUUGCCAAAGAGAGAGCUAAGUAUGGCUUUGAUCUGUACAAAGCCACUGAUGAACUACAGCGACUAACAACUACCUCAUUUGUUGAUGAAUCAAGCGUGAUUGGUCGAGACGGCGAAAAGAGAAAUGUUGUAAGCAAGUUGCUGGCUGAAAGUAGUCAAGAAGCACGGGACGUGGAUGUCAUCUCUCUAGUAGGGCUGGGAGGAAUUGGAAAACUCGCCCAACUAGCUUUUAAUGAUGCUAAGGUUACGGAUCAUUUUGAGAAAAAGAUAUGGGUGUGUGUAUCAGAUCCAUUUGAUGAGGUUAGAAUAGCCAAAGCUAUCCUUGAGGAGCUUGAAGGGAGGGCAUCUGAUUUGGUAGGAUUGCAAUCCCUUUUGCGAAGGGUUUCUGAAUCCAUUAAGGGAAAGAGGUUCCUUCUUGUCCUUGAUGAUGUCUGGACAGAAAAUCAUGGACAAUGGGAACAACUGAAACCAUCUCUCACAGGCUGUGCACGAGGAAGCAGAAUUCUAGUGACCACUCGUAAGGACGCUGUGGCAACGAUGAUGGAAACUGACCACCGGAUCAACAUUGAGAAAUUGUCCGAUGAGAUAGGUGAGAAAGACAGAACUCUUUAGAACCUGCUUUGAGUGUAUUAAUUUAUUAUUAUUAUUUUUUUUGCUUUGAGAGUAUUAAUUAUUUGCUUUGGUGUUUGCUAAGGUUGAGUGUAAACAAUAUGGAAGCCUUACCAUUUACCUAUGUGACCUCUCUCAUCCUCUCAACAUAAAAUGAUAUGUAAUUCAUAUGUAUAAUUUCUCUCUCUCUCUCUCUUUUAAACCUCAGUUUCAGAUAAAUGAGAGAAUGGUAGACUUGGAAGCUAAACCUUUCAUCUAUAAGUGAUAUACCCAUCGAUUUUGGAGACUAAAUCCAAAUAAAGUUAUCCAAACCUAACACAAAAAAUCUUCAACAAUAAUUAAAUUACAAAUCAACAACAAAAUUCAGCAGCAAGGCCUAAUUAAAUGUUUACUCAUUUUUAUUUUUUUUAUAAAAAUAUGGUGAUCAAAUGCAGGUCAAAUAUUUUUAUUUUUUAAUAAAAAUUUAGUUCUUUAAAUAUAUUUUUCUAGUUCAAAAAAUAUAAUAAAUUAAAAAUUUUAUAUACAUCUAAUCAAAUAAAUUAAAAAAUAUUUAUGUUAAUAAAUAAAUAAAAAUUUGUUAAUAAUACUUAAAAACAAAACUGGUUCAAGCCUUCAUUGAGCUCAAUGUAAAGAGGACCAACCUGCCGUCAUAAAAGCCCAAAAUACUCCAUUAUAAAAGCCCAAGUAAAUAUCCCUGUCUUUCUCUCCCACACACUCGCAUUCUCAGUUUUUCCUCUCUGCGUCUUCAAGCAAUAAACCAUGGGUGAUAGCCAGUACUCCUUUUCUCUCACUACUUUCAGUCCUACCGGAAAGCUAGUACAGAUUGAGCACGCAUUGACUGCCGUUGGAUCAGGCCAAACUUCUCUCGGAAUCAAAGGUUGUUGCAAUUUAAGCUCUCUCUCUCUCUCUCUUUUCUCUCAUUUUCUUGUCAUUUUCGAAUGUACUAUGUUGUUGAUGGGUGCUUAGAUACUAUGUUGUUGAAUUUUUUUUUUUUGGUGUUGUAGCGGCAAACGGUGUUGUUAUUGCAACUGAGAAGAAAUUGCCAUCUAUUUUAAUCGAUGAAUCUUCUGUAAGUAAACUUUUUUUUUUUUUUUCGGUUUUGUUAUAUUCUUUGGUUGAAAUUCAAGAAACCCUUUUGUUUUUUUGCGUUUUUUAUUGUGUUUUCUUUGUGAACUUUUCGGGCUGGCCCUGCGAUCUUUUAGUAAUAACCUAAGUAUAGAGACAUGGGCUUGUAGCACUCUAAUUGAAGAAGCUGAUGAUUCUUGUGGAAAAGCAACGUGGAUUCUAGUCAAUGAGGUGUUGGUCUAGUAGUUAACAGGUUUAUAUUGAGAUUCUUAGGAGUCAUUUGAGUUUAGUGACAUCGGCUGGUAGAAAUCUGUUAAAAUUCGGUGUAAAUUUGUAAUUUUUAUUAGUAAUUUGAGCUUAGUGAUUUGGGCUCUUGCCAAUGAGGCGUUACUAUACUAGUUAAUGACUCUAAGAUUGAGACUUUGGAUGUUGGAGUCUCUAGAUUUAUAUCCUCAUUAAUCCCACAUUGUAUAAAAAGGUGUUGUUGAUUAUUUUAAAUCGUCUUGAAUGAGGUGGAGAUGGUUUGAUUUUGGAGCCAGUCGAUUGGUCUAUUAUUCUAAUUUGCAAGAUGGCAUGGAUUUUGGAUUAAAUCCAAAUAAAGUUAUCUAAACCUAACACAAAAAAUCUUUAACAAUGAAUGUCAUAACUCAAUUCUGGGUUAUUCUUCAAAAUCUAUUUUUUUAAAAUAAUAAUAAAAGCUGGCAACGUGGAGAAAGUAGGCGGGAAAUCAAGUUGCAAUUUUUGGAGGAAAUUCAAGACCUAAUUGUACUCCAUUAUGUCCAAAAAUGGAGAAAAAAAUGCAAAUUCAAGGUCAAAUUCAAUGAUUAUUGGACGAAUUUGCGUAAAAAUUAAGUCCAAUAACAUAAUUAAAUUUUUAAUAGGCCAAUUUGAUUUAAUCAUGGACCAAAUUAAAUUUUAAUUAUGUUUAAGAAUUAAUUUCGGUCCAAUUAAAGGAUUUAAUUAAGUGCAAGGACUUAAUUAUACUUUAAAUGGGUCAAAUUAAUUUUAUUUGGAGCCUAAUUGGUGAAAAAUUAAGUUUGAGAGCCUAAUUUGAGCAUAAUUGAGAAGAUUGGAAUUUUAAGAGACUAAAUUUAAUUUUUACCAAGUUAAUUGAUUGAAAUUAGGGGUCAAAUUGCAAGAAAAUUGAAGUUUUGGGGUCAAUUAGGGGUUAAAUUGACAAAAUUCACAACCAAGGAUCAAUCUGCAAAAGGCGCCAAACUAUAGGGGUUUAAUUGACAAAAUUCAGGGGUCAAAUUGAAGAAAUUGAAAGUUUAAUGGUCAAUUAGGGAUGAAAUUGCAUAAAUUCGAGACCAAUGACUAUACUGCAAAAGGCGCGUAAAUACAGGGCUAAAGUUGAAGUUCUGCAGGGGUCUUAUUCCAUUAAAUCAAAGGUUUAGGGUCAAUUAGGGGUUCAAUUGAACCAAAUUGAAAGCUAGAGGACUACAUUGAACUUCGGCAAAAUCCCUAAUUUUAACCCAAAAUGAUGUUGUUUUUGCGUUAAAAAAAAAAAGAAAGAUACCAGGCGACACGUUGCCUGGUCACUGUUCAUCUUCCCCGUGAACGCUGCCCGGGUAGCAGUUUUGCAGGUGCAUUUAAUGCCUCGCAUGUCCCCCAAAAUUGACAACACGUGCACCAAAAUAGUCACCUGAAAUCCCUCUAUCCCCGAGUAUUAUCUGGUCAGGCCUAUUAACAUGAAAACUGCUCCAGUGACCGGCCUGAAGUAGCCAACUCGGGCAGUUUUGGACUGUCAAAUUUGGCAGAUCGAGGUGCACACUUUGAACCAACGGUUGGAAUGCUUACCAACCAAACCAAAGGCCACGAUUUGACACCAUUAAAGAAAAAAUGUUCCUCUUCCAUCUCCUACAAAUAGGGCUGCAUUUCAUGGCCUGGAGGAGGAAGAAAUCGAGUCCAAAAUUGACAAAAAACCAGCCGCACCCUUCUGUUUUUCUCCUUUUCUUUUCUGCAACGAGUACUCUUUCUCUUUUCUCCUUCUCAGCCGUGCAUUCAGCCACCACCACUACCACCGCUAGCUUGACAACCAUCCUCUCCAGCACACUUCUCCCUCUCCAUUGAUUUCUUCUCCCUUUUCCUCCAUAGCGACAGCAGCUCAUCAGCACCACCAUUUUCUUUUUCUUCCUUCUCCAGCACCGGCAACAGCAACAUCAGCACCGACCUCCAUCCCCACAACCAGCUUUACCACCAUCAUUUCCAUCAACCCAGCUCUUCACCAGUGGCGGAGCAGCCACCGUGACCUUCUCUCUCUUCUCCUUCCAGCUUUUCUCUCUCCUCUGCAACUUUUUCUUCUUCCUCGCACAGUCGAAUCUGGCCACCAUCACCUCAGCCGACGCCCCCUGAGCCACCGGCUAAACCACCUCAUCACGACCGAGACCCCCACGCCAGGCAACUUCCUCCUCCCUGCUUUGCCUCUUUCUUCCUCGUCGUGGCUGCUGCAUGCAGAAUUUAUUUCUACAUGGAGUAAGCUAAUUAAUUAGCCCCUGGUUUGGGUCGGGCCAGUUAUAGCCCUGCCCAAGUGGUUGGGUCUUGCCUGGCCCCCAUUUAAAAAAAAAUCAAAAAAAGUUUUCAAAAAUCAUUUUAAAAAAAAUUUGGGAUUUUUCUCGCAUAUUUUUCUACCAAUUUUGCAUAAUAUCGGGUUGUAUAUUUACACUGUAAAAUACAAAUCUAGUAUUAAAAUACCCGGUUUUCUCCAAAAUAUUUCAAAAAAAAAAUCAAAACAUUUUCAAAAAGAAAAAAAUAUUUCGUUGCAUAUGGCCAAAUUCUAAAAAAAUUUCAAGCAUAUUUUCAUAAAAAAAAUUGCAUCUCUCUCAUGUUUUGAAAAUAAAAAAUGGAUAUCAUAAACAGUUUAUGAUCAUCCAUUAGUAUUUGGCCAACAUGUCAAAAAUCUUUUUCAAAUCUUUUUUUUAUGAUCUAGAUGUAGACUUUAAUAUUUGUGGGGUGUAAAAUUACAUGAUAAAGUACACCCUUAUGUAUUAAAGAUACAAGGUGUAAAUAAAUGCGAUGCCAAAAUUCAGACUUUAGAAUAGUUAGAAUUUAACCCGAUAAGGUAGAAACUCUCUCAUGAAGAGAGAUCUGCCUUGAGCCUUAGAAAAGACUAACGAAUAAAAACCCAACUUAGAAAAAAAACAAUCAAACAAACAAUGCAGCUUACCUGAGGUAGGGUGCAUUGGGGGUGAUGCGUCUUUCCCUUGCAUAACCAGUCCCUUACUCAUACUCUCGCAGACCAUAGAUUCCUAGUGACCAUAAUACUAGGUGGCGACUCCUAAACAUUAAUCAUAAUUCUAUAAUUAAAUCCAAAAACCCUUUCCAACACACAACACCUCACAUAGGAGGCACGGCAAAGAGCCUCCGCCGUCGCGGCGCUCACGCCCCCGCGACAAUGAAUAUGAUUUCUGCUAAUGAAAGGCAAGCCCCCUAGUGCCUGUGCUUUCUAAAUGCCAUCACAGCCCCAUUCAAGGAACUUCCAGACAGAGGAUUCUUCAGACCAAUAGCAUUAAUAAUGGAAGACAAUAUAGAUUCAAACUAUGAUAUCAGAAUCAAUAUAGAUACCACCAUAUUUGCUUAACCCAACAUACAAAGGACAAAUUGCAGAAACAAUGAUUCUAAACAUAAUAGAACCAGCACAUGGAAUAUAAAACAAAAGUUCAUCUCAACUCUAGUGAAGAUAUUCUAGGGGAGUUUUUCGAUCUAUUUUUGAGGGGUUUGUUGGGUAUUUUGAUUCAUUAGCAGCCUUCCAAGUCUUUGUGAUAUUAAUCCGUAAAGACAUGUAAAAAUACCUAGUUACCAUGAUGAGUUUCUCAAAUUUUUUUCAUAUGAAAAGAGAGGUUGAAACCCCGGACCAGUGACCUCCUAGGAAUCAUUAUGCACCCCAACCCACAUGGAAGUGUGAGAUCAACCUCUUAGGAAUCAUUGUGCACCCCAACUCAUAUGCAAGUGUGUAAUUGUUGGUGGACCUCGAGUUGCAGGCUCUCCCUUGUGGUUUUGUUUUUUAGAGUGGCUUACUGCUCACCCAUGGGUGGUGUCAAGGAGAUAUUAACUAACACAUGGUUUCCAAUUCAAGAGCCAUCAUCAAAAUCACAAGAUUCUGAUUGCCAAAUUCUCAACCAAAUAAAAGUUUGAUUAAAUUGAAUUGAAUAGCACCAAAUAUUCAAUGGAUCAACAAAAAUAAAAGGUAAUGUUUAUAAAACCAAUUUUAAUAUAGCUCAAAAUUAAGCGGAUCUUUUCGGUAAUUAAGGUAAGAACUUCAACAAAAAAAAAUAAAGAAAAGAAUUAAUAUGGCCUGACAUGGUUAAAAUAUCCCGGUAAACUCAAGUAAAAUUUGGUUAAAUAUUGUUGAUUUUUUUUGGAAAAAACAAUUUUAGUCAAAACAAUAUUAUUUUAAUUCAGAUUUGACAACUCAGGAUGCCUACUUUGAGGCAAUGGUUGGGAUCCUUACCAACUGAAUCAAGGGCUGAAAUUUUUUCCUGGUAUAAACAAGAUUGCUCUCUUCCACCUCCUAUAAAUAGAGGUGGAUUUCCUGGCCUGGGGGAGGAGAAAAUUAGGACCAAAGUCGGCAAAAAACCAGCCCCUCUGCCCUUGUUUCUGCAGUUUUUCUCUCCCUCUCUCCCCCCACCGUUCGAGCCACCACCUGCUCCACCACAGGUAGCUAGCCCAACCACAAGCUGAUCACCCCCAUUCCUGAAACAGUCACCGUUUCUUCCUCUCUCUCACCUCUGCAAAAUCCUUCUUCCUUCCCCCGUGAUCGACUCCGGCCACCAUUCCUCCCAGCGACGCCACCAAAACCAUCAACACAACCUCCUGAUCACGGCCGAGACUCCUGCUUCGAGUGAGCCGCUCCUCCGUCAACCUUCAUUUUCUGCAACCAUUUCAGUUGCAUGCAGAACGUGAACCACUGUUCACGUUCUGCAAAUAAUUAACAUUAACUUUGGGUCGGGCCAGUUAUGGCCUAGCCUAAUUGGUCGGGUCUGCCCUGGCCCAAAAAAAAGAGAGAAAAUGUGUUGGGCCAAGAUCGGCCCAUUGUUUUCUGGGUUUGUGCCUGACCCACUUAUCUGGGCCGACCCGACCCACAUGUUUUAAUAAUAUUUAAUUAAUAUAUAAUAUUAUAUUAUAUAUUUCUUUUAAAAAAAUAAAAAAAUAAAAAAUCCUUUGAAAAAAAUUGUGAUUUUUUCACAUUUUUUUCUAUCAAUUUUGCAUAAUAUUGGGUUGUAUAUUUACACUUUAAAAUACAAAUCCGAUAUUAAAAUACCUGGUUUUCUCUGAAUUUUUUUUAAAAAAAAUUUCAAAACAUUUUCAAAAAGAAAAAAAAAUUUUUGUUGCAUAUGGACAAAUUCUAAAAAAUUUCCAAGGAUAUUUUCAUUAAAAAAAAUUGCAUCUUUCUCAUGUUUUGAAAACCCAAAAAAAUAGAUAUCAUAACCGGUUUAUGAUUAUCUAUUAGGGUUCGACCAAAAUAUCAAGAACUUUUUUUCAAUUUUUUUUUAGGAUCCAGACGUAAACUUUAAUAUUUGUGGGGUGUAAAAUUACAUGAUAAAGUAUACCCUCGGGUAUUAAAAAUACAAGGUGUAAAUAAAUACGAUGCUAAAAUUUAGACUUUAGAACAGUUAGGAUUUAACCCAAUAAGGUAGAGACUUUUUCAUGAAGAGAGAUCUACCUUAAACCUUAGAAAAGACCAACGAAUAGAAACCAGACUUAGAAAAAAAAAUUAAACAACAACGUAGCUUACCUUAGGUAGGGUACAUUGGAGGUGAUGCGUCUUCCUCUUGCAUAACCAAUUCUUUACCCAGACUCUCGCAAACCAUAGGUUCCUAGUGACCAUAACACUAGGUGGCGACUCCUAAACAUUAAUCGUAAUUUCAUGAUUAAAUCCAAAAACCCUUCCCAACACACCACACCUCACACAAGAGGCACGACAAUAGCCUCUACCGUCGCCAGACGACGUCGCAUUGGCGCUCGACCCCCUUGACAACACUAUUAAAAAACAAAAAACAAUAUGUAAUGGCUCUUCAAAAUAUAUUUAAAAACACUUUUUACUGUCACUAAAUUUUUUUGAUCCGUAACAAAAUUAUCAGAAAUGGUCACUACAUAUAGUGUCAUAAUUAAGUUGAUGCAGUGACACCAAACCCUCUAUAAAAGAGAUUAAAGAUCCAAUUUAAUAAUUUGAUGAAAUUGAAAAUUAAAGAUCCAAUUUAAUAAUUUGAUGAAAUUGAAAAUUAAAGAUCCAAUUUAAUAAUUUGAAGGAAUUUGAUAUGAUUUAUUACUUUCAAAUUAUAUGUAAUCUUUUUUGUUAUGAAAAAAGGGGUUUGAAUUCAAGAUUUUCUUGGAAGAAAAAUACUAAAAUCAUUCAAGUUACAACUCAUUGAAGAUAGUUCAAUGCAGAUGAUAAAACUUGAAUAUCAAAUCCUGGAAACUACAAUAUGCUUAGCCUUCAGCUAGUUAAAAAAACGAAUAUCAAAUCCUGGAAACUACAGUUGAUAAAUAAACCUGGUCCUCGGAACCUGCUUUCAAGUCUCGUUAAUAUCACAUUGCUUAGCAAAAACCCUAAUUCCCGCAAGAACCCUGCUUUCAAGUUUUUCAAUUGCAUGAGUUGCUUUUACUUCCCCUGUCAUUCCAAUUUUCUUUGAUUCUCAUUUCAUCCUUUUAUGGUCAUCAAAUCUUUCUCAUUACUUCAGGUAUAUACGUACAUCACAUCAAUUUCAUUUUUCAACCUACAAGUCGUGCUCUUCCUUCACCACAGCCCUACAAAAACUAAUAAAAAAAUGUUGAGACACUAAAAUACAAGCUUCACUAGUAAAAAAAACUACAAGUUGCAAGAACUCCACCUGCAACACCAAACCCUAAGUAAAUAAACUAACUUCCAUUCACAAUCAGCCGCCUCCUUCCCUUCACCGUCUCUUUCUCUCUGCUCAUCCCAUCAUCAUUGCCUCUCUCUCUCUCUCUCUCUCUCUCUCUCCAAUCAGAACUAAACAGACGAUGGCUGAGGCACUUGUAUCUCCGAUCUUGGAGCAGUUAACCACGAUCGUUGUUCAACAGGUAUUUUUCUACCAUCUGCAAUAACCUGAUUUACCUAGCAGGGAUAAGAAAUAUAAAGGUCAAGCCUUUUUUCUUCCUAUCAUAAAAAGAAUACUUUUAACUUGAAUAAAUGAAAAUGGUAUAUGUUUGGAUUUUAUUAAAGAAUCUUCUUUUUGUUGUUUUAUUAUUUUUCAUAAUUCCAAAAAUAACCUAAAGAAAAUAUAUCAUUCCAAAUAUAGGAAAACCGAAAAAGGCAAAACAAGAGUUGCCAAUUCUCUUUAAACUGAACUAUUAAGGGUAAAAUAAUCAAUAAAAAGUUCAGAGGAUUAGCGAGCGAGUGUAUAUAUAUAUAUAUAUAUAUAUAUAUAUAUAUAUAUAUAUAUAAGGUAAAAUAUAUCUAUAGUUUAAUGUAAAAUAAAAACCAGAUUUUAUGUCGGUUCAAAGGAGAAAUCCUUCUCUCGUGAGAACAUUAAACUCUUUCCAUGCCUAUAUUAAUUAUAUAUAUAUACGUACAAGUUUAACGUUGUACCAUUUAAGAUUCAUUUUAUACCUUCUUAUACAGUAGCAUAGUGCAGACUGAUAUCAUCAUAAUGAUGAUAAAAAGAAAAAAGAAAUAUUAUUAUUUCUAAUAAAUAUUUUACAUAUAAAUUAUUAAUAUAGUAAAUCCAUUUCACAAUAAAAUAUAUUAAUACAAAAUAGAAAUGUUUCCUGUGCUUGAACUUCCUUGUCUUUUCUACACUAAUAGGUACAGGAAGAGGUGAACCUAGUAGGGGGUGUGAAAUUGUCUUGAAAUCACAGAAAUGUUUCCUAUGCUUAACGUUUCUUUUCCUUUGUACACUAAUAGGUACAAGAAGAGGUGAACCUCGUAGUGGGUGUGAAGAAACAAGUCGACAAGCUGAAAAGACAUCUCCUUGCUAUCCAAUCUCGCAUUGAAGAUGCAGAUAGAAAACAAGUGAAAGAUGAGGCUGUAAAGGAUUGGCUAGACAAGCUCAAAGAUGUAUGUUAUGAUAUCGAUGACGUGCUAGAUGAAUGGAGCACUGCAAUUCUUAGAUGGAAAAUGGAGGAAGCUGAAGAAAAUACUCGCAGCCGACAGAAGAUGCGAUGUUCCUUCCUGAGAUCUCCUUGCUUUGGUCUCAAUCAAGUGGGUCAACGUCGGGACAUUGCCCUUAAGAUCAAAGAAGUAUGUGAAAAAAUGGAUGACAUUGCCAAAGAGAAAGCUAUGGAUGGCUUUGUUCCGUACAGAGCCACCGAUGAACUACAACGACUAAUAAGUACCUCCUUUGUUGAUGAAUCAAGCGUGAUUGGUCGAGAUGUUGAAAAGAAAACUGUUGUAAGCAAGUUGGUGGGUGAAAGUAGUCAGGAAGCACGGGACGUUGAUGUCAUCUCUCUAGUAGGGCUGGGUGGAAUGGGAAAAACAACUCUCGCCCAACUAGCUUUUAAUGAUGCUGAGGUUACGGCUCAUUUUGAGAAAAAGAUAUGGGUGUGUGUUUCAGAACCGUUUGAUGAGGUUAGAAUAGCAAAAGCAAUCAUUGAGCAGCUUGAAGGGAGUCCAACGAAUUUGGUUGAAUUGCAAUCCCUUUUGCAAAGGGUUUCUGAAUCCAUUACUGGAAAGAGGUUCCUUCUUGUCCUGGAUGAUGUCUGGACAGAAAAUCAUAGACAAUGGGAACCACUGAAACUCUCUCUCAAAGGCGGUGCACGAGGAAGCAGAAUUCUAGUGACCACUCGUAAGGACGCUGUGGCAACGAAAUUGGGAACUGACCACCGGAUCAACAUUGAGAAAUUGUCCGAUGAGAUAUGCAGGUCAAUAUUCAAUCAUGUGGCAUUCCAGGAAAGAAGCAAAGAUGAGCGCGAAAGAUUGACAGAUAUCGGCGAUAAAAUUGCAAACAAGUGCAAGGGCUUGCCUCUAGCUGCCAAGGUAUUAGGAGGUCUAAUGCAGUUUAAAAGAACAAGAGAAGAGUGGGAACGUGUUUUAUCUAGCGAACUGUGGAGGCCAGAUGAGGUUGAUAGAGACCAGGUUGAAAGACAAAUAUUUAUACCGUUGCUUUUGAGUUACUACGAUUUACCUUCUGUGGGAAGACGAUGUUUCUUGUAUUGUGCCAUGUUUCCAAAAGACUACGAGAUGGACAAAGAUGAAUUGGUGAAGAUGUGGAUGGCUCAAGGUUACCUCAAGGAGACUUCAGGUGGAGAUAUGGAGCUUGUAGGAGAGCAGUACUUUCAAGUCUUAGCAGCGCGCUCUUUCUUCCAAGAUUUUAAGACGUAUGGUCGAGAAGGUAUUGCAUUCAAGAUGCAUGAUAUAGUGCAUGAUUUUGCCCAAUAUAUGACAAAAAAUGAAUGUCUAACAGUGGACGUCAAUAACCUUGGAGAAGCAACAGUGGAGACUUCAAUUGAAAGGGUUCGUCAUUUAAGCAUGAUGCUGUCAGAGGAGACUUAUUUUCCCGAGUUCAUUCAGAAAGCAAAAGGUCUUCGCAGCCUCUUGAUCAACACUAGAGACCCUUCACUUGGAGCUGCACUUCCUGAUCUAUUCAAGCAGUUGACAUGCAUCAGGUCAUUGAAUUUGUCAGAGUCUUCAAUCAGAGAAUUGUCAGAGUCUUCAAUCAAAGAAAUACCAAACGAGGUAGGGAAAUUGAUACAUUUGAGACACGUCAAUUUUGCAUAUUGUUAUCAGUUGGAGUCCCUGCCAGAAACCAUGUGUGAUUUAUGCAAUCUGCAAUCCCUAGACGUUACUUGGUGUGGUUCUCUCAAGGAAUUGCCUAAGGCGAUUGGAAAACUUAUCAAAUUGAGGCAUCUCCAGAUUGAUGGUUCAGGUGUGGCCUUCAUACCAAAGGGAAUAGAGAGGAUAACAUGUCUUCGAACAUUAGAUGUGUUUAAAGUUUGUGGCGGUGGUGAGAAUGAAAGUAAAGCAGCUAAUCUAAGAGAAUUAAAAAACUUAAAUCACAUUGGAGGGAGUCUUAACAUACGGAAUCUAGGAGGAGGUAUAGAAGAUGCGAGUGACGCUGCAGAAGCACAACUCAAGAAUAAGAAGCGCCUGCGUCGUUUGGAAUUGGUUUUCGACAGAGAGAAAACAGAGUUGCAAGCGAAUGAAGGCUCUUUAAUUGAAGCUUUACAGCCUCCGUCAGACUUGGAAUAUCUGACCAUAUCUAGUUACGGAGGGUUUGAUUUGCCAAAUUGGAUGAUGACAUUGACCAGAUUACUGGCUCUUGAACUGCAUGAUUGUACAAAGCUGGAGGUCUUGCCUCCGUUGGGAAGAUUGCCCAACCUUGAAAGCCUGGCAUUCUGGUCGUUGAAGGUGAGAAGGCUGGAUGCUGGAUUUUUAGGUAUAGAAAAAGAUGAGAAUGCCAGUAUUAAGGAAGGAGAAAUUGCAAGGGUCACUGCUUUUCCCAAAUUAAAAACACUUGAGAUUUGGCAUCUCGAAGAAGUAGAAGAGUGGGAUGGAAUUGAAAGGAGAUCAGUGGGAGAAGAAGAUGCCACCACAACUUCAAUAAUAUCCAUGAUGCCACAACUUCGAUGGUUGAGAAUUAUCAAUUGCCCGUUGCUGAGAGCACUACCAGACUAUGUUUUGGCAGCGCCUCUACAGGAAUUAGACAUAAGGUGGUGCACCAUUCUAAGGAAACGUUACGGGAAGGAGGAGAUGGGUGAAGAUUGGCAAAAGAUUUCUCACUUCCCAAACAUUUAUUUUGAAUAAUAUGUAAGCCUUACCAUUUACUCUAUGUGACCUCUUUACUGUAAAAUCCAAGACCUAUCACUGAUCAUGGCAAGACUCACUCCUCUAUUUCCAGAUCCAAAAAUGUCAAGAUAUUUUUAAUUCUUUAAUUCUAUGAAUAAAAACAUAGAUAUUGAAUUUUUUUUUUAAUCUUUCAUAAAUUGAAUUCAAUUUUCGAAAACUUUCUACAAAUCUAAAUAUGGAUAUUGAAAACGACAUCAAAAUAGGAACUUUCAUAGGUUUCCACACACUCCCAUAUGCCUUGAGCUUAAGCGCAGGUGGACAUCUUUUUUUUCUUUUUCUUUUUUUCCAAGACAAAUGCUGCAACCUAUUAAUCAUCCAUGAGCCAUGUGUGCAUACCGCACGCCUCCUUACAGGGCAUCUUCACUGCCGGACUGGUGGGAUUCAUAUAGACUUCAUAUGUGCUACUUUGAGGCUCCAUAUCUCCGUUUCUAGUGUUCUUGAACUCGUCAGAGAGCUUACACUGCAUGCUAUCUAUAACAACAGAUAUCAAGCACAGACAAUAAAGCAUAAGAAAAUUACAAGACAGAAAAACCAAUUCAUCGUAAUUCAAACGCUGAAAUCUCUCAGCAUACAAGUCCAAUUUACACGCCAUUUCCCAGAUUUAGUGCUCGUGGCAGAUGCACAUGAGGUAAUCAUUUCAUGCUAUUUGAUGCUUUCUAAAGUUACCAUAUAUGUCCAUAAUACGAGUUUGAAACAGAAACUGAUGCAAACAGCCAUAUUAAUCAUCCAUGAGCCAAAAAUUAAGAACUGCAAGAGUAAAAUGAACUGACUUCUUACUGCAAAAUGUGAACAGGCAAACGGUGGAUUUGGAAAUCAAGGGGGCAAGAAAAACCUUGUAAUUCAAAUAGGUGCACAGGCUAGGUGUGACAACCCUUUUAAUUCAUGAUCAGUGUAAAAUAUCUAUGGUUGUGGUAAUGCUAAUUAGAGUUGUUGAAUUAUAUUGCAAUGCAAUUCCAUGAUGUAAAAGUAUUUUUCAACUUGGAUUAAACUCACUUAAUUAGUUUAUUAAUUUGUACAAAAAUAGUUUUAUUUCAUAAAAUCUCAUAAAAUAGAAAUUACAAAUAGUAAUUCAACUCAUAAUUUCAUGCUCUCUCUUAUAUAAAAUUUUAAUUUGAACUAAACUAUUCUUUAUAGAAUGAAGUAUUAUUGCUUUCCAUCUAGAAAUGAAACACAAUAAAUUAUUUCAUAAAACAAUACAUGCAAAAUAAUUCAAUACUACUUAUAAAAGAAAAACCAUUUUAAAGUAUUAAGUCAAAAAUUCAGGAUGUUUUAAAGUAAUCCCUAGUAAUUUUGAUUUUCUCAUAAAUCUAAUUUUAUUGAGUGAAUGAAAGAUUUCAAAUAUAUAGUACGUAGUAUAUAAAUAAUUUUCUGAACCAAAGAAAGAUUUCAAAUAUAUAGUACGUAGUAUAUAAAUAAUUUUCUGAACCAAAGAAAAAACAGAAUUUUAGGAGUGAUUUAAAAUCAUGAACUAGAAUUUAAGUAUUCAAGUUGAGCAUAUUAAAUUUGAAUUCCCAGUCGUUCAAGUGCAUGGGACACAAAUCCUUCUUCAAGAAUCGUUGUGUUUUCUUCCCCUCGGAACCCAUUAAAACAUGGAGCCCAAAAGUAUUUAGAUUGCCCAAUUCACCAAGUCAUAAUGAGAGAACCCAAGCCCAAGCAGAGUACUCUGGGCUAAUUCAUUUUAUUUAGUACUAUGAUUAUUAUAUGCACUCCAUUAAUUAUUAGUUCCACUUCAUUUUGUAGCCACGAUGAUCAAUUAUGCAUAUGACCUCACCUCAACACUAGUUUUGUACCCGCACUCUGCAAUGAGGUGCAUAUAGUGUUUUUUCAGAGCAUCAAAGCAUUGACUAAGAAAGACUGACUGAAUUGAAACAGAACGCAACGAGACUUUUGGGUUUGAAACUAAUCCAGUGAAGACAGCAAAUAACCUUCUUCUUUUUUUUUUGUAAGGGAAGGCAAAUAGAAUGAGUUUAAAGCAUAAUGACUUAAUUGCAAAAUGCAUAUGAAUGCAGUUUUUUGACAAGGGAGUUUGGUGUUCCUGAAGCAGCAACAAUGGCUGCUAAGCUACGCAUAAUUUGUUGUCUUGUUCCCAACAAUGCCAUUCUGAUCCCAAACGCUGCUGAGUCUAGCAUGCUGAUUUCCUCACUAAUUUCGAUCUGAAUUUCAAUUUCCAGAUUUCAUAACCUUAGCCCUUAUUUUAGUAACCAAACAACUCUCUUCCUAUGUUCCUGCAUCUGCAUGUCGACUCUUCACUCUCUGAUUCCUGAAUCUUGAAAAGACUCUUCCUUUGUUUUUCUAGUUGUCUUGCGUUAUGUUUCUAGCUAAAAGAAGAAAUAAGUGACUUAAAUUAUGAAAAAGUAGAAAAAGACAAUGAAAGAAGUGCCUUAAAUCACGUUAAGUUAAGAAAGGAAUGAAAAGAAAAAAAGAAGAAAGGAAGGUGAUGUAGUCCAUACAAAAUGAAUCCUUUCCUCCAGAAAAUCUUGCUCAUUUCUUGUCCUUUUCACACCCAUUUGCUCCCCUUCACAAACAAACCUCCCCAUUUAAAGGAGCUCCAAUCACGCAAACCAGCAAUCCUUCCCAACUUUUUUCCAUGACCACAGCACGCUACUGAUAUCCACACAGCCCCAGCUUCAGACAGCUUCCAUCACGCAGACCCUUUCCUGUUAACACAACCGCAGAGCCUGUAGCUGCCGCCAACAAAACCCCAGCAUCCUCUCCAUGAAUAAACCAAAACACAUCCCUGCUCAUCCACUGAUAACUCCUUAAACUACCCAGAUACAUGACUUCCAAAAGGUAUAUGAUUUUUAAAGUUAAAUGUAACCUCUAAAAGUAUGGAGAGUUGGGGACUUGAAUUAUUCUUUGCACGGUGACAAAUGAAUUCUAGAAUUUAGAUUUUUAUUUCCCAUCUAAAUAUUAAAAUAUUUGACAUUAAAGAUAUUUUAAUAUAUUUUUAAACAAAAAAAUAUAUAUAAAAAAUACUUUACAGCAUAAUUUCAAGCACCAUCAACAAAUCCAAUCAUACAACCUCAACAAAUCUGGACCAUCCAUUUUCAGACCCAAAAUCAAAGAUCAAUAUCAAACCCCAGUCCCUGCUAUGAAAACAGGAUAAAAUCACCAGAUCUCAAAAACCCAGAUAGAUAGAUGCUUGUUUAUAUUUCCAUUACACAAGAACUAAUUGGUUACUAAUUUUGGUUUGUUUAAAUUAGUUUGAAUGGCCAGAUAUAUAUUACAUAAAAUGAAGAGAAGAAAUAGAGAAGCAGGAAUUUCAGUAGAAUGCUAUAAUCAGAUGUCCAUAUCAGAUACAUUCUUAACCUACGGUCAGUAUCAAUAAAAAAUAAUUGCUAUAUAUCGAAGAAGAAAUUACUUUCCACAAAUAAUAAUCCUUAGCCUAGAACUCGGUAGAAUUGAAAAGCACGAGUGUUUCACCUUUGGAACUCAAAAUGGCAUGUCAUUCUCAGUAGAAACAUACAACCAGGACUAGACUGAAAAGCUACAAUAAUAUAGGGACUGAAUUGAAGUGUUAGAAACAGUACAGGGACUGAAACAAAACUCAACCCCCAUCACCAAACCCUAAGUACAUAAACUAACUAAACCAGCAGCCUCCUUCCACUCACACUCUCUUCUCUCUCUUUCUCAGUUCAUCCUAACAUCAUUGUCUAUUUUUUAAAAAUAAUUAAAUUAAACAGACAAAUGGCAGAGGCACUUUUAUCGCCAAUUUUGGAGCAGCUAACCACGGUCGUUGCUCGACAGGUAAUUACUUUUAUACAAUUUGCAAUGAUCUAAUUAACCCUUACAUUAAUAAGAAAUAUAAAAAUGAUCUCUUUUUCUUUCUUUAUAAGAAAAACAAAAUAAAAUAUCAAAUCCUCAGAUCUAGAUUUGGAUUUUAUUAAAGAAAUUUCUAUUUAUUGUUUUAUUAUUUUUCAUAUUUCUGGAAAUAAUCUAAAACAAAUAUUCUUAGAAGGAAAAUGGAGUUGUCGAUCCUCUCAUAAAACUGAACUACUAAGGGUAAAAUAAUCAAUCAGAUGUUAAAAUAAUAAGUUUCAUAAUCUUAUUAUAAUACCAACAAAUAUUUAUUUCCAAAUAGAUUUUACGAAUACCAACAAAUACAGAUCCUUUUAUUCUCAAUAUUUCUUUGAUCCACCAAGCUUAUGUUAUAUAUAGGUUUGACGUUGAACAAUUUAAGAUUCAUUUUCUUCCUUCUUGUAUAGUAGCAGAGUGCAGACAGAGAUAUCAUCAUGAUGAUGAUAAAAAUAAAUAUUAUUAUUUUUAAUAUAUUGGUUUUUAAUAAAUAUUUUAUAUAUAAAUUAUUAAUAUAGCCAAUCCAUUUCACAGUACGUGUCAACUACUGCGAAAAAAAACAGAUUAAUAAAAAUUAUCUAAUCUAUUAAUUACCAAAAAUUAAAAUUAAAAACUUGCAGUGAAAUCAUGGAAAUGUUUCCUCUGCUUGAACUUCUUUAUCUUUUCCACACUAAUAGGUACGAGAAGAGGCCUAGUGGGGGAUGUGAAGAAACAAGUCGACAAGCUGAAAAGCAAUCUCCUUGCUAUCCAAUCUGUCCUUGAAGAUGCAGAUAGACAACAAGUGAAGGAUAAGGCUGUAAGAGAUUGGCUAAACAAGCUCAAAGAUGUAUGUUAUGAUUUGGAUGACGUGCUCGAUGAAUGGAGCACUGCAAUUCUUAGAUGGAAAAUGGAGGAAGCUGAAGAAAAUACUCGCAGCCGACAGAAGAUGCGAUGUUCCUUCCUGAAAUCUCCUUGCUUCUGUCUCAAUCAAGUGGUUCAACGUCGCGACAUUGCCCUCAAGAUCAAAGAAGUUAGUGAAAAAGUGAAUGACAUUGCCAAAGAGAGAGCAAUGUUUGGCUUUGAGUUGUACAGAGUCACUGAUGAACUCCAGCGACUAACAACUACCUCCUUUGUUGAUGAAUCAAGCGUGAUUGGUCGAGAUGGUGAAAAGAAAAAUGUUGUAAGCAAGUUGCUGGCUGAAAGUAGUCAAAAAGCACGGGACGUGGAUGUCAUCUCUCUAGUAGGGCUGGGCGGAAUUGGAAAAACAACUCUCGCCCAACUAGCUUUUAAUGAUUCUGAGGUUACGGCUCAUUUUGAGAAAAAGAUAUGGGUGUGUGUUUCAGAUCCAUUUGAUGAGGUUAAAAUAGCCAAAGCUAUCCUUGAGCAGCUUGAAGGGAGUGCACCGAAUUUGGUUGAAUUGCAAUCCCUUUUGCAAAGGGUUUCUGAAUCCAUUAAGGGAAAGAGGUUCCUUCUUGUCCUUGAUGAUGUAUGGACAGAAAAUCAUGGACAAUGGGAAAAACUGAAACCAUCUCUCACAGGCUGUGCACGAGGAAGCAGAAUUCUAGUGACCACUCGUAAGGACGCUGUGGCAACGAUGAUGGGAAGUACUGGCCACCGGAUCAACAUUAAGGAAUUGUCCGACGAGAUAUGCAGGUCAAUAUUCAAUCAUGUGGCAUUCCAGGAAAGAAGCAAAGAUGAGCGCGAAAGAUUGACAGAUAUCGGCGAGAAGAUUGCAAGCAAGUGCAAGGGCUUGCCUCUAGCUGCCAAGGUAUUAGGAGGUCUGAUGCAGUUUAAAAGAACAAGAGAAGAGUGGGAACGUGUUUUAUCUAGCGAACUGUGGGAGCUAGAACAUGUUGAAAGGAGACUAUUUCCACCUUUGCUUUUGAGUUACUACGAUUUACCUUAUGUGGAAAGACGAUGUUUCUUGUAUUGUGCCAUGUUUCCAAAAGACUACGACAUGCGCAAAGAUGAAUUGGUGAAGAUGUGGAUGGCUCAAGGUUACCUGAAGGAGACAUCAGGUAGAGAUAUGGAGGUUGUUGGAGAGGAGUACUUUCAAGUCUUGGUAGCACGCUCUUUCUUCCAAGAUUUUAAGAAGUAUGGUCUAGAAAAUAUCAGAUUCAAGAUGCAUGAUAUAGUGCAUGAUUUUGCCCAAUAUAUGACAAAAAAUGAAUGUCUAACAGUGGAUGUCAAUACACUUGGAGGAGCAACAGUGGAGACUUCAUUUGAAAGGGUUCGUCAUUUAAGCAUGAUGCUGUCAGAGGAGACAUCUUUUCCCGUGUCUAUUCACAAAGCCAAAGGUCUUCGCAGCCUCUUGAUCGACACUAGAGACCCUUCGCUUGGAGCUGCACUGCCUGAUUUGUUCAAGCAGUUGACAUGCAUCCGGUCAUUGGAUUUGUCAAAGUCUUCUAUCAAAGAAAUACCGAACGAGGUAGGGAAAUUGAUACAUUUGAGACACCUCAAUCUGGCAUCUUGUGGAGAGUUGGAGUCCCUGCCAGAAACCAUGUGUGAUUUAUGCAAUCUGCAAUCCCUAGACGUUACUUGGUGUGGUUCUCUCAAGAAAUUGCCUAAUGCGAUUGGAAAACUUAUCAAAUUGAGGCAUCUCCGGAUUAAUGGUUCAGGUGUGGACUUCAUACCAAAGGGAAUAGAGAGGAUAGCAUGUCUUCGAACAUUAAAUGUGUUUAUUGUGUGUGGUGGUGGUGAGAAUGAAAGUAAAGCAGCUAAUCUAAGAGAAUUAAAAAACUUAAAUCACAUUGGAGGGAGUCUUGGGAUACGGAAUCUACAAGAUGCGAGUGACGCUGCAGAAGCACAACUCAAGAAUAAGAAGCGCCUGCUUCGUUUGGAAUUGGAUUUCGACUACAACCAGGAGAGCGGCAUUUUAAUUGAAGCUUUACGGCCUCCGUCUGACUUGAAAUAUCUAACCAUAUCUAGGUACGGAGGGUUGGAAUUGCCAAGUUGGAUGAUGACAUUAACCAGAUUACAGGAGCUUAUACUGUCUGAUUGUACAAAGCUGGAGGUCAUGCGUCCGUUGGGAAGAUUGCCCAACCUUGAAAGCCUGGUAUUGAGGUCGUUGAAGGUGAGAAGGCUGGAUGGUGGAUUUUUAGGUAUAGAAAAAGAUGAGAAUGCCAGUAUUAAUGAAGGAGAAAUUGCAAGGGUCACUGCUUUCCCCAAAUUAAAAACACUUUGGAUUGGUAAUCUCGAAGAAGUAGAAGAGUGGGAUGGAAUUGAAAGGAGAGUGGGAGAAGAAGAUGUCAACACAACUUCAAUAAUAUCCAUUAUGCCACAACUUCGAUGGUUGACAAUUCUUAACUGCCCGUUGCUGAGAGCACUACCAGACUAUGUUUUGGCAGCGCCUCUACGGGUAUUAGACAUAUGGGGUUGCCCCAUUCUAAGGAAACGUUACGGGAAGGAGGAGAUGGGUGAAGAUUGGCAAAAGAUUUCUCACAUCCCAAACAUUUCUAUUUAUAGUUAAAGAAUAGUAAAGGCACGGAAGUCUGUAGGACCGGCAGGAAGAGGUAUGUUUCAUAUACCUCUUUACUGUAUAUUGUUGACUUUGGAUUGUAUUUCCUACUUACCAUUUAUUCCAUCAAAUGCAGCUGUGAUAUAUAUACCCAUCUCUCUCUCUCUCUCUCUCUCUCUCUCAACAUAUAUAAAAUAAUAUGUAAUUCAUAUGUUCAUAUUUAAAGAAUAGUUAGGACCGGCAGGAAGAGGUAAUUUUUUAUUUAAUUAUUGAAUUAGACUUAAAUUUUACAUGUUAAAAAAUUAAUCUAAGAUGAAAUUAUCUCGCUUAAAUUCUCCAAAUGCCACUCUAAAAAAAUUAUUCUACCAGUGUUAAUUCAACGGUAAAAGAUUUUACCAAAUCUAUUUUAACAAAUCUAUUUUGGGCUCCCCAUUUUUGUCAUUCAGAAAAUGGAAUAGUCAUUUUAACUUUGUUUUUGAUUCUUGACUUUGUUUUUGAUUUACUAAUUCUUCAUUUGUUAACCAAAUGAUUUAUUUUUAUUUUGUUCAGAGUGGCUUCCGAUUUGGUUCUGUGUUGUGAUUUACUUCUUUGAUUGUAUUAAUUAUUUAUUAUUAAAAUAAUAUUUUUUAUUUUUUAAAAAUUAUUUUUAACAUAACAUAUCAAAAUAAUUUGAAAACAUCAAAAAUAUAUUAAUUUAAAAUAAAAAAAUAAAAAAAUUUCAAAAAAUUUUUAAAAUGCUUGCUAGACUUUAAAGUUAAUCUAAAUAAAAUAAAAUAAAAUAAAAGUCAAGCCAUACAUACAAUGAUGCUUAUAUGUGUAUUUUUUUUUUUUAAUGAUCCCAAUACAUAUUUGAAGAAUAAAAAAAUUAGUUCAAAAUUAAAAAAAAAAUUAAAAUCUUUUAAAAAUACAACUAAACUAUGGCACCUAGCACCAGGUACCAUGGGCCAGCGCGCCCAUGGCCAGGCAAGGAGCUCCCCUGAAAAGCAACAUGUAGAAUUUAGGCGUAAUAGAGUGUCUGUAGACACUACUACUUAGGUACUAGCUAUCACGCACUUUAAUAAGUUCAAUUAUUAGUAUUUUUAGCUGAAAUAUUGCACAAAAGCUGGAAAAAGUCCAAUUAAGUGGCUGUUUGGUAUAAUUAUAAUAUAUUAUUUUAGUAUAUAUUAUUAAGACAGCUAUAUUUUAGUAUAUAUUAUUAUAGUAUAAUUAUAAUAUAUAAGUUAUAUUAUUAUAAUUAGCAUUAUAAUAUAUAAGUAUCUCACGACUUUUAGAGUAUUACUUAAUUAAUAUUGAAAAUUUAUAUUUUUAAGAAAUUCAACAUAAUAUACUCAAUGGCUAGAAGCUUGGUGGCCAAUUUCAGAUCAUGAGUUUUCGUUUAUUGUCGAGGAUGAUUUGGAGGUUUCGCCGCUGUUUUAUAAAUUUGCGAGGGGUUUGCUUGCUAUUACAAUGUGUCGAAUUUUAGUCCUUUUAUAUAUGAUAUGGUGCUUCACUUCAGCGUCCACGGUUUGUCCCAGGUACUGCUCUUUUUUCAGGUUUUGUAUUUGUUAGACUGGAUGUUUUCAUGUUCAGUGUUAAGGUUUACAGAUUUCUUGAUUUGUUAAUUAUAUUGGGUUUUGUGCGGAUGUAGUGUGCUUCUCAUGCUAAAACUUGCUUUACAAUUGCUAGGCUGAAAUCCUUUUAGUCUUUUGCUUGUGGCGUAAAUAUAUGUAUCAUGUCCAUAGGAUGCGAAAUCCUUUUAGUCUUUUGCUUGUGGCGUAAAUAUAUGUAUGGUGUCCAUAGGAUGCGAACUUGAAAAGUUUCCAUUUGGUAUUUCGCAAUUGCAUAAGCAUAUGUGAUUAUGACACGUACGUCAAAAACAAUAUGCAUUAAUUUUGUUGCUGGUAGAGAGUGCCAUAUGCAAUAUUUUCUGUCUCUUAUUGGAGCCUUUUUAUGAAAAUUGUGUUAAUUCAACAAUUCUCAUUACAUACCCCUGACCUGAUUUUUUUUAAAAAGAAUUCUUUUACCUUUUUGAGAGUGAUUUUGGUUUAUCUGGUCGCUGAUUGCAGGUAAACAUGGAAACAAAAUACAAUUGGAUAGUGAAACGCAUCUUUUCUUGUACCCAUUGGUUGGUACUUGGCGUCAGAUUCUCUUUCCAAAACCUUGGAAAGAGUUUAGGUUGUGGUACGAUCUGUCACGUUCACACUAGAAGAAAAGAGUUGGAUUAAUUCGAGGAAAUCCACAGCCUCCAAUACUUACUGAUUGCUACUGUUUUCAUGCCUUUCUCAUUAACAUGAAGGACUAAAAUACAACUGGAAAAUAAUAACUGACGAUGCACAUUUCUUGCUCAUUAACAUGAAGAAGAAAGGAAGGUGAUGCAGUCCAGACAAUAUGAAUCCUUUCCUCCAGAAAAUCUUGCUCCUUUCUUGUCCUUUUCACGCCCAUUUGCUCCCCUUCACAAACAAACCUCCCAUUUAAAGGAGCUCCAAUCACACAAACCAGCAAUCCUUCCAAAAAAUUUUCCAUGACCAGCACAUGCUACUGAUAUCAGAUAAACAUAAAAUGAAGAGAAGAAAUAGAGAAACAGAUGACAAGCAGGAAUUUCAGUAGAAUGCUAUAAUCAAUUUCAGGAAUUUCAGUAGAAUGCGAUAAUCUUUCAGUAGAAUUCUCCAGACCAAUCGUGUUAUUAAGUGAAGACCAUGAAUUCAAAACUAUGAUAUCAGAAUCAAGAUAGAUAGCAUAACGAUGAUCAUCAGGAACAACCCAACAAGAAAAAAAAAACAAGAGACAAGUUACCAAAACAUAGAUUCUAAACAUAAGAAAUGGCGCGAUUGAAUCACUACAUUACAUAGUAUAACGAUGAUCAUCAGGAAUAUAAAAUAAAAAUUCUUCUCAACUCGAGCGAAGAGGGUAUUAACUAAUACAUGGUUUCUAGUUCAAGAGCCAGCAUCAAAAUUACUAGAUUAUGAGAUUUAUUUUAAACACCUCAAUGUGAUAGUACAGUGUCCUAUAUGAGAUUCACACAGGAACCAGCAAGAUGUUGUGUCAUUCUAGUCAUACAUGUGAUUGACAUUCCAGAAGGGGGAGAUAUUUUCAAGAAGCGAGCUAAUUACUUGUAGAGAGCAGCAAGGUGAACCGGUUCAAUAUAGUGAACAUAUGUCUUUCACCGCUGAAACCAAACUGGAGUGAAAAUAUGGGUUUUCUCCAUAGCCUUAUCACCUCUAGUCAACCACGGGUCUCGCAGCAAAGGAUACGGGUUCAAGAAAACAAAUUCACUAUUUAUCAAGCCAAUCACCCCACCCUUCUCUUAAAGAUUACAACUUUUUACUUAUCUUUAACAACAAAGCAUCUUCAAUAAUCUUAACUCACUAAGUUUUCUGUUAAUUUCCUCAUCAACAAGAAUAUCAUCACUGCCAAACACGGUCGUACUUUUAUAAUCCUCAACUAAAACCAUUGUAAUAAAAUAAAACAUCGUAAUAUCUUAUCAAUUUCUUAUUCAAAUACCUUAUAAUAGACCUGGUUACAUGAUCCAUGUAAUACCAAGAAUCGAGGGACUUUUCGUUUCUUCUUCUUCGGUGUUUUUUUUUACUUUCAUUUUCGUGAUCUUCUUCUUCUUCUUCUCUAAUGGUGUCUUCUUCAUUGAUAUUGUCGACGCCGAGACUUAGCUUGGGUUUUGAAUGAGGGACAGUGUUGUGUCGAUACCAAGAGUGUUUUUUUAUUGUCGUUUAGAAUUUUUAAAUUAAUUUUCUUUUAAAAAAAGGCAAUUAAAUUACGUGUUUUUAUGAUUUUAAUAUAUUAAUAUGAAAAAUAAAAAAAUCUAAAAGACAUUAUUAUUUAAUAUAUUUUAAAUAAAAAAAACUUUAUACAUCCCUUGUAGACUUAGGUAAAAAAUUAUUUUUUUAAAAAAUAAAUAAUUUAAUAAAAUAAUUGUUUUAAAAAAAUAAUUAAACUUUUAAACUCUGAUCCGAUGAAGUUAAGUUUAAAAAAUUCUGGUUAAAACUGGUUCAAAGCCUUCAUUGAGCCCAAUGUAAAGAGGCCCAACCUGCCGUCAUAAAAGCCCAAUAUUCUCUUCUCCGCCACCACUAUGCCAUGCCUUUUAUAUAAGCAAACGAAUAUGUACGAAGAAGAGCUUAGGCCUACAAAAGGGGAAAAGGGAGAAAAGUUGAUACUGCUUUUUCUUCUAAAUAGACACCGGAUGACUAUUGCACCCUUGUAAUGGUAUCUGAUUCAGCGAAAAGGAGGGUAUUAUGGUAAUUGGAACAACUUAAAUCGAGAAUCUGAACCGUUGUAUUCCUCUGCAAAGAUGCACAUGCUGUUAACCAAUGAUAAAUUAAUGUAUAGCUGUUACAGUUUGUUAUUUAUUAGGACUCCAUUACUGCAACAACUGUUACAAUAUGUUAUUCAUUAGGACUCCAUUACGGUUACAGUUACAGUUUGUUAUUCUUCCUGCAACGUAGAGAAUUCAGUUAGGUUCUGUAUCUAUAUAUAUAUAUGUCUUCUAUUAAUAAUAUAUGUAAGCAAUUCUCUUCCAAAAGCUUCAGCUCUAUCAUGGUAUUAGAGCGUCUCUGAUCCUUUAUUUAUUUUUUUCUCUUUCUCUUCCUACUCUUUUUCGGUUCUGUUUCUCCCUCAUUAACAUCACCAUGUCAACUUCCAUUCCAUCAAAUACGGAAAACCACCUUAUCACCAUAAACACAGCUGCUCAAGCUCCUCUUAAACUCACCUCUUCCAACUAUGCUUCCUGGAAAAUUCAAUUUGAAACACUCUUUAUUGGCUACGAUCUCCUUGGUUACAUCGAUGGGUCCAAGCCGUGUCCCUCACUAACUCUUAUAACAGAUGAUAUCAUUGUUCCCAAUCUUGCCUAUAGUCUCUGGGUGAGGCAAGAUCAACUUCUAUUGAAUGCUAUUGUUGGCAGCCUUUCUCCUCCGCUUAUCUUCUUUGUCGUCCGCACCAUUUCUUCUCAUGAUGCAUGGCAUGUUCUUGCCACAACAUAUGCCAAACCAUCCCGUGGACGUAUCCGCCAGGUGAAAAACCAGUUAAAGAAUCUCACAAAAGGCUCUAUGAGUAUCACAGAUUUUGUCUACUUCAUUAAAGCAAAAUCUGACGAACUUGCUGUUCUUGGUGCUCCUAUGGACACUGAUGAUCUUACUAAACAAAUCCUCGAUGGUUUAGAUGAAGAUUACACAGAACUUGUUCAGGUUGUCCAAGCUCGCGAAGCUGCUAUCUCCUUUGAUGAACUACAUGAGAAACUUCUCUUAUUUGAAGCAUCACUUCAAACACGGUCACAAUCCUCUCGUCUUGGUCCUAUUACUGCCAACUCUUUCACCAAGAACUCAAGCAACAACAAUUGGCGACCCUCAAGAACCAACUGGCGCCCAUUCUUUUCUCCUAUUGGGAACACUUUUCGUUCCCUACCUAUUGCCAACUUUCGACCUGCUACUUUUCCCAAUCAGGUUCGCAAUAAUCAUCUGCCUGCACGUCCUUAUUUGGGCCAUUGCCAGAUGUGUGGCACUCAGGGGCACACUGCUAAACGAUGUCCUUCUUUUCAUUUAGUUCAUGUUCAUGGUUCUAACAUUGCCAACUCCUCCAAUGGUAUGCCAUCCUCCUGGAAUCCCCAAGCCAAUUUUUCUUCUUCAUCUCUAUCCACCGCUGCGUCAUGGUUACUAGAUAGUGGUACUUCCCAUCACGUUACUGCCGACCUCAAUAAUCUUUCUCUCCAUACACCAUAUAAUGGACAAGAUGAUGUUAUGCUAGGCGAUGGUACCAAUCUUCCUAUAAGUCACACUGGUUCAGUAUCUCUUCCCACAUCUAACUCUUUUUUCCAAUUACAAGAUGUUUUGUGUGUUCCCAAAAUGCAAAAAAAAUUAAUAUAUAUUGCAUUAUUCUGUAUCACUAACAAUGUGUCAAUUGAAAUUUUUCCUCAUUGUUUUCAUGUGAAGGACCUACAAACGAGGGACAUUCUUCUGCAGGGCGGCACUAAGGAUGGUAUUUAUGAAUGGCUAGUUGCCAUCUCUUCCACUCCUCCCAUUCUAGCUUUCUCUGUUGUCAACAAUGUCCAUUUGGCACCGGCGCUUUGGUCAUCCAGCCUUCACAAUUCUUAAACAUAUUAUGUCCUCCUAUCAUUUAAAUUUUUCUUCUCAAAAGAAUUUCUGCUGCAAUGCUUGCUUAAGUAAUAAAAGUCAUAAACAACCAUUUUCUGUGUCUAUUUUGCUCACUACUCGUCCUCUUCAAGUUGUAUUUUCUGAUGUUUGGACUUCUCCUAUUAUUUCACACGAUGGUUAUAAAUACUAUGUUAUCUUUAUUGAUCAUUUUACAAAAUACAUUUGGUUAUAUCCAUUAAAACAAAAAUCUGAUGUCCAAAUAGUGUUUCGACGCUACAAAGCAAUUGUUGAAAAAUAUUUUCAACAAACCAUUAUUUCUCUUUAUUCUGAUAAUGGUGGUGAAUACAUUGCUCUCAAACCAUUUCUUUCAGAACAUGGGAUUAGUCAUCUCACGUCUCCACCACAUACACCUGAACAUAAUGGUUAUUCUGAACGGCGACAUCUUCACAUUGUCGAAACUGGUCUUGCCCUUUUUUCUCAUGCCUCAAUUCCCACUACCUUUUGGACUUAUGCCUUCACCACUGCUGUUUACCUAAUUAACAGGAUGCCAACUCCCACAUUAAACAUGUCUUCACCAUAUGAGUCAAUUUUUCACAAGAGUCCUAAUUUUUCUAAACUUAAAGUGUUUGGCUGUUUAUGUUAUCCUUGGUUGGGUCCAUAUGCAUCUCAUAAACUUGAUUUGAAAUCUCAACCCUGCGAUUUUCUUGGAUACUCCCUUUCUUAGAGUGCAUAUCUAUGCCCUAACAAAUCCACUAACAAACUACAUGUUUCACGGCAUGUACAAUUUGUUGAGUCAGUUUUUCCUUAUAAGUCUUAUCCUACUGCAACUUCAAAUUUUCCUUCCCCCGUGUCUGACUGGAUGCCUUCACCUAUUUUUGUCUCAUCUCAAACCCCACAACAACUGGCUCUUUCUGCUCCUUCCUCACAAUGUCAUGCAGAUGCAUCUCCUUCUAUGGUCUCUUCAUCAAGUCCUCCAACUCAUGCCGAAGCAAUUCCUUCCAUCAUUUCUACUCCACAGGUACCUACUUCCCCCUCUCAUCAUAAUCCUUCACUUCCAGCUCCAUCUCUACCUGUUCCACCACCACCACAACAUUCCCAACACCCUAUGAUCACUCGGUCCCGGAAUAAUAUCCACAAACCAAUCCAGAAACUCAGUCUUCACACUACUAAACCAGUCAUCUUUCAAACAGAACCUUCCACCUCCUCUCAGGCACUUAAAGAUCCAAACUGGCGAUCUGCUAUGUCUGAGGAAUAUGAUGCUCUAGUAUGCAAUGACACAUUGGAACUUGUUCCUCCUAAUGGUAUCACUAACGUUGUUGGUUGCAGGUGGGUUUACCGCAUUAAAAGACAUUCUGAUGGUUCUAUAAACAGGUUUAAAGCACGACUUGUUGCAAAAGGUUUCCACCAGCGUCUCGGUGUGGACUAUCAUGAGACUUUCAGCCUCGUUGUGAAGCCAACAACUAUCCGCUUGGUACUCAGCCUUGCUGUCAGCCGCGGAUGGUCACUUAAACAACUGGAUAUCAACAAUGUUAUCGCACGUGUGCAGCGUCACGACGAUCAUCCACCCUCAAUUGUAUGGAUAUAUAUCUAGUAAAUACGGGGAGACACGAAAUUCUUUGUCUCUUAGCAGUAAAAAAAAUGGAAUGGAGUCGCCACCUAGUAUUAUGGUCACUAGGAACCCUAAUUGGUCUCAGAGAUCGGGUACGGAGACUGGUUGCGUAAAGGGAAGGUAUUAGCACCCCAAAUACGCCCUACCUAAGGUAAGCUGCAUUGUUUUAUUUGUCUGAUCAAAAUCUAAGGUUUGGUCGUGUUUUCUAAUUGUUGGUCUUGUCUAUCUAAGAUUCAAGAAAAGCCCUCCUCAAUAAGAAGGUUCUUAUCUUAAUGGGGUAGAACCUAACCGUUCUAACGUUGGAAAAAGAUUUAAUAUCCGGAAUACGUAUUACGUGUCAUAUCGUACCCUGGAUACUAAAAGACAAACAAAAUAAAAUUUUUUAUUGUUUUUGAAAUUUUGGCUAAUGUUCUCUUGACUUUAAUAAACUGGUUAUUAAAGCCAAAAUGCAUGUUAAAACAUUAUUUUUUUGUUUAUAAAAAACACAAUAUGAUUUUUUAGCUUUGAGACACUUGGCCGUAUGCACAAAAAUAUUUUUUCUUUUUUUCAAAGUUUUUUGUAUUUUUGAAAGUUUUGACGAAAACCGGGUAUUUUAAUAUCAAAUUUUGUAUUUUUAGCAACAUAAAAAUACUGCUUGAUAUUAAUCAAAAUGACAAAAAAAUACGCAGGAAACUUGUAAAAUUACAAACAAAUAUUUUUGAAUUUUUCUUUUAACAAAAAAAGAAAAAAAAUUGGGUCGGAUCUGGCCCAUCCAUCCUGGGCUGGGCCUGACCCGGCCCAUAUACUGUGGGCUGGGCUGAUGUGCCAGCCCAUAACAAAUAAAAGGACUGGUUACUGUGCUGCGCACAGUAACCAGCAAAAAUAUAAUUAGCUAGUUAAUCUUCAUUUUGCUGCAGAACGUAAACGUUCUGUAAAAUGAAGCUGAAGCACAAAACGAUGGGGGAGGGGAGAAAGUUACCUGGAGCGGUGGCGACGCUGGCGGCAGCGGAUGCGACAGGGGUGGUGGUGUAGGCGGCGACUGUUCUCCUUCCUUCUCUCCCGUCUCCUCUGUUUCUCUUCUCAGCCACCCUCUCCUCUGCCUUUUUUUGUUUUCUAACUUUGGACACAAAAGAAAAAAAUUAUAUCGGAGCCCAAUCAUUGCUCCACCAUGCACACAUGCUUAACCACCUAAAAGAGAACGGUGCGACGCUUCCAACACUAUAAUGGAAAGCGGUGCUUGGCCAUCGAGAGAUGCCACAUGUGUCAUUCAAGGAGCAUUGAUACCUCCCACUCUCUGACACGUAUUGCACGUGUCAACCAGUUUUUAUUUUUAUAUAUAUGUUAAAAGACUAAAUUUUUUCUCAUUUACAUUGAUUAUAACUAAAAAGCCAUAAUGAAAAUAUAAAAACACACCUGGACACAAGUUUUAAUUUUUUUUCCUUUUAAAAGCAAUGUAGUCAUUUAACUAUGCUAGCAAAACGUAAAAAGAAAUAACCCCUUGGACCUUAAUUGUAAAAAAAAAAAUUUAAGACUGUUUAAGUAAUUUUACUGUGCAUUUGAAAUGGUAAAAGAUCUAUUGUCCCUAAUUAAUACGAGAAUGACAAAUGAACCAUGUAAAAAAGACUAAAUUACCCCUAACAGCUAGUUAAAUGACUUUUUUAGAAGGGCAAAAUAGUCAUUAUAUUUUUUUAUUCCACAACGAUGAGUUUAGGGAUACAGUGAAACGUUGAUGGCUUUUUAUUUUUUAUAUUUACUAGAACAAUUUUUAAGGAUAUUAUAGUUAAUUUUUAAGGAUAUUUUAUAUAUUCAUAAAUUAAAUGUUAAUGAAAAUUAAGAAAAGAAAAGAAUUAAAUUAUCAAUAAUGAUUGAUGAGAAACAAAAUUAAUGUAAUGUAUAUUUUGAAUAAUAAAUUGAGAUGAAGAUAUAAAAUAUUUUUUUUCUAGAAUAAUUUUGAUUCUUUUAAAGUGCAUUUAUAUAUAUAUAUAUAUAUAUAUAUAUAUAUAUAUAUAUAUAUAUAUAUAUAUAUAUGCAGUCUCUCUAUUUUCAUUAUCUGUAUUUUUUAUAUUUCAAGACAAGAAUCAAAUGCUACAUACAAAUAUUAUACAUUAUAGAAAGAAGUAUAAUUUUAUUCUCUCUAAUUCUCAGUCCACCCUUUUCAAGAUUUAAAAUUAAAAUCUCCUCAUAAAAAACCUAAAUCUUAACAGUUAGAUUGUGGAUUUAGUAAUUAAUAUUAAAUUCUGUCCUUGUUGUUUUGUAAUUUAAUGCUAAGUUGCUAACUAUACUCUUAUAAAUUCUCGUACACAUUCAAGAAAAAAACAAAACCCUAAAGUAAACCAUUAGUGAGGUUGGAUUCCUUCCUUUUAUUUAUAAUCGUUUAAAACCAAACCCUUCUCUUUCUUCCUUCCAUCGAAAUAUCAACUUCGUUUAGAAUUUGAUUGCUUGUCGUUUUCAUUGUGCGGCAUUCCAAAAUUACUGAUUCGAAACCACAUCUUCAACAAAAAUAAUCAUCCACAUGCUUCAUCUGUGGAUGACAAAUUCUAGGAAUCUCAGCUAAUUGUGAGAACUGCUGCGACAAACCUAUGAAAGAUGUCAGGGAAGGAUUAAGAAAGCUAGCUAUUUCAACGAAAAAACUAUUUACUAGGGCUAAAAAACGAAAGAAAGCCUGCUUUUUUGUUCUUAGAGGGAAGGGCAAGGGCCAAGGUUGAUUGGACUUGAUAUAAAGAUGAUGUCUAAUAAAAAUGCCAUUGAUGGCCCUUUUUGCAGGCUGUGAUUCAAGGGCCGCGAUCAUUUUUGGAUGCUGAUUUUGUUUUUAGUAAAAAAUUAAAAUCUAAUAAUUCUAAAACUUGGAAAAAAAUUUCUAAGGUUUUAAAAAAAUUCUCAUCGAUAAAUUUUUUUUAUUAAAAACUAAUUAUUGUAAAAGCUGAAACAGAGAGAAGAGCAGCUGCUGGGAACCCAAAAAGGAUGAUUUUGUUUUCUAACUUUGGACCCGAAAAUCCCCCCUGUUUCUGCUUCUUUGUAAACCUCCCCUGUCUCUUUUCUCAAAUUUGUUCCUCCCUUCUCUAUUUUUUUUUCUUCUUCAAGUUUGUUUCUCAAAAGUUUUGCCCCCUCUGGUUUCUCUCUCUUUUUUGUUUUUGCAGCUUGCCUGUCUUCCCCUGCUCUUUCCCUUUUUUUUUCUCCAAAGAAAAUUGUUGGUCUCUCUCUCGGUCUCCCUCACUUUCUCUUUAAAAAAAUCCUUCCAGCUCUCCCUUCUUGAUCUCCCCCCCUAUUCUCCUGCACUCCCUCUGUAUUUAUAGGCAGAGGGAGAGAGGGCCACCAUGCCCUAUCCUGCCAUUAUGCAGGGCAUGGCAUGGUGGCAUAGGGGUGGCUACUCCACAGCCGCCCCUACCUCUGUAGGGCAUGGGUCUUUUGGUGUGAAGGCGUGGUGGUGUCAGUGAAGGGACAAGUCAGGUCGUAGUUGGUUUUUUGGUUUUUGGGAGAGAGAAAGGAGAGAAAAAAAUAGGGGGAAAAAUGCUUCUUCUUCCCCUGUUCUCUGCGCGUCCAGGGGAAGAAGCAGGCUUAUGGUGCCGUUCAAAACGGCACCGUUUGCUCUUUCUCUCUCUUUUUUUUCCAGUGAAAUGCAUGAAACGACGCCGUUUUGACCAAAACGCGUCAUUUCAUUUAAACGAAAACUGGCGCCAAAAUGGGUCAAUUUGCGCGCUUUUUCACUAUGGUCCUUGGUUUUGGAUUUCUUCAAUCGAGUCCCUAAUUGGCCACCAGACUUCAAUAUGUAUGCAAUUAAGCCCCUGAUUUGACCAAAUCAACUCUUAAAAAUUAUAAUUUGACCCCAGAACUUUAAUUUCUUCCAAUUAAAACCCAAAUUGACUUAAAAAUCAAUUUUUCUUGCGAUCAAACCCUCCAUAAAUUCAAUUAAACUUUCAAUAAAAUUUAAUUGAGCCCAUAUACAUCUGAUUUUGUACAUUUCUUCCUCAAAUAAAAUUUUCUUUAUCAAUAGGGCUCUCACCGGUCAACGAUAUACUGUCAAAUUUCAAUCCUUGUAUUUUUUGAUCCUCCUCAACCAAUUUUUGACCAUUUUCGGGGCGCUCUAGCAUCCUCUUUUCACUGCUAUUAUUUUUUUAUUUUUUUUAUUUUGUGCGGGGACCAAAAAAUGGGUUACAACAAAUGCUUUCCUUCAAGGUCAUCUUUCUGAAACCGUUUACAUGGCGCAACCUCCUGAAUUUGUUGAUCGCGAAAAACCGUCAUUUGUUUGCAAACUCCACAAAGCCAUUUAUGGACUCAAACAGGCGCCCCGGGCUUGGUAUCAUGAAUUGCGCACAUUUUUGUUGGCUUCUGGUUUCCGCAAUUCCCACUCUGAUCCUUCUCUGUUCAUAUUUAACAGUGCUCAGCAUGUUUUGUUUUUACUGGUUUACGUGGAUGACAUUAUUGUCACAGGCAGCGAUGACGACAUUCUAUCAGAUUUUGUUUCUAGCCUUGCCAAACGUUUUUCUCUUAAGGAUCUUGGCAAUUUGUCCUACUUCUUGGGUGUUGAAGUUCUUCCUCACAAACAGGGUAUUCUACUCUCUCAACGCAGGUACAUUACUGACCUGCUAACUCGUCUCAACAUGCUGGACGCAAAACCAGUGCUCACUCCAAUUCCAAGCUCUGCAUCUGCUAUUUCAUUGCUGUCUGACUCGCCUUUAUAGAAUCCCACUGUUUAUCGUGAAGUUGUAGGGAGUCUUCAGUAUCUUUCUCUUACAAGACCAGAUGUGUCAUUUGUUGUGAACAAACUAUCUCAGUUCAUGCACAGCCCAACCGAUGACCACUAGAUCCUUGUUAAGCGAAUUAUGUGAUAUCUUAUUGGUACACUAAACAAGGGCCUUCUUCUGCACCGUGACUCGCCCUACAAUCUUCAUGCCUUCGCUGAUCAACUUCAUGCCUUUUCAGAUGCCGAUUGGGCUGGCAAUAAAGAUGAUUAUUCAUCCACCAGUGCUUAUCUAGUUUACCUUUGGAGUAAUUUAAUUUCAUGGAGUUCAAAUAAACAAAAGACCAUUGCCAGGUCUUCAACAGAGGCUGAGUAUCGCUCCGUUGUUGCCACUGCUGCUGAGCUCUGUUGGGUACACUCUCUACUUCAUGAACUUGGUGUUGCUCUGUCUUCUUCACCUGUGAUAUACUGUGACAACAUUGGAGGAACUCAGUUAAGUUCCAAUCCUAUUUUUCAUUCUCGCAUUAAACAUGUUGUCGUUGACUACCAUUUCGUCCUAUUUUCAGGGAUAAUAUAAAAAAUUUCAUUAAAUUUAAAAAAAUGAUGAAAUCUCGUAUCUUCAGGAUUCACGUCAAAGUUUUUGUUAAAAUUCAAGAAAUUGUGAAAUAUAUUAUCUUUAAGGAUUAAUGUAAAAAAAAUAAAAAGUUAAAAAACUAGUGAAAUCUCCUAUUUCAGAAAUUAAAGAUAACAAAAUUUUCGUUAAAAUUCUUUUAUAUAUUAAGGCCAGUGCCAUAAAAUGACAAGCUAUGAAAUCUUAGAUUUUUAGGGUUUAACGUUAUUUCGACAAGUUUUUUUAUUUUUAGAAACCGAUAUUUAUUUUUAAAUAAAUCAUAAAUAAAAUCAGAAUAUAAUAGCAUAAAAUAACUUAGAAAAACAAAAGUAAUGGUAAUUUUUUAUUUGAAAAGAUAUGAUAAGGGUGGUGUUAACCUGAUAAGGGUGGUGUUAAAAAGAGAGGCAACAACGGAGAAGAAGAAAUAAAAAAGACAUAAAAGCACAGUAUCUGCAACAAGAAGAAGGAAGGAGAAAACAGGAUCAGACAAUAGAUAAAAAUGAGAAGUCAACUUCUAUUAUCCCCGAAAAAGAUCUCAAUGAGAAGUCAACUUCAAUUUCAUUUUUCAACCUACAAGUUGUGCUGAUCUUCCUUUACCACAGUCCUACAAAAACUAAUAAAAAAAUGUUGAGACACUAAAAUACAAGCUUCACCUGCAACGCCAAACCCUAAGUAUAUAAACUAACUUCCAUUCACAAUCAGCCGCCUCCUUCCCUUCACCCUCUCUUUCUCUCUGCUCAUCCCAUCAUCAUUGCUUCUCUCUCUCUCUCUCUCUCUUUCCAAUCAGAACUAAACAGACGAUGGCUGAGGCACUUCUAUCUCCGAUCUUGGAGCAGUUAACCACAAUCGUUGCUCAACAGGUAUUUUUCUACCAUCUGCAAUAACCUGAUUUACCUAGCAGAGAUAAGAAAUAUAUAUAAAGUUCAAGCCUUUUUUCUUCCUAUCAUAAAAAGAAUACUUUUAACUUGAAUAAAUAAAAAUAAUAUUUUAAAUCCUCAAGUAUAUAUUUGGAUUUUAUUAAAGAAUCUUCUUUUUCUUGUUUUAUUAUUUUUCAUAUUUCCAAAAAUAACAUAAAGAAAAUAUAUCAUUCCAAAUAUAGGAAAACCGAAAAAGGCAAAACAAGAGAUGCCAAUUCUCUUUAAACUUAACUAUUAAGGGUAAAAUAAUCAAUAAAAAGUUCAAAGGAUUAGCGAGCGAGUAUUUGGUGUGAAUUAACACACAAUCUUAUUAUCAUGCCUUUAUUUCACAAAUUAUACAUACAGAUCCUUUAAUUAUUCACUUGCAUUUAUACAUCCAUAUAUCUAUAGUUUAAUGUAAAAUGAAAACCAGAUUUUAUGUCGGUUCAAAGGAGAAAUCCUUCUCUCGUGAGAACAAUGAACUCUUUCCAUACCUAUAUUAAUUAUAUAUAUAUACACGCACAGGUUUAACGUUUUACCAUUUAAGAUUCAUUUUAUACCUUCUUGUACAGUAGCGUAGUGCAGACUGAUAUCAUCAUCAUGAUGAUAAAAAGAAAAAACAAAUAUUAUUAUUUCUAAUAAAUAUUUUAUAUAUAAAUUAUUAAUAUAGUAAAUCCAUUUCACAAUAAAAUAUAUUAAUACAAAAUAGAAAUGUUUCCUAUGCUUGAACUUGUAUUUUCUACACUAAUAGGUACAGGAAGAGGUGAACCUAGUAGGGGGUGUGAAAUUGUCAUAGAAAUGUUUCCUAUGCUUAACGUUUCUUUUCCUUUGUACACUAAUAGGUACAAGAAGAGGUGAACCUAGUAGUGGGUGUGAAGAAACAAUGUGACAAGCUGAAAAGCAAUCUCCUUGAUAUCCAAUCUGUCCUUGAAGAUGCAGAUAGAAAACAAGUGAAAGAUAAGGCUGUAAGAGAUUGGCUAGACAAGCUCAAAGAUGCAUGUUAUGAUAUGGAUGACGUGCUAGAUGAAUGGAGAACUGCAAUUCUUAGAUGGAAAAUGGAGGAAGCUGAAGAAAAUACUCACAGCCGACAGAAGAUACGGUGUUCCUUCCUGGGAUCUCCUUGCUUUUGUUUCAAUCAAGUGGUUCGACGUCGCGACAUUGCCCUGAAGAUCAAAGAAGUUCGUAAAAAAGUGGAUGACAUUGCCAAAGAGAGAGCUAAGUAUGGCUUCGAUCUGUACAAAACCACUGAUGAACUCCAGCGACUAACAACUACCUCCUUUGUUGAUGAAUCAAGCGUGAUUGGUCGAGAUGGUGAAAAGAGAAAUGUUGUAAGCAAGUUGCUGGCUGAAAGUAGUCAAGAAGCACGGGACGUGGAUGUCAUCUCUCUAGUAGGGCUGGGAGGAAUUGGAAAAACAACUCUCGCCCAACUAGCUUUUAAUGAUGCUGAGGUUACGGCUCAUUUUGAGAAAAAGAUAUGGGUGUGUGUUUCCGAACCAUUUGAUGAGGUUAAGAUAGCCAAAGCUAUCCUUGAGGAGCUUGAAGGGAGGGCAUCCGAUUUGGUAGGAUUGCAAUCCCUUUUGCGAAGGGUUUCUGAAUCCAUUGAGGGAAAGAGGUUCCUUCUUGUCCUUGAUGAUGUAUGGACAGAAAAUCACGGACAAUGGGAACAACUGAAACCAUCUCUCACAGGCUGUGCACGAGGAAGCAGAAUUCUAGUGACCACUCGUAAGGACGCUGUGGCAACGAUGAUGGGAAGUACUGGCCACCGGAUCAACAUUAAGGAAUUGUCCGACGAGAUAUGCAGGUCAAUAUUCAAUCAUGUGGCAUUCCAGGAAAGAAGCGAAGAUGAGCGCGAAAGAUUGACAGAUAUCGGCGAUAAAAUUGCAAACAAGUGCAAGGGCUUGCCUCUAGCUGCCAAGGUAUUAGGAGGUCUAAUGCAGUCUAAAAGAACAAGAGAAGAGUGGGAUCGUGUUUUAUCUAGCGAACUGUGGAGGCUAGAUGAGGUUGAUAGAGAUCAAGUUGAACGACGAAUAUUUAUACCUUUGCUCUUGAGUUACUACGAUUUACCUUCUGUGGUAAGACGAUGUUUCUUGUAUUGUGCCAUGUUUCCAAAAGACUACGAGAUGGACAAAGAUGAAUUGGUGAAGAUGUGGAUGGCUCAGGGUUACCUCAAGGAGACUUCAGGUGGAGAUAUGGAGCUUGUAGGAGAGCAGUACUUUCAAGUCUUAGCAGCGCGCUCUUUCUUCCAAGAUUUUGAGACGGAUGAGGAUGAAGGAAUGACAUUCAAGAUGCAUGAUAUAGUGCAUGAUUUUGCCCAAUAUAUGACAAAAAAUGAAUGUCUAACAGUGGAUGUCAAUACACUUGGAGGAGCAACAGUGGAGACUUCAAUUGAAAGGGUUCGUCAUUUAAGCAUGAUGCUGCCCAACGAGACCUCUUUUCCCGUGUCCAUUCACAAAGCAAAAGGUCUUCGCAGCCUCUUGAUCGACACUAGAGACCCUUCGCUUGGAGC